rnacentral:lncRNA from 1 species
CAGAAUCUGAACUGCAAUCAAUUGGUGGAGAAAAUCUUUCCCAAAACCUCCAGUGUUUGGAUAGACUGAAAUCCGAGCUAUGUCAGUUAUUUGGUGGCCCUAUUUUGAAGCCCAUGAAUACGACAGAGACUCUACAAUGUGGGCACCUGCGGGAUGAAAUCUUUAAACCCCGAAGUUUUGGCAAUAGAGCAAUGGUUGAUAUUAAAUACAAGGGUGAUUGGAUGAAGCGGCCCAUCUCAGAUGAUGAAAUUGGGUGGCUGGCAAAGGUGCUUGUAAAGCUAUCAGGCUGGUUGAACGAGAGUCUUGGGUUGAACCCAGUUGAGAGCAGCCAAGAUAGUCCUUCUUGGUCGUAUCUCGACUUGUCCACUGAUGCUAGGAGUGAGUAUGGUCCCAUGGAAAUGAUGAAAGUUGUGUUUUGCUCUUUUAUUUCCUGGCUUCUUAUGUUACGGGGAGCUGGUGUGACGUUCAUGAGAGAGCAUGGCGUCAGGGUGAAUCUCAGGGUUUUAGCAUCAAAGAAGGUGGUAGUUGCGUUGCUAAUCGUUGCUGCUUUCAGUCUACUCAGGAGAACUUUUCUCAGAGUUGGGUAGUGUUUACAUGGGAGAUCAAGCAACAUAACAGAAUUAAGAACAAAAAUAUAGGUCUAGGAAUGAACCCAAAAAGAACAGAAACACUCAACUGAGAGAGAGAGAACAAAAAGAAAGGUAACAAAGAAAAAGCCUGUGGCUUGCAAGGUUUGGUUUUGUUUUGUUUGUAAAUGGGCUUAUUUUGUGCAGCAUAGAGAUUUUCUCGUAACCUGGUUUUGCAGCCUUCAGUUCUUCCAAUGUUCUUGCUCCUAGCUGAAACAAUUAGCUUUCUCGCGCUUUAUCAAUUCCUGUGCACCCAAAACUGUCUCAUUGGGGUGGGAUUAUCACUGCUCCUAUGUUUUAUUGUUAAACCGCAGGUGAAGGCGAAGAAUACCUGCAGAUCGUUUCAUUAGACUCUAAUUGGGCAAAAUAGCAAAUGUUUUUUUUUUUUGGUUGGUUUCUGCAGAACAUGUUUGUUGAAUAAAAUAGUUGCUUUUUUGUUGUAAAAGAUAUUUUUUUGGGGUCUUCCUUAACAGACAGAGCAACUCCCUGACGAGGCAAAAAGGACACAAUGAAGAACCAAAAGCAAAAGCAAAAACAAAACAAAAUUAUGUUGUAUUUCCUCCGUAAGUUAAUAUAAUUAUAAACGAGCACAAAGGUCUUGUCUUGCAGGCGGCAUAAUAUUAAGAGCAUGGGACUGUAGCAGCUGGUAAUGAUAUGAGAAGGAAACUACGAAAAUGAAACUCAAAUACGAAAACACAAGGAAAACAAUGGAAACAAAACAAUACAAGUAAAGGCAUGUUAAAUCCUAAGAAAACACUCUCAAUUAUAAACAUAUGCAAAAUCAUCCAAGUCUAAAAAUAAAGAAAGUUCUACUUAUUUAUAGGUCAAGACCAUUUAUUCCAAUUGGGCUCAAAAGUGACCGUAAAUUCUAAUUGAGUCCAAAAGUGACCCAAAGUUCAAAACUCAACAUAGAACGUUCUUCAUUCUUUCAAACUUCUCACGAGGGAUCACAAUAUUCCUCUUCUAUCUCUAAAACUUGGCCAUGAGACGCUGUCACUUGUAUCAACGUUGGAGUGGGAUAAAACUGAAUAUGUUGUUGUUCGUAUGGGACCGUUGCAAUUGAAUGUUUUCAUCAUUAAACAAUAUAGUGAAGUUCCUCACGGGGAAAAAAAGGGAGAUAAUACAAUUCAAAUAGCAUAGGGAUUUAAGAAUACAUGAAUUACCAAGUGGAAUUACUUGGUUCAAAAGUUGUCUAACUGCAUUAAAUUCUGGGAUAUUUUGAGACUCUAAUGCGUAGUGUAUUUGGUUUACAAUUACACAACUAAUCUUCCUACUUUGAAUUGAUUCAAAUGCUUUGAGUUAUAAACACAGGGCAUAACCGUUGUGAUAAUCACAUUGGUUGUUGUAAUUACUGAUAGAAUAUAACACUGUACAUGUAUACACAUCAGAAAAGUAUAAGGGAAACUCUCUCCCUGGUAUAUGAAUAUUUGACAUUGUGUUUAAAACAGCUGAUCUACCAACAAGAAUAUCUACUGUAUUAUCGCGAUAUACAAGACAUCAGCUACAUAUCUUGAUCUGCCACUUCAUGUCUGGCAAUGUACAUUCCUUUUCUAUGCACACAAUAACUCAUCUCUGAGAACACCUUCUGGUUUAUACCGUGCGAAAAUUCAACUUAGAGUGGAAAAAGCUUAUGAAGAUAAAUGCUGAAGGCGCGGGAUAAAGUCUUAAACUCCAACUAUCUUUUACUCUUCUGCUGUAGUGUGCAUGUGUAGGACUAGGGACCUGUCAGUCUUGCAUCCCUAUUGAGUAAUGCCUGAGUCGCAAGCAGAGACCAAAAUUAGAAAAAGGGACGCGAAAAGAGGAAUUUGUAUUCUUUCGAGUGAAGUGGAAAAAGCUAGCAGUACCUACCUCAUAUCAUCUCAAAUUUGGCAGUUGUUGACAAUUCGGCCAACUACUGUUAAAAAGAGCCCUUAAAAUAUGGUUCAUGUUGCUGUACAACGAGUACCCGGGCUAGUUGAAAGCAGGCAGAACUCGAGAGGGAUUAUGAUAUCUGUGAUUCUUGUAACUGGUUGAGCCUUCUAGACCAAAUGGAAUGCAAAAUCAUAUGGAAGAGAUCAUAUCUAGUAGGCAUUGAUUUCCAAUGGAAAUGCUUCUGCAGCUUCUUGACAUUAUGUUGCAUGACCUGAUAACGUUUUAGAGGUAUACUUAAUAGAAUCUCCUUCAGCUUAGGAAUAUCUUUCUCAGCAACAGUUAGUGAGAAAGCACUCCAAUCGAGCACUUCGUCAAAUGGGAGGGCAAGAUUAUCAGCAAUGAUCACUGGGACACACUCGUAGUAUAUUGACUCGACUAUCCUUGGGCUGUUCACUUCGAAACCCAUCGGGCAGAGGCAGUACUUGCUUGACUUCAUGUGUUCAGCAUAAGACAUAAUUCUUGAGACUCUGGUCGGUAGAGGUCCAUAAAUCUUCAUGUCUUCAUCUCGGUCUUUCCAGUACUUAAGGAGUUUGGGACGGACUGGCCCGUGCAUAUUUCCAGCAAAAAAGGCGAGGAUUGGGCGUUGUGACACUCUUUUUCCACCAACGUUUCUAAGAGGCUUACGGACAUUCCUUAUGGUGGUCUCCGGAAGGGAAACAUCCUUCCCAGCUUUAAAUAUCCCUUCAGAUAUAUCUGCAUUGCAGAGAGCUUUUAUGGUGUUUCUAAUAAGCUCCUUAUGAUCCUUUAAAAUGUAAGGCCCCUGUAAGAAAUGGUAAUCUACAUAGUUGUAAGAAAAUUAUAGGCUACUAUCAAAUCCGUAAUAGUAAAUGUUCAUGUUGAAGUUAUAAGAUGGGCUCUAACAACGGGUAAACCAUGUGAAUUGGUAUGGGUUUGACUCUGAUACCAUGUUGAAAUGCGUGACCAUUUCAUCUAAAAAUUUAAACUUUUAAGUCAUUAAAAUAUGAGGGAGCAAUCUUAAAGAUGCACCCGUUCUACUUCCACGAGAUCAUGUUAAAUUUUGAGACCGGUUUUUAUCUUUAUACGCCAAUCUUUUGCACGAUUAUAUACCAGAUUUCGUUGUGAUAAGUCUGACUACCUAAAAAAAACAAUAGAUUAUGGAGUGUUCAUGAAAGAACUCAAGCUAAUUCAGCUAAGACUACAACAACGACAUACCUAGUGAAAUCCCACAAGUGGAGUUUGAGGAGGGGUAGAGUGUACGUAGGCCUUAACCCUACUUCGUGGAGGUAGUGACGCUGUUUGGGAAGGACCCUCGGGUCAAGUGCAGCAAAUCAAAGUAAUUAUGAAAAGAAAAACCGGCAGCGAAGAAAACAAGAAAACUCAUAGGGAAAAGGGAAAGAAGUAUACAGCAUUCAGAAAACAUGAAAACUAAUAAGGAAAGAAGUAUACACAAUAAACAACAUAUAAUAACAGAUAUCAAAAGCAAGAAACCAGAAGAAUAGAAGACGUGGAUGCAUACCCAAUCAUGGCAAGCAACUAGAAAAUGAUCAGUUCCAUGUGUGCGGUUCCAGAAGGGAUACUUUGCAGCUAGCAUGUUCACAUAGUCCCGCAGGAAUAUUGACAACGGCCUCAGAUUAUGUGAGUUUGGCACAUAAACUGCCAUCUGCAACUGGCGUGAACUAUAUGGCAGAUAAAAUAGGUGAGCCUUCUCUGGGUCCCUAGUGACAAAGUAACGAUUUUGCUCCAUCAAUUUCAUGAACCAUCCUUCCGAUGAAUAAAUACCCGUAAGAUGAGGUUCGUGGAAAAUAGGUCUCUCUCCUUCUUUAUAAAUGUAAACUUUGAGUAGAAGUUCCAUCAACUCAUAGCUCCUGGAAUUUCAACCAAAAUGUGUGUUUAUACAUUGUAGGUCUUUUGAGACAGCUUUUAUCCAAGUGAUUUUAAGUCUACCUCGUGCUGUUUUAACACCUUCAAUGUUAUGUUUACAUCUUAGGAUUGGUGCAUUUGGAAUUAUUUACAUUUCCUCUAUAGUUAUAAUUUGCAUAACGAAAUUAUUUACACCAUCUAUUAGAUAAGAUCAUUUCUAAUCUUGUACGACUGCACACCAAUCUUAACAUCCACAUUUCUAAGACACAUCAGAACAUUCACCCCGACAUAGCAUUGUUGGUCCUUAAAUCUAUCGCAUAAUAUUCAUGUACACUCUCCUGUGUCAGCCAUACUGAUUUUAAUUCACAUGUUACGUCUUUAUAUGUCAUGUCAUUCUGAAUUGCUUACAUUUAGGCAACACAAUCUAGUUUAAUCAUACCUUAACUUGUAUCUAUCUUUAUCUCUAUAUCCAAAAUAUGGAAGAAGAAGCAAAAGAAGAGCCCUUCAGGUUCUUCCUCGUUCUGGUUUGCCAAUACAUUCGUCAUCAAUCUCUGGUUAGUAAGGGAAAAUCAUUGUCUUAAUACCCAUUAUUACUGGUAAAUUUGCUAGGGAUUUACAUUGCUAAUUACUUAAUCUUUCUUUCAUGAACAAAAAUAAUGUCAUGGUACAUAGUUAUAUGCAAUAACAAAAGCAGAACACAGCCACUAAGUAAGAUUGUAUCAGACAAAGAGUUACAUAAGCAACUAUAGCCCAUUGUACCUCUUAAAGACGGAAACAUUCCUAAAUAGAGGAGCAUACAAGUCUGGAUCAUCGGUGAUCAGAGGAGCUUUCUCAAUCUCGCUUUUAGCGUAUGCAAGAGCCUCAUUUGGUUUCAAAGCUGCUAUAGAUCUCUGGAGAUAACUACAUUAGAGAAGAGCAAGAUAGCCAGAAACAAAACAAAAAAUUGAUAAUCGCAUAUAAGCAUAAUAUCAGACUAACCUGCACAUGAUCGGGUACAACAGGUGGAGGCGGAAAAAUAAUCUUUAGAUGUGCAUUCAUCUUGCUUCUCCUACGCCUCAGAUGUCUUUCUCGUCUUUGCAGAACUUGCAUUGAUCUGUUAGUUCUGGCUGUAGAGUUGAGCGAAACAAAUCCGGCCAAAUGCUUAUUCAUUUUCAACUUGUUAUCUGAUGUCACUGAAACUUCCCUCGAAUUUCUAGCGGUUGAGUUGACCGAAACAACUGCGGGCAAAUGCUUACUCUUUUUCAACUGGUUAUCUGAUGUCACUGAAAGUUCCCUUGAAUUCUUUCCAUCAUUUGCGCGUUGGUAAGAUGAAACAACCAAGGGUGGAGAGAUAAUCCAUCCUGUUAACGGAUUUGGGAGGCUGUAAAUUUGAAAUAUGAUCCUAAAAACUGUUAAAAUAGUGCCUAUAACAAAUAGUUUCUUCCAGCUAACUCUGAACAACAGAACAACAAUUAUACGCCGCAAGAAUUUCCUCAUCUCAUUUGGCAAACUAACACUUCUGUCAACAUCACAAGAAUCCGACCUUGUUAAUGAGAUGAUAAUUGCAUUGACACACAUCUGAUUUCAAUCCAUUUUGCAGCCUAAACCAGCCAUCGGAUACCUCCAACAUGUUCUUCAGCUCACAGUCGGAGAUCUGUCAAAAGAAAAGGAUGAAACAAAUCAAUAAGAGUAUUCAAACACGUAGGGAAUGGUCCGAAGUAGAAGACACAAUAGUAUGUAUCCAAUGAUUUGCAAGACACAAAGAUGUACUAAUUAAUGUUAAUAUUCCAACAACAGGAGGGUGAUCCUCCAAACAAAACUUUCGAUUAACUACUUCACUGUCUUGGGAUUCUUUCAGCAAAACACCUCUAGAAAUUCGUUGCAUAGUUAUCGAUAUAUGUUUUUACGGUCAUUUUGGUUGACGUCUCCAAAUAGAGCCCAUUGCGCAGUAUCACAAGAUACGCGAAAGCAAAAUUAUCAAGCUUCUUCUAAAACACCACAAAUGAAUGCAUCACGAAAGCAAAAACAAUCUUUUUCAAGUAUAAGAUCAUUAGUGAAGAAGAAAACAAAUGCGGGAAGUAAGAUAUAUACAAGCAAUAUUAGUUGAAAGCCAACUCUAACUCCAUCAAUUUCGUUUAAACAGAGAUAAUUAAUCCACCAGACUCUCAGUAAGAAUUUUUUUUUUAGUCUUCUAGCUAUGGUAAACUGGUAAUAACAUGUCUUGGACUGAAACUUAGUAGAUGUUACCACUAGUUCUUGAGGAUUAUAGGAUGGAAAACUUGUAUUCAUAACAUAAAAUAGCAACAACUAAGAUACUAACAAUUAGUUUUUUGGUUCUUGAUAAUGGUGGCAUUCAGGAUUUUAUUUUUCAGAUGGUCACUCGCUUAAUUAAUACUAACUAUUAUCUUAGAACGUCACCUUGUUUUGGUGAAGAAAAUCGGGAUCAAGAAAGGUGAUAUAUUAAGAUGAUCAUUAGUAGUAUUAGUUGAGUGAUCAUCUAAGAAAUCAACCCUGGUGUUCGUACUAGCUAGUUCACACUUCAACUAUUCCACAUCCAAGUAUUUGUUACCUGCUACCAACACAGAUAAUAUAAUAAUUAACCAACAUUUAUAUUUUGCAUUUAGGGUGAAAAAUGCUACAUAACCAAUAGAACAAGCAAAUUGUAUUUGACUCCAUACUCCCUUUGUCAUUUCAUUUAUCUUACUUUCCUUUUCUGGCCAGUCUCCAAAAGAAUGUCUCUUUCCAUUUUCGACAACUCAUUAGUUUCAACUUUUGAAUUCUGUAAUCUUAAACCAUACGUAGAAUGCAUGCCUUCUAUGUAUCAUUUAAGAUUACAAAAUUCAAAAGUCUUUUACUUUUUUAAACUCCAUGCAAGUCAAUCAGACAAACAAAUUGAAACACAAACUCAUAAAAAGUAGAUAUGUUUAUUGUAUAUGGCACUCAGAAUAAAAUAAAGCAAAUGGAGAUUUAACAUUAUCAACAAUCUUAUGAAGAUUUCCUUCUCUGAUACAAAAAAAAAGAAAAGAAAAAAAUUCUAUCUUUAAUAUUACCAAAUGAUCACAAUAUAUAUAUCCUAAAACAAAAAACUAAUAACUAAUAAUUAUUCUAAAAAUAAACUUGUUACACAUUAUAAUCAAACGAACUGCAUGAAAAAUAAAACAUCAAAAUUUUGUAAUUAUUAAUACCUUUUAGUGUAGGAAGAUAAAGGGAGGGCAGCCGGAGAAAUGAGGAAAUGAAUAUAUGGAAAACAGAAAAAAUGGAAGAGAGAAAGGAAAAGAACGAAAAUGGCGGUAACAGUUUCCAUAUUUGUAUAUGCUUAUUAUUAACCGUUAGUUGUCAUUUCCUUUUGAGUAACAUUUUCCAUAUAUAAAGAAUCAGACAACAUAGGGGAAAAAAAGGAUAAUAGGUAAAUAGAGCUAUCAAUAUGGGUCGGCCCAACCUGUAAUAUGAUGGAAUUAGAUUUCAUUUUUUGCAGCCUAUUUAAGAAAAGAGUUUUUUUAACCCAGCCUGGAUAAGUCCAUGACCCGUGGAACUUGAGCAAUGUGGGUUAACCUAGCCCGUGGGCUAGUCUGUAAGUCAAAUACAUGCAACUAUUUAGAUUGCUCAUUAGUAUUUUUAUUUGGUUCGAAAGAUAUCAUGUCAAAAGUUAUUUAAUUUAGCUAUUAGGAGUAAUUUUUAGGGAUGUUGGAGACUUGAUUAACAAGUAUUAACACUAUGUAAUAUUAUCUGAUAAUAUUUAUGUUUAUUAACAUUCUAAAAUUAAAUUAUAAAGUAUUAUUUUUUAAAAGUAAGCCGGCCCAACCGGUCCGCAACUCACAAAGUAAUGGCUUGGACCGAUCCGCAUUGACAACUUUAUAAGUAAACAUGUUUUUUCUAAUUUGGUUAUCUAUACUUGUUGAUUUUGAAUCGAUACAAAUAGACACUUAAACUUGUAUAAAAUUGAAUAAGUAGAUACAUACAUCAUAUGUGACUUAUCAAUUUGCGUCCUAUAUGGCAUCCUAUACGGCGUCCUGCAUACGUGUAUUAGGUCACAAAAAAUGUGUGUCUACUCAUUUAAUUUUAUGCAAAUUCAAGUGUUUGCUUGAACACAUUUAAAGUUAAAGGACAUGAAUGCCAGUUGAGACAAGUUAAAAGACAUGUUUAUAUAUUAUGACUAAAAAAAAAGGGAAAAAAUGGGAAAUGAGAAUCCAAUCCAUUUCUCAAGGGAGAACAAAGAGACAAUCGGAGGUGAUUAUAGGAUUUCUAGAAUAUAAGUGCACCGCUACAAGAAAAUUAAGAAAAAAUAUAUUUAAUGAGAAUGAAUUGCUAGCCAUCGAGAUAGAUAACUUAAAUCUUUAACCACGUACGUACACCUUCUAGUGUUCUUGUACUAUGAGUAUCAACGAAUAAAAAAUAUAUACAUAAAAUAUCUAAUUUUACGAAAAGAUCAUUGAUUUACGUGCCUCUUUUUAAUGUAAAUUUGCCCCUCGAGACAAUUCAAUUCACAAUAUUAUUACUCCUUUUGGCCAUUUUUACAUGUCCUCUAACUUUAACACACUUUGAAAAAUAAUAAAUAAUAAAAAUAAUUUUAUUAUAUUAUAUUUUAAAUAUAAUCAAUUUUGUAUAUUGAAUAAUAAAUAGUAUUCAAUACUGAAGAUCAAAUAAAAGCAAAAUAAUAACUAAUUCAUUAAUUUUUUAUAUUAAAUAAAUAUUAUUAAAUAUCUAUUUUUAAUAAUAUAAAUAAGUAAAGAUAUUAGUAUUUUCAGACCGUGUCCUUUCAAAAACAUACAGGGUGGUCAUCAUAUUGGUACUCCUCGACAUUUGAUGAGGGGUAUUACUACAUUUUUUCGUCUUUUCAAAAGUCAAAUUAUCGGAAAUUUAAUUGAUAUUUAAUAGUUAGUUUGUAUAAUAACUUAAACUUUUUAUAUAAUUUAAAAAUAUUAAAUUAAGUCUAGUCAAAUUAAUUUAAAAGAUUAAAAUAACUAUACAAAGAUUUAGCACCAUAUAAGAAAAGAGGAAGAGUUAUGUCCAGUUAAUAUAUUGAUUCAAGUAAUUUUUUCUUAAAAUGUUAUUAGUGUAUUAUACAAGUUAAAUUGACAAAUACCUUAACAAGUAUGUACAAAUCACACAAAACACACAUGUAUUCAUGAAUGAAGCACGAGUUAUAAGGAAUAAUGGUGAUAUAACUCUAGAAUAACUUGAACUUAUAAGUUUCAACAUUAUCGUAUAAAAGGGAUACCUUGAAGUCAUCCAAAAAACCCACAAAAUCAUUUGAGAUGAAAUUUCUUUUAGAUUAAAGUAUAUUUGUUAUGGAUAAUUUACAACAAAAGUGUUUGUUUGACAAAGCCAUUCUAUAGACCAAACGGAAAAGCUCAAUCUAAAAGAUUAAUUUGAAAUCCAUUAGCAUUUCUCUAUCUAGUUGAUGUGGUACAAUUGACACAUAACAAUCGUUCACGCGUGAGAACAACGAUCUCGUUGAUAACUGCUGGUACCCCGCUUGGGUCCAGGCCACCACUCUUAGAACACUGGCUGCCACUUUGAGUUGCGGACUUGCACGUGGAUCGACUGACUCUCAAUGAAAGCACCAAUGAAACAACUCUAAAUUAAUGUUACAAAUACUAAUAUAUUAUAAACACCGAACAAAAGUACACAGAAUAACAAUAGUGAGGUUAUCAGAAGGAGAUGAGAAAGCAGAACUCUGAGAAAGGAGAUAAGAGACAUAGACUCUUCAUAAUAAUUCUUGCAUCAAUCGUUAUGUCUAAUCCCAAGUUGUAUUUAACCAAUUGAUAUAUUCCACCAAUUAAAGUUGGAGGGAGUUGUUAUAUUCCACCAAAGUCACGAACUUCAUCUUAUCAUUUAAUCACCAUAGAAAAGAUAGACAAAUGAAGAUUCACUAAUAAGCUAAUUGACCCAAGAUCAUCUCUUUUUUCAAUCACUUCUUUUAUAUGUUAGUAUACUACAUAAGUACACUGAAAAUUCACAGGUACGUGACCUAGUGUUCAAUGAAGUGAGUUGACUAUAAUGACGCUUCAAGUUCAAAUUCUAAUAGUGACAAAACUAGGUGAGUUCUGUUGCGGAAGCAGACUAGGUAGAGUGUGAUUAUUGUACAACUACUACCCCAAAAUAAAAGCCGCUAAAAACUAGUAAAAGAGAAAAAAUAAAAAGAACACUGAGUUUACAAGGUUCGGAAAAAAUAUUUUACCUACAUCCUGGGACACAACUGACCAAAUUUUAUUCCACUCCAAAAAUACAAGUGAAAUAUUACGAAAGAGAGAGAAUACUCAAAAUUUCUCUCUCAAAAUGCCUUAAGAAGAUGAGAAGGCUAUCGUGAGAUGUGUGUUUAAAACUAAAAUAUUUGGGUUUCUUUUAUAGGGAGGAAGGCCCCCCUAUUUUCUCCCACAACCGAUAUGGGAUAAUCCCACUUUCAACAAAUCUCCACCUUGGGAUAUCCCACAUCUUCAAUUCUCUCUCAUAACAAAUUUCAAUUGUGUCUUCAAGUUUUUGAACUUCAAUGUUCAACAAUGUUGAUCAAAUCCAAACAAUGUCCAAACUUGAUCGCAUUCACCACUUUAGUUAGUAUAUCAACAAGAUUCUUUGUAGUCUUGAUUUUCUGCACUGUGACUCCACCUUCUUCUAUUAUUUCUCGUAUGAAGUGAUACCGAACAUCAAUGUGCUUCAUUUUUGCAUGAUAAACUUGGUUUUUCACUAAUUGAAUGACGCUUUGACUAUCACAAAAUAUUGUAAUAGUUUCUUGUCUGAUACCAAGUUCCUUAAGCAAUCCUUGAAGCCAAAUUGCAUCUUUCACAGCCUCUGUAAUAGCCAUGUACUCUGCCUCAGUUGUAGACAAAGCAACUGUUGACUAUAAAGUAGACUUUCAACUAACUGGCGCUUUUGCAAAAGUAAACACAUAACCAGUAGUUGACCUUUGUUUGUCCAGAUCAUCGACAUAAUUAGAGUCACAAUAUCCAACUACACACAAAUUUUCUUCAUGCUAAAAAACUAACCCAACAUCCACGGUAAUACGAAUAUACCGCAAAAUCUAUUUCAUAGUUUGCCAGUGUUCUCUUCCUGGAUUAUGCAUAUAUCUGCUCACAAUCCCAACAACAUGUGAAAUUUCAGGUCUUGUGCAUACUAUUGCAUACAUCAAGCUACCAACAACACUUGCAUAUGGUACCCUUGACAUAUAUUCUCUUUCAAUUUCAUUCUUUGGAGACAUAUCACCACUAAGCUUAAAAUGGGGAGCUAACUGAUUUUGUUUUUUCAUCCAUACUAAAUCGAUCUAGCACCCUCUUCAAAUAUUUUUUUUGAGAUAAACAAAGUUUCUUUGAAUGUCUAUCCCUUGUUAUCUCUAUGCCAAGAAUCUUCUUCGUAUCUCCCAAAUCCUUUAUCUCAAACUCCUUACUUAGUGGAGCCUCCAGCUUCUUAAUUUUUGCCAAAUUCUUAGAAGCUAUCAACAAAUCAUCAACGUAAAGGAGAAGAUAUAAAAAGGAAUCAUCCAUAAGCUUGCACAAAUACACACAAUGAUCGUAUUUGCUUCUCACGUACUUCUGCCGCAACAUAAACUUGUCAAAUCUUUUGUACCAUUGUCUAGGAGACUAUUUCAAUCCGUACAAUGAAUUUUCAAGUUUGCACACCAUGAAUCCUUUAGGCUGAGUCAUUUAGAUUUCCUCUUCUAAAUCACCAUGUAAAAACGCUGUUUUUACAUCCAUCUGAACUAGUUCCAAAUCCAACUGCGCUACCAAAUUCAACAUAAUUCUAAUAGAAGAAUGUUUUACAACUGGAGAAAACACUUUAUUGUAAUCAAUUCCUUCCUUCUAAGCAUAUCACUUGGCCACCAAUCUUGCUUUGUAGCGAACAUCAUUUGGUUAGGAAAUUCUUCUUUCUUUGCAUAUACCCACUUGCACCCAAUAGCUUUCUUGCCCUCCGGUAGGUUGGCCAGAUUCCACGUAUUGUUCUAAUGAAGGGACUUCAUUUUCACAUUCAUUGCAACCUUCCAAUUAUUUUCUUUAUAACUUUGGGUAGCUUCUUUAUAAGUGGUAGGAAUAUCGUCAAUUAUGAUUGAGGUUGCACAUGCCAUCGUCUGUAUGAGACACAUAGGCUUCUUUAUUGUUCUUUUGGAUUUUUGGGUUGCUAUUGACUCAAGUUGUUGUUCAGGUUCUUGAGUUGGAACCUACGUGUCAACUGGGUCUGCUUCCAAAUUAUCAUUUGUUUCUUCAUUUGCUUUUUGUGGAAGAAAAAUAAAUUUUCCCUCAAACUCCACCUGCUUUAAAGCACUAUUAGUUACUUUUGUAUCUUCAUCUGCAUCCUUUUUCAUCAUCGUGGAUUCAUCAAAAGUAAUGUCUCUGCUGAAUAUUACUUUUCUUGUCUCAGGACACCAUAGGCGAUAUCCUUUGACUCCAGAAGUAAUUCCCAUAAAGAUAGCCUUCUUAGCUCUUGGAUUCAAUUUUGACUCUUUUACAUGAUAGUAUGUAGUUGAGCCAAAUACAUGUAAAGAAUCAUAAUCCACAGUAGAUUUUCCAUACCAAUUUUCAAAUGGUGUCUUCCCACCAAUUGCAGCAGAUGGUAGCCGAUUAAUAAUGUGGCACACAUAUAUUAUUUCCUCAACCAAGAAUUCUUUGCCCAAGCCAGUAUUGGAUAACAUACACCGUACCUUCUCCAGCAAAGUUCAGUUUAUGCGUUCUACCACUCUAUUUUAUUGCGGUGUAUGUCUGAUAGUGAAGUGUUUGACGAUGUCAUUAUCUUCAUAGACCUUGUUGAAAAGACCAUUCUUAUAUUCACCUCCAUUAUCUGUGCGAAGACUCUUGAUCUAUCUGCCUGUUUGAUUUUCUAUCAUCGUCUUCCAUUUGACAAAAAUUUCUAACACUUCGUCUUUUGUUUCCAUGGUAUACACCCAUAUUAUUCGAGAAAAUUCAUCAACUAAGGUUACAAAAUAGUGUUUCCCAACUAAUGAAGGUGUUUUGGAAACACCCCAAACAUCAGAAUGUCCAUAAUCCAAAAUGCCUUCAGUAUUAUGGAUAGCUAUACCAAAUUUAACCCUUGUUUGGUUUCCCUUCACACAAUGUUCACAAAAUUCCAAUUUUUCAGAUUUAACGUCCUUUAACAAUCCUUGAUCUGAUAGAAUUUUCAAGGAUUUGCCUCCAGCGUAUGCCAAGCGCAUAUACCAUAGCCUGAUUACUUCUGCCUCUUUGUCAACACUAGAUGUGACUGCUGUUUUCCCAAUAAUUAUACUGCCAUGAUAAUGGUAUAAAUUAUUGUUCUUUCGAAUAGCCUUCAUUACCACAAAUGCACCGGAGUAUAUCUUCGUCAUUCCAUUUUCUGUAACAACUUUGAGCCCUUUUGAAUCAAGGGUUCCCACAGAAAUGAGAUUCUUCUUUAAAUUCGGUACAUAUCAAACAUCUGUUAGUGUUUUGAUCAUUCCAUCAUGGUUCCUCAAAUGUAUUGAACCAAUGCCAUAUGCGGUAAGAGAUCUGUUGUUUGCCGUGUGGAUAACUCUAACUUUUCCUUCUUCAAAAUCAACGAAUCAUUCUCGAUUGGGACACAUAUGAUAGCUAUAAGCCGAGUCCAUCAGCCAUAGAUUUGAUGGUUUUGAUGACUCUGUAGUAACCAGUGAGAAAUCUGAGUCGUCACAAUCAGCUACAUUUGAAUACAUUACAGUCUUCCCUUUGUUAGGUUUGGCCUUAUUCUUUAAUUUUGGAUAGUCAUUCUUCCAGUGCCUUUUUUCUCGACAAAAGGCGCAUUCAUCUUUGCUAGGUCUGGACCUUGACUUGGAUUUUCAUUCUUUGUUCUCGUUUGAUUUUCAGAAUGGCCCUUCGUUAUUAGUGUUUCUCCUUCUCCGCUCUUCUAUUUCUCUUUCUUUCUUUGUUCAUAGCUGUACAAAGCUGAACAAACUUAUUUUGGAGAAAUUUUAUCCCUUCUAUGAAGUAGGGUUGUUUCAAGGUGCUCGUACUCAUCGGGAAGUGACCCCAACAACAUUAACGCUAGAUCACCAUCAAUAAAAAUUACAUUCAUAUUUUGAAAAUCUGUAAGUAAUUUAUUGAAAUUGGUGAUAUAAUCAUUUAUUGUGUUACCAGGAACAUAGGUGAAGUGAAAUAUUCUUCUCUUCAUAAAAAGUUUAUUCUGAAUAUUUUUCUUCAAAAAUUUAUCCUCCAAUGCCCUCCACAAUUUACUAACAGAAGUUUCCUUUAUGAAUGGAUACUUUUGUUCUCUUCCAAGGAAGGACCGAAUGGUACCACAAGCAACACAAUUGAUGUAUUUUCAAUCUGCAUCCUCGAUAUUUUCUGGUUUCUCUUCUUCUAGGGUAAGAUCUGUUAUCUUUUAUGUAUCCGGGUACAAAAAUCUGUAUAUAAGAAACACAAACUUCAACACUAGUUCAAGUCCAAGACAAGAAUACUUAUGAAGUUCUGUAACACCUUCAACACUAGAUUACGAAUAAUCUAUCUAAGAAGUGUGUUAAGAUUCAAAAAAGAGAUAAAACAGAAUUUAAGACCAAGUCCUCCGAAUUCACGGAGUGUCCUUAAGGAAUAAUUCUCCUUACUGUACCCGAGGUUUUAGAAUCUUUCUCCCAGGAUAAAAUGACCUUCAAUCCGAACAAUACGGUACCUUAAAUUGUUGAAUUCAGCGAACUCACUCAAUAGUUUGAUAGAUCACACAGAAAGUUUUUCAAGACAAGAAAAGAGUUCAUAUUUUAGAAAAUUCGUACCUAAACCUGUGGAUGAAAGUAGGUUUAUAUAGCUAACAUGUGCCUCUCCUAAAUAGUGAUAAUGGUUUAGUGUGUCAUUUCAUUGAAGGGUUGCAUCCCUUCAUUUUAGCACUGCACUAUUUUGAAACACUGUUUCGGAAUCUGCAUGCAUGCACAUAAAUGGAGUAUCAAAACACAAAAAAAAGUUACAUUUUUCUCUUUGGUAUUUUUGAAUUGAAUUACUGAAUUUCUGUCAAAUAAACUUUGUCUAAAAGGAUAGAUCUCAUCGAUCGAUCAUUUGACAAAUUCAAAUCCAAAUCCGAAGCUGAAGCCGAAGCCAAGCCGAGCGAUGACGACGAUGACGACGCGAGGCAUCUCUUAUUUCUUGCCUCACUUACCAUGUGGAGUAAGUGUUCCUUAUUUUAAACACUCACAAGUUCUCUUCUUCUACCAAUGUGGGAGAAAGAGUGAACUUUCUAAUUUGGGAGUACACUUUCUAAAUUAGUGUCUCCCUUCUCUCCACAUUUUCCCUCCAUUUUUCAUUCACACUUUUUUCAUAUACAUUGAACCCAACAAUCCCCACAUGAAUGGAAAAUGGCUAUUUUUCAUAAAAUUUUUAUGGAUAAGUAUGUGAUCAUCAAGUAAAGACUGAUUGCAUCUGGAUAAGUGGGUUUCCCUUUGAACUUUCAGUAGUGAACAUGCAUCGGAUGCACUCGGUCAAUCGAUAGACUUGAUAUCUUUGAACCCUCGAGCUUUAGUGUAUACCUAGACAACACAUGUCACCCAACCAGUCUUUUACCAUUUAUAGUUCUCACGGUUUUGUUCUUUUCAGCCAUGAUCACAUCCUAGUUUCAUGAGAGCUUAGAGAAUAGGCCUUUACUAAUAUUCUCCUUGAAGCGGCUUCCACUUCACCCUUACAUAGGUGAUUUCUAAACGUUCAAUCCUAUAGAUUAAACUAUUUGGUCAAAUCUGUAAAAUUUAGAUAAUCAUUAAAAGACUUUUCACCUUAAGUCUUAUCCUUGUUUACUCAACAUUGUCUACAUCAUGAUAAUGGGUUGGGUAAUUGACAAUGUUGAACCUGUCAGACAUAACUUUGUUUGAUCUCCUUGAACCUAGCUCUUGGGAUCUCCAGUCUUCUAGGUAGAGUUACCGCCAUGCUGACUUGUCCUAGGCUUUACACCCAUUCCCUUGGAUGCCUUUCCACUCCUUCUCUAGAUAGGCCUUUUGUAAGUGGAUCCGACACAUUAUCCUUUGACUUUACAUAGUCAACAGUGAUAAUUCCACUAGAGAGAAGUUCUUUAAUGGUAUUAUGUCUCCGUCAUAUAUGACAAAAUUUACCGUUGUACAUUAUGCUCCCUGCCCUGCCUAUUAUCGCUUGGCUAUCACAGUGUAUACAUACUGGUGCCACUAGUUUGGGCCAAUAAGAAAUAUCUUUCAAGAAAUUUUGGAGCCAUUCUGCUUCUUCACCGGCUUUAUCCAAUGCGAUAAAUUCAGAUUCUAUUGUAGAGCGAGCAAUACAAGUCUGUUUGGAUGAUUUUCACGAGACUUCUCCUCCUCUAGUAGUAAAUACAUAUCCACUUGUGGAUUUUACUUCGUUCGAUCUAGUGAUCCAAUUUGCAUCACUAUAUCCUUCGAGUACCAUGGGAUAUUUAUUAUAAUGCAAGGCAUAGUCUUGAGUGUAUUUAAGAUUCCCCAAAACUCUUUUCAUUGCCAUUUCCACUCCUUCUCUAGAUAGGCCUUUUGUAAGUGGAUCCGACACAUUAUCCUUUGACUUUACAUAGUCAACAGUGAUAAUUCCACUAGAGAGAAGUUCUUUAAUGGUAUUAUGUCUCCGUCAUAUAUGACAAAAUUUACCGUUGUACAUUAUGCUCCCUGCCCUGCCUAUUAUCGCUUGGCUAUCACAGUGUAUACAUACUGGUGCCACUAGUUUGGGCCAAUAAGAAAUAUCUUUCAAGAAAUUUUGGAGCCAUUCUUCUUCUUCACCGGCUUUAUCCAAUGCGAUAAAUUCAGAUUCUAUUGUAGAGCGAGCAAUACAAGUCUGUUUGGAUGAUUUUCACGAGACUUCUCCUCCUCUAGUAGUAAAUACAUAUCCACUUGUGGAUUUUACUUCGUUCGAUCUAGUGAUCCAAUUUGCAUCACUAUAUCCUUCGAGUACCAUGGGAUAUUUAUUAUAAUGCAAGGCAUAGUCUUGAGUGUAUUUAAGAUACCCCAAAACUCUUUUCAUUGCCAUCCAAUGAGUUUGUUGGGAUUACUCGUGUAUCGACUCAAUUUACUAAUAGCGCAUGCUAUGUCUGGUCGUGUAUAGUUCAUUAUAUACAUUAAAUGUCCCAAUACUCUUGCUACUCCAAUUGUGAGUCACUUUUACCUUCAUUCUUUCAAAGUGCAAAGCUCACAUCCAAUGGAGUCUUGAAAAUACCAAAUUCCAUAUACUUGAAUUUGUCAAGUACCUUUUUGAUAUAAUAAGACUGUGACAAUGCCAACCCUUGUGGUGUUCUAUGGAUUCUUAUUCCUAAGAUCACAUCCGUAACUCUAAGGUCUUUCAUAUCGAACUUGCUCUCAAGCAUUCAUUUCAUUGCAUUUAUGUCUGAAAUAUCUCUACUGAUGAUCAACAUAUCAUCCACAUAUAAACACACAAUGACUUGGUGAUUUGGUGUGUCUUUAAUAUAAGCACAUUUAUUACAUUCAUUAAUUUUGAAUGUAUUUGCCAACAUGGUUUGGUCAAACUUUGCAUGCCAUUGCUUAGGUGCUUUUUUUUUAGUCCAUAAAGUGACUUAACAAGUUUACACACCUUAUUUUCUUUUCUUGGAACCACAAAACCCUUAGGCUGUUCCAUGUAAAUUUCUUCCUCUAAUUCUCCAUUUAGGAAUGCGAUUUUCACAUCCAUUUGAUAGAUUUCAAAUCCAUUUGAUAGAUUUCAAGACCAUAUACCUCUGCCAAGGCAAUUAACAUUUGAAUCGAUGUUAUCCUUAUUACCGGAGAGUAUGUAUCAAAGUAAUCAAGGCUUUCUUUCUGUUUGAAGCCUUUUACUACAAGUCUUGCCUUGUAUUUAUCAAUAGUACCAUCUGCUUUCAUUUUCCUGUUGAAGAUCCAUUAAGAACCUAAAGGUUUAUUUUCUGUUGGAAGAUCAACCAAUUCCCACGUAUGGUUGCUUAUGAUUGAAUCAAUCUCACUAUUGACUACCUCUUUCCAAAAGGAUGAUUCUGAUGAAGACAUUGCUUCUUUAAAUAUUUGAGGCUCAUUUUCUAAGAGAAAUGUUACAAAAUUUGAUCCAAAUGAAGUUGACGUUCUUUGACGUGUACUGCGUCUUGGAUUUUCUUCAUUAUGUAUAUUCUCACUUGGUUCAUCUCGAGGUUGUUUAGACCCUCCACUAGACUGUUCAUGUCUAGUUUUAUACGGAUAAAUAUUUUUAAAGAAUUCAACAUUAUCUGAUUUAAUUACCGUAUUUUCAUUAAUAUCCAAAAGUUUGAAUUUAUGAACCAAAAACCGACAUGCUUUACUACUUUUAGAAUAUCCUUUGAACACGCAGUCCACCGUCUUAGGUUCUAUCUUAACCCUUUUUGUCAUCGGAACUUGGACCUUUGUUAGACACCUUCACACUUUGAAAUAUUUCAAGUUGGGUUUCCUUCCUUUCUAUUUUUUUUAUAAGGGAUUGAUUGUGUCUUACCAUGGGAAACUCUAUUGAGUAUUCGGUUGGCUGUAAGGAUAGCCUCCCCCUACAAGUUUUGCGAUAAACCUGAACUUAUAAGUAAGACAUUCAUCAUUUUCUUUAAAGUUCAGUUUUCCCUUUCUGCAAUUCCAUUAGAUUAAGGUGAAUAUGAGACCGUAGUUUGAUGGACAAUUCUAUUCUCUACACAUAUUUCGGCGAAGGGAGAUUCAUAUUCUCCGCCUCUAUCACUUCUUAUCAUUUUUAUCUUUUCUCUAACUAAUUUUCUACUUCAAUUUUGUAUUGCCUAAAUGCAUUUAUUGCUUCAUCCUUACUAUUUAGCAAGUAGACAUAACAAUAUCUAGUGCAAUGGUCAAUAAAAGUUAUGAAAUACUUUUUCCCACUAUGUGAUGGAGUUGACUUCAUAUCACAAAUGUCAGUGUGUUCUAAGUCUAAAGGAUUGGCAUUCCUUUCAACGGAAUUAUAAGGAUGCUUUGCAUACUUUGAUUCCAUACACGUUUGACACUUUGAUUUAUUGCACUUAAAGUUUGGCAAAACUUCUCAGUUAAUCAAUUUUCGUACCUUUUUGUAAUUAACAUGGCCUAAACGUUCAUUCCAUAAAUUAUAAGACUCAAGCAAGAAAGAAGAAUUUGAACUUUUAUUUAUUUCAACAUUCAUUAUAUUCAUCUUAUAAAGGCCCUCGGUGAGAUAGCCUUUUUCUACAUACACUUCUCCUUUGCUAAUUAUAAUUUUUUUAGAAUAUAAUAUACACACACAGAAGCCUCCCUCACUAUUUCCUCUCACAAUACAUAAAUACCCUCACACUCACUGAUAAGGAAAAUAACCCAUCUAUCGACACUAAGACACACAUAAAAUAUGCCAUAUUCGUACAUCUCUCAAAUACACCUAUAGACAUAGGAGAUUACACGAAAAUAGGGUGAGAGUGAAGCGAGGUCGAGAGAAAAAUAGAGAGAAAGAGGGGAUCGAAGCAUAGAGAGUGAGAUUCGAGGUUGAGAGAUAAAAACAGAGAGGAAACAUGCAUGAGAGAAAUUUGGACAAGUUUUUCACCAAAAAAUUCAUCGCUGCAGAUGGCAUCUCCAUUUUCGGUUGCAUCCGAGCUUAUCGGAGCUCAGGUGUAGCAAAGGGUCCUCUUUUUAAGUUUAAAAUCCACCAGAAAAGACUCAGUCGCUGUUCUUAUUGCUAUUCUGAAGGGUCCACUGGAUUUUUGAACUCAUUGACUCUCUUAUUGCGAUUUCCAUUUUAGCUCAUCGAGCUUGAUACUAGUUUUGGAAUUUAAGUUCGAUUUUCGUUUCGGGUUUGUAUUUCUCCCAAUUCGAGUUGGAUUUGUUUUGUUGUUGGGUCUGAUUCGAGGUUCUUCGGCACGGAUUCUGUCUUUCUUGAUCCAGUAAUACUUGAUUUUGAUCAUCACUCGAGGUCCAUUUCCUUAACCUAUUCUUUUUUUUUUAUUUUUGAUUUGUCUAAUUGGUUGUGAUUAUUUGUGGGUUGAUUAUGAUUGUUGGAUUUGUUGAUUUUUGACUAUGUGUUUGCCGAUGUGAUUUCGUUCAUAUGUGGAAUGAAUUAGAGUAGCUUUGAUGGUGUGAUUGAUAAAAAUGAAGUUAGAAGGGGUGGAAUUGAUAAAUUGAUAAAAGGGGUUGAAUAUAGAUCAAUUUUGGUUUAUUAUUGUUUUGUUCAAUUCGACUUAAGCAUGAAUGUUGUUAGGACGUGAUAGAAUUAUGAUGUGUUGAAAUAGAUAGGCAAAUAUAGGUUUGGGUUGGCAAAUUUAGGAAUAAGUGUUUUGUGGAAUGUUCGAAUGUGGAAUGUGUGUUGAAUGUCUUCUAAUUUCUCGUAUUUGAUUCAAGGGUAUUCAUUUGGCCGGGGAAUGCCUCAAAGUUUCAUGUAUUUAUUUACCGGGAAAUGCCCCGACGUAUUAUUGUCUUUGAAGGAGGUUCGUGAUCAAGGCCCGAGGCAUCGGGUAAAACACGAGAGCUUAGUUUAGGAUUAGUGUAGGUUAGAAUAAGAUUCAUAUUUUUAUAUUUUUGAUUUUGGACUGUAUAAUUGGACUGGACACUAUUAUUUUGUUUUGUUUGCUUGAUUAAUUGUUUUGCGCGCUUUGUGUGAUUUAUACAUUGUAGUAUCAAAUUAGCCGAUAUGCUUCACCAAACGACCAUGGUCGAACCACGGGACGGAGAAUGCCUAACAGCUUCCCCUCGGUCAACAGAAUUCCUUAACUGGAAUCUCUAUUCACGGAUCAGUUUAAAAGAUUCAAAUAUAGUUUUGAAAAAAAAUUUCCAAAGGUGACUUGACACACCCGAUUAUGCCAAGUGGCGACUCUGAGUUUAAAUGUAAAUAGUCCUUUUCGAAAAUAAAUUUUCAUUUUUUGUCACUUUAAUAAAAGCCCUUUCAAACCUAAAAUCAAUUUUUUUCGAUCAAAAAGGGGUGUGACAACAAUCAUUACAGGCAAAUGCACUCACAUCAAACGGAGGGAUAAAUAAAUAGUUCAUUUUUCACAAUAAGUCAUCAUGUAAUUCGUCUUUACCAUUGAACCUGGUUAUAGGAUCUCUAGUCCCCAGGUUGGGUUUUCUCACAUAUGACUCAAGAUUCAAUAGGCUUCAAUCCCAUCCCCCUCGAUGUGCUCUAGACCAUUUCUCUUGCUAAAGCUUUAGUCAAUAGAUCUGCAAGAUUAUCACAAGAUUUGACAUAAUCAACAUUAAUAGUACCGUUUGUCAAAUAUGAUCUCAUAUUACUGUAUUUUCUCCGUAUAGGUAUGGAUUUACCGUUGUAAUAACGGUUUUGAACUCCACCAAUUGCAACGGUGCUAUCAAAAUAAAUUAAUAUAGGAGGAAUUGAUUUUUCAAAAUAAGGUAUUUGAAAUAACAAAUUUCUCAACCAAUUCGCUAUGCCACUAGCUGAAGCAAAAACAAUUAGUCCAGCCUCCAUGGUAGAGUUAACAAUAAUUGUUUGCUUUUUAGACUUUCAACAAAUAGCAUCACAAUCCAAAGUAAAAAUAUAACCAGUAGUGGAUAAGGAAUCACCUGAUAAAGUGUUUCAAUCCGCAUCACAAAAGCCUUCAAGUACAAUAAGAUAUUUUUUAUAGAACAAACCAUAAUUUUUCAUUUCAACUAAAUAUCUCAUUACUCUGGUUAUAGCAUGCCAAUGUUCAUUACCUGGCUUUCUAGUAAAUCUGCUAAGUACUCCUACUGCAUAUGCAAUAUCAGACCUAGUGCAAUCAACCACAUAUCUCAAACUUCCAAUUAUGCUAGCAUAUUCCUUUUAGUUUAUUACAUCAGUUUCACUUUCAACAGGAAACAAGUGAACACUAGAAUCAAAUGGAGUUAUAACAUGCUUGCAAUCAAGAAAAUUAUAUUUUUUCAAUAUUUUCUCAACAUACUGUGAGUCUGUGACUGGUCAAGGAAAAUUUCAUCACAUGUUCUAGUAAUUUUUAUUCCUAGAAUAAAAUUUGCCUCACCAAGAUCUUUCAUUUCAAAAUGGCUUCUAAGAAUAUUUUUAGUUUCAUCAAUAAUAUUCAUAUUAGAGCCAAAGAUCAAUAAAUCAUCAACAUAUAGGCAGAUAGUAACAUGCGAAUUAUUUCAAGACUUAUGAUAUAUGCACUUAUCACACUCAUUUAUUUUAAACCCAUUAUCAAUUAUGCAGGAAUCAAACUUUUCAUGCCAUUGCUUUGGUGCUUGUUUCAAGCCAUAUAGGAAUUUAUUAAGUUUACACACUUUCAUUUUUUUGGUCAGCCUCAACAAAACACUCGGGUUAUCCCAUGUAAAUCUUCUCAUUUAGGUCUCCGUUUAAAAAAGUAAUUUUUAAAUUCAUUUGAUGAAUUUGUAAAUCAAAAAUUGCCGCAAUAGCAAUUAAAAGUCUAAUGAAUGUAAUUUUCAUUACCGGUGAAAAAGUAUCAAAAAAUUCUAGGCCUAUUGUUUAAAACCUUUAGCCACUAGCCUACCUUUGUAUUUAUCAACAGAUCCAUCCGGUUUUAAUGUUUUACGUAAGACCCAUUUCUAUCCAAUUGUUUUACAACCCGAUGGUAAAUCAACUAGCUUCCAAGUUUUAUUGGAAAUUAGCGAUUCCAUUUCAUCAUUUACAGCCUCUUUUCAGAAAAUAGCAUCAUGUGAAGACAAAGCUUCUUUUAAAGUGAGUGGGUCAUCUCCAACGUUAAAAACAUAAUAAUCAGGACCGAAGUCUUUUUCUACUCUAGCUCAUUUACUUCUUCUUAACUCAAAAUCAUCAUUUUCUUUAUCAUUUAAAGUAGAAGUAGAAGAACUAGGUAGUGACAAAAUAUUUUCUUUAGUCCUUUGACCCCUACUAUUUUUAGAAUCAAAAAGGAAUUUAUCUUCAUGAAAAAUAACAUCACUUGAUUCUAUUAUCACACCGUCUUCAAGAUUAAAAAAUCUAUAGGCCGUACUAUUUGAAGCAUAACCAAGAAAAGCAGAAGUAGUAACUUUUUUACCCAACUUAGAGAUUUUGGAAGCCAUCAACCUUACAUAGGCUAAGCAAUCCCAACUCUUAGAUAUCCCAAAUUUGGAUUAUAACCUUUCGACAAUUCAAAAGGCGUUAAUUUGGUCAUUUUAUGAGCCACACGAUUCAACACAUAACAAACUGUCAAAAGAGCUUCACCCCAAAAACUUAAAGGUGCACAAGACUCAAUUAACAUGGCAUUAGUCAACUUAACCAAAGUUCUAUUCUUUUUUUUCCGCUACAUCAUUAGAUGCAAGAGAAUAAGGAGGAGUAGUUUCAUGAAUUAUACUCAAUGAUCUAACAAAAGAAUUGAGCUCGUGUGACUCAUAUUCACGACCUCUGUCGCUUUUUAUUCUUUUUAUUUUUCUAUUAAAUUGAUUUUCAACUUCAUGGAGGAAAAUUUUAAAAUUCUCAAAAGCAUCACUUUUAUUUUUCAUUAAGUAAACAUAUUUAUACUUAGAAAAAUUAUCAAUGAAAGUGAUAGAAUAUCUAUUCCCUCCACGAGUUAAAAUUUUAUCAAGUUCACAAAUAUCACUAUGAACUAAUUCUAAUAAAUCAGUUUUUCUUUCAAUAUGAAAAUGAGGCCUUUUUGUUAUUUUGGCUUUACUCAAAGCCUCACAUUUUUCAAAGUUUUUUUUAAUCACUGAAAUUAAUUUUAAACUACUCAUGAUUCCCACAUAACGAUCAUUUAUAUGACACAAACGAGCAUGCAAAAAAUUAGUAGAAGAAAGCAUGUAAACAGAAGUAGAUGUUUUAUUCAUUUCAACAUUCAACUUGAACAUACCAUCACAUGCAUACCCCUUCCCCACAAAAAUAUUAUUUUCACAAUUACAUACUGAUUAGAUUCAAUAAUAUGUUUGAAGCCUGCUUUAUUAAGAAGAAAACUAGACAUCAAGUUUUUUCAUCAAGUUUUUUCUCAUAGGAGGAGUAUAAAGUACAUCUUUUAAGAUUAAUACCAUUUCAGAAGUAAAUCUCAACUCGACAUCUCCCACUCCAAGUAUUUUAGUUAUGUGUGAAUCUCCAAGCAUGAUGGUUUUGGCCUUCUCAAAAUUAUAUAAUUUUUAAAUCAGUCUUUGUCAUAACAAACAUAACGGUUUGCACCAGAGUCAGCCCACCAUCCAUAAACAUUCUCUACCAUAUAUAUGUCUAUUAUCAUCGUCACAAAUGGUUCUUCAAUAAUGUUUGCCUGAGGUGUAGGCCCACAUUUUCGAAACCUGCAAAAUUGAGCAAUAUACCCACUCUUGCCACAGACAAAGCAUGGCCCUUUUUGUUGUACAUGUUGAUUUUUUGCUUGGUUGUUCCGACCAUAAUUGUUCUUGGGAUGUUUACCAUCAUUUUUCUUGAAUAUUUUCUUCUUAGGCUUCAAAGUAGUAUUUUUGUUAAUUUCAGGGGUAACAUUAUUUGAAGAAGUUAAAUUUAUCUUCGGUGUGAUGUUGUUCUCUUCUGUUUGCAAAAGUGCAUCUUGGUUCCUUGCUUCUUCUUCCAUGCAGAUUCUCAUUAUCAUGGUCUCAAGAGAAGUUUCCUUUUGCUUGUGGCAUAUAGUUUUUUGAAACUCCUUCCACGAAGGUGGAAGUUUAUCAAUUAUGCCACAAACAAUAAGGUUAUCUCCAAUUUUUAUUUCUUCAGACCUAAGCUCACCAAUAAUCAUUAUGAAAUCCUGAGCUUGGUCUACCACUGAUUUAUUGUCCACCAUUUGGAAACGAAAAAAUCUGCUAGCCGCAUAUUUUUUCGCUCCCGCCUCACCUCUUCAGUGUCAUACUUACUCUGCAAGGCUUUCCAAAUUUAUUUGCACUACAGUAAGUUCUAUCAUAAUAAUCAUAAAAAUUAUCAGACAUCCAAUUAAGUAAAAAAUACCGACACUUGUAGGAGUCACCGUUGUAUUUUCAACUUUCUCUUCAAAAGAGAUAAGUUCGUCGUCAGUCAUGGAAGAGUUAUCUACUUUAUUUGGGUUCUUCUCAGUUAACACAUAAAAAAUAUUGAGAAGACUUAAGUAGAAAAACACUUUACCCUUCCACCUCUUAAAGUGAGUACCGUUGAACCGGAAUGCCUUGUUGAGAUCUCCCAUAUGGACAUCCGCAAAUUUUUCAGUUAUUGCCAUUGAGUCUCCUUAAAAUUAUUGGUGAAAUUACAAUAAACUUACAACUAAAAAUUAUAAGUGAAGAAAAUAUAAAAGACUAUCUUCUUCUUCGUCGGCUGAGGUGCGGAUAUCUUGCUCUCUUUAAGGAGAUUCAAGCCCACUGCAGCAAGUGUUUCACCAGUUCAGCAGUAAUACUCUUGACUUGUCCCCUCCAGAAUACAACAACCUUCUCACAAUAACUCAACAACUCUGGAGAAGAGUUGAGUUCAAAGCUCCACAAUAAAAACACCUCCCUUCAACUAAUAAACUCUCUUAUUUUGUUUGCUCUGCAGUCACUUAUAUUGUUUCAAAAAACAUUCAGACUUACAAAUUUCUUGGAUCUUUAUUUAUGAGUUGCUUCCUCUAAUUAUAUAGAAAAAAUUUGAACUAAUGGAAGCUGAUAAUAGUUUAGUAAAAUUAUUAUGCUACUUUAUGAAUUAAUGGAGAGAGCAUAAAAUGAAGGUGGAAUGGUGCAACAUUUAAGGGACAAAAAUGAGUGCACCAUUAUAAGUGUGAUAAUGUUAAAAAAAUGCAACAUCACUAUGCAAUAGAAAUUGAAACAAAGAGUAUUAAAAGAGAAAUAGGGAAUUAUUAAGGUCAAUGCACUAAGACUUGGAUGACAAGCUAGAAACCCAGAUAUUUAAACUAAAAAUUAGUAUUAUUAUUAAUUAGAUUUGAGUUCAUGAGCAUUGAUAUUAAAAGAAAGGAUAAAUUUCUUAUAAUCACACAUUAAGUUUCUAUUAUUACUUAAAAUACUAUACAACUAAACUAAUUAUAAAAAUCCUUUUUUACUCAAAAUAGUUGCCUCUUUUCUGAUACAUCUAACCCACCCACAUCCCCUUAUUGUGCCGCAAAUCAAGUAAAAAAAUCAGGAAAUAUAUUCCACGAUUUUCUCAACUCACCCAUUUUGAAUUUUCACAAUGUUCUCAUCUUUGUCUUUUACUUCAACAUUCAAGUUACAACUUCCACUAAUUUUCUUUUGAAUUUCCACCAUGUUCUCAUCUACUACUCAAUUAGACCUAACAACUCCAUCUUUCCACCAUUAUCUUUUUUUUUUAAUUUUCACCAUUUCAUUAUGAUAUGAACGACAUUGAUUUUCGUGAAAAUAGAUUGAAAUAUCAAAAUGACUUGGCCAUGAUGAAGAAGUAAUCGAUUAUUGCAUCUGUAAAGAGGAAGAAGUAAGUUACCAAAAAUCAAUUUUUGUGACACUGCAUGCAUUCUGAUACAACAUAAAUUUUACAUGUGAUUUUGUUUCUUUAUAGAUAUAAUACAUUCAAUAUACUGCUUCUGAUACAUAGAUUCAAGGUUAAUGAGUCCUUGCAUGCUUUAUGAUACAUAAUACAAUAUAUAUGUGAUUAUGGUUCAGUUUUAUACUUGAUACAUGUAAUAUACUUAUUAUGAUACUUAGAUCUAAUUUUGUCGAGAUUUUAGAUUUAUAUGAUACAUUCUAAAAAUUGUAUGUGAGUUUGUAGUUUCUUUUACACCUGAUACAUUAAACAUUAUGAGUAUGAUACAAAAGUAUAGGAUAUAUCAUUACUUCUGAUACAUAGUCAAUGUUGAAGUUGAUUUAUAUUAUUUUUUCAUCCGAUACAUUCAAAUUAGUGAGUAUCAGACAUAUUUAGGGACUUUGGAGUUUUUGUAAUAUGUUUUGCUGAGUUUCGUAGUGAUAGUUCGGUUCCUUCAUCUGAUUUUGAUGCAGAAUAUCAUCAAAAGAGAUACACAAUAUUCUUAUGGAACUAUGGUGUCGUCAAGGCUAGGAAAGGAUAUGCUAGCGACAAUGAAGUUUCACCAAAAAUAAUAAAGAUAGGAAGAACUUGGAGAAUUUUGAUUGAGGGAGAUUAUUUGGUGAUUCAAAUUUGAAUUAUGAAUCUGUUACUAAUUUUUAGGGAUUAAAGAGAUAUAUCUCAAUCAAAAUUACAUUAAUUGCUUCGUUAUUUGCCCUUUUACUGUUAUUUUCCUUUUUUUUUUAUAGUCAAUUAGUUUGGUAGUUAUGUAUCUGUCGGUUAUGUAUCCAGACCAAAUUUAUGUAUCAUAUUUGAAUAUUAAGUAAUUAAUAUAAAAGUUGGGAAAAAGGAUAAUUAGGUAGCAAAAUAUUGGGAUUUAUGUUGUUUACCCUAAAAGAAAUCCAUCUAACUUUCUUUUUAACUUGUUCAUCCUCUCAAUUGAAACUUGGUCUUGGGCCCUGUACCAAAUUAUCUCAUCUAAAGACCGUUUGGUUAUAAAAUUUUUAUUUUUUGAGAAUUAAUUUAUGAGUAACUUACAUAAAUCCCUGAAUCUUUAAGUGAUAUUAAAUAAAAUUUUAAUUAUUUUACUAAUUACAUCUUAUCUCGAAUUUUUGAAAUGGUGAUACAUAUGUUAAGCGGUGAUACAUAUAAAAAAGUGAUACAUAUGAAACAGAUCAGAUCUUUAUUUAAGGAAGUAAUGGAUUUUUUCUGAUUUCAACAACGCAAAUCACGACAAAAUAGUUACAAGCGUUAAAACGCAAUUCCAUUCAACAAGAGCUCAAAGUUGAAGCAAACCAAUAUUUUUGAACUAUACUAGAUUACAAGAUCAAAUUUUUUGAAUUUUGGGGAAAAAAUCGAUCUUCCUUCUAAAAUUUCUGGUAAUCUUCAAUGGAACUCGUGACGGUGUUGUUGUGUCAUUUCGGAGAAUGUGUUUAAAAAAUAAGGUACGAUAACUAUCGGGUCGACGGUAUUGUAAUUUAUGAAAAAACACUGUACCGUAAUUUAAUGGAUGCCAUAUCAAUUCAAUUGAAAAUUGACGUUUCUCUGAAAAGAAUUCAUGCCAAAUACAUUAUUUAAGGCAAUUUAUCAGCGUUGGAGAUUCAUAAUUAUAUGACUGUGAAACUUUUUCUUCAGAUUUUGAACGAGGCAAAGUCACGCGCAUGAUGGUAAGUUGAUUUGCUGACUUUUUUUAACUAUCUGAUAAUAGAUGUAUCAUAGUGAUAUAUCUGGAACUCAUAUGUAUCACUUUGAUACAUCUGCACAAAUAUGCCUCCACUUGAAAUCUAGUUCUGCAUACAAUGAACAAAGAUUUAGGAAUUUAUGUAAGUAUGAUUAUUUGGUGAUUCAUAUAUCCGGUGAUUCAUAUAACUUGUGAUUAAUAUAACUGGUGAGUCAUAUUGGUGAUGCAUAUAAAUGGUGUUUCAAAUAACUGGUGAUUCAUAUAACAGAUUCGUAUAAUCGGUGAUUCAUAUAACAAAUUCGUAUAACUGGCGAUUCAUAUAACUGGUGAUUCAUAUUGGUGAUACAUAUAACUGGUGAUUCAUGUAACUGGUGAUUCAUAUUGGUGAUGCAUAUAACUGGUGUUUCAUAUUGGUGAUGCUUAUAACUUGAUAUAUUCUGUUUACAAUUGAAAGAGAAAUAUUUUGUAUAUUAGUUAAUUGUUGAUUCAUAUUGUAGGUUAUUCAUAUAACUGUUUUUUUGUGUUGGUGAUUAAUGUAACUGAUGAUUCACGUAAUUAGUGAUUCAUAUAAUUGGUGAUUCAUAUAAAUGGUGAUUGAUAGUGGUGAUUUAUGUAACUGAUGAUUCAUGUAAUUAUUGAUGCAUAUAGUUGGUGAUUCAUAUAAAUAGUGAUUCAUAUUGGUGAUUUAUGUAACUGUUGAUGCAAAUAACAAGUGAUUCAUAUAAGUGAUACAAAUAACUAAUUAUUCUUGUAAGUGGAUAUUCAUAUAAAUGGUGAUUCAUAUUGGUGAUUCAUAUAACUGGUUAUUUAUGUAAUUGGAUAUUCAUAUAAAUGGUGAUUCAUAUUGGUGAUUCAAAUGUUAGGUCUUAUGCGAUUUAGAUCUCUUCUACAUUAUGAGAGCAGUAAAUUAACACUUAGAUUUGAGACACCUGUGUUUUUGUUUAAAGUGAUGCUGGGGAUAUCUGUCAAUUUUUUGUGAUUUUUGCCUUACAAGAGUUUAAACAAUUUCUGCAUAUAUGUCUUGUCCAUGGAGAAUUAUUUGAUUUAUCACGAUUCGUAUGGUUAGAUUUGGUCCUAACUUUGCCUUAUCUAGGAGAAUUGUCUCCUUAAUAAUGGAGUAUAUAGAUGAUUCACUGUGGUUGGCUGCAGAUUUUAGCUCAUGUAAUGAGCAGGUCUUGAGUUUAUUUAUAUAAACAACAAUUAGGCCUCAGUCCUAAAUAAGUCGGGAUAGGCUAUAUGAAUCCUCAUUAACCAUAUUAAACCAAAACUUUAAGAGUUCUAGAAGCUCUCUAACUUUGUGCUAUCAUAAAAGUCUCCUACUAGAACUAAGAAACUCCUAGAAAGCAUAGGCCCUAAAGUAAAUGUAUUUACAUGGCUAAAUAUAUUCUCCGUUGAUUGGUAUGGACAUAUAUUCUGUAUUUUCAUUAUGUCCCAUCUAUAUUUGUUUGUCAAAAUAAUUAAAUUUUGUUUCUACAUAUACUUUACUUCUACUUUCUUGGAAAUUUAUACAGAUUUUUCUUGUAUGUUACAGGUUGCUGCCCGAGAAUUCAUUUGUAGAGAGGCAGAACGAUUAAGUUUAAUGGUAAUGGAGAAUUCUAAACUUGGGCUUGCUUUGACGCAUGAUAUGUUUAUUCUGCUCUUAAUUGAUCUCACUGUUAACUAACCUUUUUUUUUGUUAUUCCUUUCUCUCCAGGAGUUCAGGUAUACCAGUAUUGUUUGCAUGUUGGUGCUUGCUAUGUGUCUUCAGCAAAACAAUGUAUCUUUAUAGAUUCUACUUUUAUAGAAGUCUACUUAAAGAAUUUUUUAUUUUCAUUUCUCUUUUAAUUUUUUGUUCUUUUGAAGAAAACACAUGUUGUAUUAUUGUCUUAUUGCCACUGUAUUUAUUAUCAUUGACGAGAUUAAAUUUUGAUAAAUGAGAUUACAAGAGUUUCUAUCUCCCCCUCUCUCUCUCACACAUAUACACAUAUUUGUCUCUUUUGUGAACUAGCUACAAAUCGAGCCUUGAUGUGUGGUGGUAAGUAUUGACAGAAAACUACACAGAAAUGCACACACACCAGACAAAUAGAUGCAUUUGGUUUGAAUAUGUUUUCUUGGAAACAAUUGCAUUUUAAUUUAAUUUUGGAGGGAUUGUUUUGAUGUUGAAAAGAAAAAGUUUGGUAUCAGAAGAAUACAAUUGCUGUUCUUUUAUAUUUCUACACAAAAAAAUCCUUAAACUCAGCAGUAAUGUUUAUUAUAUGGCUAGUUGCUGGUGCACCAUUCUCAUUUGAACAAAUUUAACAACAAUGUCCCAUUUUGAUCUUGUUAGAGCCUUAUAUUUUCUCCAAAGAGGACUACAAAUUUAAACAUGGUUCUGAAAUAGCUGUCACCACUGCCACAGUAACAGAAUAAUCUUUUGGCAAAAUAUAACGCUAUCCUAUGCUACAAAGAUAAACUCCAAUACAGAGGAAGGCGUAUGGGUUCUAAUAGUUGGGAAUUAAUGAUCCUGAAAAUAUCUAAAGUAGCUGGUAGCAAGUCAAGAGUAUACAAGGUUAAAUUUCAAACAAAUAUGAUUCCACUUUUUUGAAUAGUAUCAAGAAUAAUCCCAAGUCUGACCUCUAUUCUCUCAUUCUUCCCGGGUUCAUAUGCAAUGGCAUAGACAUCAGCUUCUUUUGAUAUCUUUGCAAUCAACUUUCCUAUUACCCUAGCAUCAUCGUUAUCAGUAAGGAAUGUCAAUGUAUUCCUCAAGUCUCUUACAUUUGUGGUAGCAACGGAAAUCACCUUGCUAGUUCCUCGAUGCAUGAUAUCAAUGUCGAAAAGAAAGAUCAUAUUUAGCAAUUGUUUGGUUCCUCGAUGCAUGAUAUCAAUGUCGCAAAAAAGGAACAAAUUUAGCAACUGUUUAGAUAACCUUUUUGUAAUACCUAUAUGAAUCACCAAAAAAAUAUGAAUCACCAAUUAAUCAGUUAAUCUGCAAAUAAAUGAAUCACCCCUAUGAAUCACCUGUUAAAAGAACCAAUUAUAUGAAUCAAUAUUUAUGAAUCACCAGUACCAUAUGUGUAUCACCAAUUAAAAUAUCAUUGUAGUGUUUCACACAUAUGAAUCACCCGUAUGAAUCACCAAAAAAUAUGAAUCACCACUUAAUCUGUUAAUAUGCAAUUAUAUGAAUCACCCAUAUGAAUCACCAGUUAAAAGAAUCAGUCAAAUGAAUCACUAUCAAUGAAUCACCAGCACAAUAUAUGUAUCACCAAUUAAAAUAUCAUUUUAUUAAUUCACCCAUAUGAAUCACCCGCAUGAAUCACCCAAAAAAAUAUGAAUCACCAAGUAACCAGUUAAUCUGUUAAUAUGUUAUUAUAUGAAUCACUCAUAUGAAUCACUAGUUAAAAGAACCACUUAUAUGAAUCACUAUUUACGAAUUAGUUGCGAAAAUAAUACCUGCUCCGACGGGGAUUUGGAGAUUUGUUCAAUUUUAUCCUGAUCUUCCAUUUGCAUGUCAGAAACUUGAUUUUUAGCAGCAAAAGCUUCUCUUAAAUUCUUCAAUUUUUCAGAAUCAUUCCGCUGCUUUGAUCGAUUUUCACUAAAACCUAAUUUGGUGUAAUCAAAAUUGCCCAGAGUAAAAUCCAGGACUUGAUUGGUAUCAUGAACAGCUUUUUGUGUUUCAAUUUGUGAAAUCUCCAAGUUGAAUGAGUGUGAAUCUUCAUUAGCCAUUGAAGAUAAAACAAAUUAACACAAAAGGAUUUUAAAGCAUAAACCAAAAGCUAACCUCUUUGAAGAAGUUGUCAAUUAUUGAAAUUAAAGGAUGAAUGAUUAAGGUUGAAAUUAGUUGAAAUAUUAGAGAAUGAAGUUUACUCAAAAUCUAUUAGAAAUGGGAGAGAUUUUAUGGGAGUAAUUUUUGGAGAAAAAAAAGGAUGAUGCGUAAAAGGAAGAAAGAGAUGGCGUGAAAAGAGAAGAGAAAAUAGGGUGUGCAAGUUAUAGCAUAUGUAUCAAGAGUAAAUAUACAAAUAGGGGUUUUAUGUAAUUUUUAAAAUAUUAAGGGAUAUUAUGUAAUAUAGUGUCUUAAAUAUGAAAUUUGUGUAAUUUUACCUUAGUCUAUUUCAAAAAGGAAAAAUUUACUAUGGGCCUCAUGCACCACAUCAUAUUUGCAUGAGACCCCUAUUAUUUUGACACAUAAACUUCGUGGGCGCCGCCACUUAAAGUAAUUUUUAUUUUUAUAUUUUUUUGCUUCUCAGUUUUUUUUUUUGGACAAAUCACUUUUUUCCUUUUCCUUUUUUAUGGUGUUAAAUUUUAUUUACUAUUUUUUAUUUAACGUUCUUUGUCCUUUUCUUCAAAUUAUUUUUUUCCCUUAUGUUACUGUACUAAAUAAAUUGAAUUUUUUUUAUUUUUGUUGUAUUUUUAUUUCCUCCUAAUUUUUAUUUGUUGAUAUUUAUAAACAAAUUAAUUUUUUUGUCACUCGAGCAUGGUGGUAAUUUCUAUUUUUAAUUAUAUUCUCUUAAUCUUUUGUUAGUAUAAAGAAUUUUGGAUAUUGAAAAUUUGAAAUUAAAUUUCAUAAGUAAUAAAUUUAUCUUUCGUAAGUCUAUAUGUAUUAUUUAUUAUGGUUCAAUAUUAUUACAGUCAUCUCUAAUAUUUAAAAAUUAAAGAAUCAUCACAUACUUUUUAUUGUUAAGGACAUCUCUUGUAUAGUAAAAUUUAAAGUUGAUAGGAUCAAGAAAUAGAGUGGGUCCUAAAUAAAUUUAAAUAUCGAUUUUAAUUUUUUUAAUAUUCUUUUCCUACAAUUUUAGAGUUACCCAUCAUUAAAUAGACAUAAAAAUUAAAUUAAAAUAUCCUUUAGAGUUCGUUUGAAUAGGAUUAAAAUCUGAUCAAAUCAACUUUUAAUUUUUUUUUUUUAGAUUUUUUAGAUGUGUGGUAGAAUUAAAAAGUACUUAAAAAAAGUUCAAAUUUAAUUUUUUUAAAAAAGCAAAUAGUGAGACGCCGGGUACCCCCAACUUUUUACUUUUUAGAUUAAAAUUCUCUUUAGUUUAACCAAGAUAUUUACCUUUUUAUUUCUUAUAUUUUUCUCCAAUUUCAACAAUGCCCUAAAUUUGUAGGCCUUAAAUAUAUUAUUUUUCUUUAUUUUUCUCUUUGCCUCUUCUCACCGUCUCUUUCCUCUAAUUUUUUCUUCAUCUUUUUUCUUUGUUUUUGAAUUAUUAGAAUUAAAAAUUAUAUAUAAUUCAACUUAUUUAUGGUAGUAGCAACUUUAAAAAUAUUUAAGUCAUUUUAAUAAUAAAAAAAAUAUUUAACAACCCUUGUUUAUCAAGCACUUCCACAACUUUUUUUUCAGUUUCAACACUUCUAUCCAAAUAUUUAUCUGCUUAAUUUUGAAACACUUAUUUUCAGCUUUUAAACAUAUAAACUAAAAAGUUAUUUUUUAAUUCUAUCCAAACGGACUCUUAAUUGGUCUUAUAUUAAAAAUAUAUAAAAUAUAUUCAAGUAUUCUUUAACUUUUGUAAUUUUAAACAUGUCAUAUAAAAAAUUAAAAUUAAAUAUUUUUAGAAAUGAAAAAGAUAUUCUUUUCUAAAUGAACUUAUAGAAAAAUGACAUAAAUAAACUAAAACAAAAAAAUACUAUAUAAAUUUGAUUUGGUUGCAAAUAUCUACAAAUAAGAAUUAGAAAAAAAAAUCAUUAAUUUGAUUAGUUUCAUGAGCAAAAAAAAAUGAACAAACAAAAGUAAAGAAAGAAAAAAAAAUAUAAUAAAUAAAAAUUUUACCCCUAAAACAAAAGAGUAAAACAAUGAGUUGUCUAAAAAAAAAAGUGAAGGUAAAGGAAUAAGGAGUGAGAGGAAGAAUGAAUUGUUUUGAUAGGUGGAUCCCACAAUAUUUAUGUGUUAAAAUAAUAGUGGCCUCAUUCAAAUAUGAUGUGGUGCAUGAGGACAAUAGUAAAAUUUUCUUUUCAAAAAUAGUGUUUGGUUAUGAAAAUUUUAAAUAUAACUUGAAGUUGUCACUAAUUUUAUUUUUUUCAUUCUUAUUUCUCUCACAAAAAUAGAAAAACUAUUUCAAUUUAUAUUUAUUGUUAAACACAACACUAAUUUUGACUAUAAAAAAUUAUAAUUUUAAUGAUCAAUUGCUGACUAAGUUAUCAUAGUGUUAUAAUCAAUUGUAACAGUAACACUUUAACUUUCACCACUGACAAAUCAGUUUUUGUCCUUAGGCUUAUCCAUGUAAGUGGUGGUACAUAAAAAAAAAGUCAUCAAUUGAUGCUAAGGGCCACAAAGCAUCAUGUUUUAAACUAGGUUACUUUCCCCACUUUAUGGGACAUGCCACUGUCCCAACUAUGUUGAAACCACGAUUGGACACUUUUGGCUUCUUUCAAUUGCACAAUUUAUAAGUUUACAUAAAAAUCUAACCAUAGGUGCUACAAUUAUGGAUCCACACAAUAUACAGUUACGGAAAGGUCAACUCGAUUUACUAAAGUUAUCGCUAUAUGCGGUAACUGGAAAAGGGUACCACCACAAAGGUGUAUCGUACGCAACCUUACCUUACAUUUCUAUCAGUAGCUAUUUUUAAGGCUUGAACCCGAGAUCUCUUGAUCACAUGACAACAACUUUAUCAGUUGCUCCAGAGCUCUCCUUCAUACAAUAGUAGUAAGGAAAAAAAAAGAAAAGAAGAACACAUGGUUGCAAAAUUGGAAGUAGAAGCUCUUUAGGAUAUCAUAGUACAGGAGCUACACUGCAUUACAUAAUUGGCUUUUUAAAUGUGUCAUAAAUUUUAUUUAGUCACUUGUAUUAAGUCAUGUUAUAACUGAAUACAUUGUUAUGAAUCUGUUAUGUAAAUUUGAACAAAACUAAAGGUGAUAUAAAUUUGGAGAAUGUAAAGUUGUUUUCUUUGUUUAUUUCUUCACAAACCAUAGGCUAUUUAUAGCUCAAAUUAUGAUUUUUACAUAAUUUAAUAUUCAAGAGGUGGGGAAAAUUACCCAGUAAGAUAAUUACCCACUUAAGAAAAGAUAAGCUAAAUGGACACUUAUGUCAUCCAUUAGCUAAAUGGAUGCUUAAUGUCAUCCAUUCACAACACUCCCCCUUGGAUGAUCAUGUGAAAAAAAAUCUACUGAAUACGCAUUUGAGUGCUGUCUCAUUAAAAAUCUUACGGAAAAAACUCAGUAGAUAAAAACCUUGGUUAAGGAAAAAAGAAUGCAGUGCGUAUGUGUAGACACGUAAUUUUGUCAUUUUUCGAAAAUAUUUUAAUCAUUUUUAUUUUAUUUUAUUUUUUUAAUUUUUAUUUUAUUCACUUUAUCAUACUUUUGUUUAAUUGAUAAUUUCUCCCCAAAAAAAGAAUUGAAAAUAAUUAAAUACAUAACAUCUUUGCCACCUCACUAUGCCACCUCAACACCUCACUUUCCAUUUUUCAUUGGAUACAUGCAAAAGACACACCCUACUCAUUUUUUCACACGCCAUCCUCAUCUUUCCGCAUGCCACACUGACUUUUCCACAUGCCACACACUUAUUCCCACAAGCCACCAAUUAUAUGCUUUCACAUAGGAUAAUAAAUAAAGAAAAAGAAAAACCAAAUAAAAAAUAUAAAAGGAAAAUUCUAAAUCGAGAGAGAAACAGUAUCGUGAACAGUGCCGUGAACAGAGUUGUGAACAGUACCGUGAACAGUAUAGGCUUUCGGGUUCGAUUGGAUUUACGGAGCUUCAGUUUUGGGUCACAAAUUUUUUAGUACGGAGUUGGAGUUCGUCAUUGUUGAGGUCCUAUUAGGAAUUCUAUAUUGGAGUUUGUCAUUGUUGAGGUCCUAUUAGGAAUUCUAUACUCCGGGCUUUCUUGAUUUUACUAUCACCGAAAUCGAUUCUUCAAAGGUCCAUCUCUCAACUCUACUUUUUUAUUAUAUCGAAGUUGGUUAAUAUCAUGAUUUUGUGGUGCGAUUUUGAAUAUUUCGAGCAAAAUGUUAAUUGUUGUUGUGGACAUGAAUGAUUGGUAUGCUUAAAUGUUUGAAUCUUCGUUGGGGUAUGUGUUGUUGGUUUCGAAUUUUGAAAAGUGAUUUGAUAGUCGAAUUGAUUUAAUAAUGUGGUUAAAAAUGGAUUUGGGGGAUGAAAUUGAGAAAUUGAUAAAAAAGUUGAAUUUAGAUUAACUUUGAUUUAUUGUUGUUUUGUUUAAUUCGUAAUGAGAAUGAAUAUUGUUCGAAUGUGAUAAAAUUAUGAUAUGUUGAAAUGGAUAGGCGAAUGUUGGUUCGGGUAGGCAAAAAUUUAGGAAUAAGUUUUCUUGUUGAAUGUUUGAAUGUGGAAUUUGAGUUGAACGGUUUGGUUUUAGUUCUUGCAUUUGAAAAUGUAUUCAUUUAAUCGGGGAAUGCCCCGCGAUCACUUGUAUUUAUUCACCAGGGAAUGCCCCGAAGUAUUUUGUAUUUGGAGGACGUCCGUGAUGAAGGCCCGAGGCAUCGGGUAACAUGGGACCGUUGUAUAAAAUUAGUGUAGGGUUGAAUAGGAUUUACAUUUUCGCAUUUUUUUUUUCUAUUUUGGAUUGUAUAAUUGGACUGGACAUUAUUUUUGAAUUUGUUUGCUUGAUUGAUCGUUUUAUUUAUAUUUGGUGUGGUUUAUACAUUCAUAGUGUCCAAAUUAGCCGAUAUACUCCACCAAGCGACCAUGGUCGAACCACGGGAUCGAGGGGUGCCUAACACCUUCCCUUCGGUCAACAGCAUUCCUUAGCCGGAAUCUCUGUUCGCAGAUCAGUUUUAUAGAGUCAAAAUCGUUUUGAAAAAGGAUAUCCACGGGUGACUUGGCACACCUCAUUUAUGCCAAGUGGCGACUUUGAGUUUUGAAACUAAUGAAUCCUUUUUCGAAAUAAUUUUCAUCUUUUGUCACUUUAAUAAUAAAACCCUUUCAAAACUUAAAAAUCAAUUCUUUUUGGGAGUGAAAAAAAAGGGGUGUGAUAGCUCUGGCGACUCUGCUGGGGAAUUUUCAGAAUUCGAGCUUAUUUUGGAGUUGUAUCGACUUAGUUUGGCACUAUAAGUGUAUAGACAUUUUGUUUUUGUUGUUUUGUGUUAUUGUUUAUCAUUGUUGAGUGUCUAUGUGCUCUUUGUUUACAAUUUUUACUUUAUGUGUUACCGUUUUAUAUCUGGCAUCAUGUGCAUAACCCGAGUCUUUUUUGCAACAAGUCCAUAGUACACGUGUGUACACGAUCUAUAGUUGAGUCACCCUUAUUGUAGGAGGGGGAGCUGUUGGGUUGUAUGGAGUAGGUGGACAGCUAAAGCAAUCCACUAUCGACCAUAGGCUCCCCGAACAGCCUUGUUAGUGGACCCUAGCGUAGGUCGGCCUUUAGGUCAUGCUUAUCUGCAUCAUAUUAAGACCUAGCGGGACCCAUAUGACCCUGAUAUAUUGUUUCAUCAAAAUGUCAUCAACAAAUCUUGCCGUAAAUAAAUCUCCAGUCAUAGGUUCAAAAUAUUUUAUAAUAGAAGGAGAUUCAUACCCAACAUAUAUUCCCAACCUUCUCUGAGGACCCAUUUUUGUGCGUAAUAAUGGAGCAAUUGGAACAUAUACCGCACAUCCAAAACUCUUAGAUGGAAAAUAUUUGGCUCUUGACCAAGAGACAAUUGUAAUGGGGAGACUUUAUGAUAACUUGUGGGCCUUAUCCGCACAAAAGCUGUUGCAUGCAAUAUAGCAUGACCCCGUAUCGAAAUGAAAAGUUUUCUUCUCAUAAGCAGUGGUCUAGCGAUUAAUUAGAGGCGUUUAAUCAAUGAUUUUGCUAGAUCAUUUUGAGUAUGAACGUGUGCAACCGGAUGUUCAAUUGUUAUUCCAGUUGAUACACAAUAAUCAUUAAAAUUCUAGGAUGUAAAUUCACCCGCAUUAUCAAGACGAAUUGUCUUUAUUGUAUAAUCUGAAAAUUGUGCUCUUAAUUUUAUUAUUUGAGCAAGUAAUCUCGCAAAUGUCAAAUUACGAGUUUAUUUUCAGGCUGAUCAUGCGCUGCUACAACAUUUGCUUCAGGAAAUGGAGCACAUCCAGUGGGAUGAGCUUCAAGAUUUUUCAUUAACAAAGUAUUAUUCUGCUCUUCCACAAGUAGGCAUGUAAUCAAUUCAGAAUAUUUCUUAAAUUCCAUUUCACGAUAUUGCUGUUGUAGUAAUACAUUAGAAGCAUGAAAAGUGGAAAAAGUUUUCUCUAGUAAGUCUUCAUCAGUGAUGGUUUCUCCACAUAAUCUUAAUAUUGAACUUACUUUAUGAAUAACAGAAUUCUACUCAACUACGAUUUUAAAAUCUUAAAAUCGAAGGUGUAUCCAGUCAUAUUUUACUUUCGGUAAUACCGUCAAAUUUUAGGUGGUGAUAUCGAUCCUUCAAGUUGGUCCAUAAUUCAAGUGGAUCUUUCACAGUUAAAUAUUCAGUUUUUAAUCCUUCGUGGAAGUUAUGACAAAGAAAAAUCAUAGCUUUUGCCUUAUCUUGACUUGAUGCGUUAUUUUCUUGUUUAAUAGUAUCCCCAAGACCUCUAGCGUCAAGGUGAAUUUUAGCAUCAAUUACCCAUGAUAAAUAAUUCUUUCCGGUAAUGUAGAGUGCCACAAACUUAAGUUUCGAUAAAUUUGAUAUAGUGAAACUUGUAAGAACGUCGUGCUGAUAACGUGUUAUGAAUCUGUUAUGUAAACCUGAACAAAACUAAAAAUGAUAUAAAUUUAGAGAAUGUAACGUUGUUUUCUAUGUUUAUUUAUUUGUUCACAAACCAUAGGCUAUUUAUAGGCCAAAUUAUGAACUUUACAUAAUUUAAUAUUCAAGAGAUGGGAAAAUUACCCACUAAGAUAACUACCCACUUAAGAAAAGAUAAGCUAAAUGAACACUUAUGUCAUCCAUUAGCUAAAUGGAUGCUUAAUGUCAUCCAUUCACAACAUACAUGAAUAUAUGCAAGUGUGUUUAUUAGAUACUUCUAUCUCAAACUUUUUUCAUGUGUUGGCUGUUGCCACAUAAAAUUUUGUCACAUCCUUUAUUUAUUUUUGCUUAGACAUCCUUUAUUUAAUUAUAGACACCAACAUCAAUUGAAACAUGCUUUUGAAAUUUACAGUUUAUUGAGGCUAAUGUAUAUAAUUAAAGGAGAUGUCUUAUUAUAAUUUAUAAGUAUGUGUAAUCAACUUAUUAUGUAAUGAAUGUUUGAAAACACAUGCAAGAAGAUAUAUUAUAAUUUAUAAGUAUGUGUAAUCAACUUAUUUACGUAAUGAAUCCUUGAAAACACAUGCAAUUUUUUUUUCAAUAUCUAGUCAGAAGUACUGCCUAACAUAAAUACUUUAUCAUUUCUAGCGGAUGCUCAAUCGGAGCAAGUCGUAGUUCUAUGAUCUAACUGAAAGUUACUGAAAAGUUUAAGAGGUUAUUACAGUAUUUGGCCAUUUUCUUUGGUUUGUUGUUUGAUAUUCACUUAGAAAUCUAGCUAGUUCGGAUUUGGCUCCCCUUAAGAUUCAAUUCAAGGGAGCAUUUUUGAAAAAAAGCAUACGAUUUUGGCCCGAAACCAACAACAUUACAUAGUGUUAAAAAAUAUUUUUAGAUUGAUUUGCCCAAUAAAUGACUUGAUAAUGUAAUAAUGAUACAUUAUUAGUUAUAACGUUAAAGCCUUUCAAAUUCAGUGCCUUGUUUUCUUUUCUAGAGAAGUUAUUAGCUAUUGCAAUAUAUAUCUUUCGACAACUCAUGUUUGUUGUGCUUUCGUUAGAUCAGUUUGUUUAUGUUUUAUGUUAUGAAUGGGUAAGAAUAAGCAAUACCACAAGCAAAAGAAAAACAAGAAGAACACACAUAUUUACAUGAAAAUCCUUGGCGGAAAAAACAUGGGUAGAAGCAGAGGAAAUUCACUAUGAAGGAGAGAAAUACAAGGUAGAGUAGACUCAAUUUUAUUUAUAUGAAAACUGCCCGAAACAACGACCCACUAAACGCACUUAUAUAAUACUUGCGUACAAAUAAAUCCUAAGCCCAAAAACAUACAUCGGCCCGAUCCCUCCGCUAUCACCGCAAAUUCCACAAAAAAUCACAAACAUUGAUCGCACCGCAAACUUUUCAAAAUCGGAUCAACAAAAUUCGGGUCACAGACUCUAACAUUUUAUCUUAUGAAAUAUUUGAGAGCUACACUACAAACGGUAUAGUAACACUUUUCCUCACAUGAAAGUAAUAAAAGAAUAGAUUUAAAAGUUCUGAGGAAGAUACACUCAACUAACAAGUGAAAUGUAACAACUUGCCACUUGGGACUAUCCAAAGGUACAACUAUGGAUCCCACAACAUACAAUAGUAGUAAGAAGAGAAAAAGAAAAGAACACCACAUGGUUGCAAAAUUUGAAGUUGAUACUCUUAGCAUAGCAUAGUACAGGAGCUACACUACAUUACAGUACCAACCUUUUAAAUAUGUCAGUAAAUUUUAUUUUGAUAUUUCGUGUAGAAUGUUAUGUUUCAAUUAAGUGUUUAAACACGUGAUAAAGUGCUUGUAUUGGACAUUUUUGCAUCAAAUCUUGAAAAAAAUUGCGGUCUACGUAGCCACAUAAGAGAUGUCACUUCCUCUAAUUAUACACAUCAAGAUCAAUUGAAAUAUGUCAAAGGUUUCACAACUUAAUAUGGCAAAUGCAUAUAAUUAAAGAAAGUGUUAUACUCCAUAUAUGUAGUCAACUUAUUUACAUAAUGAACGCUUGAAAACACAUGGAGAAACUUUUUCAAAAUUAGUAAAGUGUCUAAGAGAAAUAUUCAUCAUUUAUAGCAGAUGCUCAAUCGGUACAAUUUAGUGAAGGAAGCUCAAUUGUCCAAACGAAAGUUAUGAAAAUUUUUAAGGGACUAUUGAUGUAUUCAAUCAUUUUCUUUAGUUUGUUGUUUAAUACUCCCUCGGUCCCAAAUUUCAUAAUUUGAAUUUUCAUUUUACUUAUUUUCUUUCAUUAAUCAAGAAAAGACAAAAAAAAAUAUUCAUGUUUUACCCUUUGCAUUAAUUACUUUUUGGGAAGUGCUAAAUGACCACAAUUUUUUGGCCAAUCUUCAAAUUAAAAUGUAAACAUCAUUUAAUAGGCGUAUUAUGGUAAACUAUCCAUGUUAUUAAUUAUUUUUAUAAAUCAAUGUGUUAUCUCAAUUUGGGACGGAGGAAAUAUUUACUUUGAGGACUAAUUAACUCAAAUUUAGCGCCCCAUAACAUUCAAUAAAGAGGAAAGAGCUUCUUUUAAAAAAAAAAAAAAUCUCUAGGGCUCCAAUUUGAAACUUUAAUUAAGAGUAAAAAAUAUUAUUCGUCCCAUCACAAUCUUCGGUGAUCAAAAUUAUAGCUAGCUUGUAAGAAAGCGAAUUGCAAUAUUACUGCACUUGGCUUACGAAAAUUUUAUGGCAGUAACAAAUAUCUCUCUCCAAAGUUUAAAAUUUACUCCAUCUAUUGCAACUAAUUGAAUUUAUACCUUGCCACUGAUAGUGUGAUAGCUUUUUAUCAUUAUUAAUGCGAUUUAACAUGUUCUAAAAGAUAAUAAUGCAAUUUAACAUGUAAUAAAAGAUCAACCGCCUAAUUUUUAUGUAAGUUAUUCUACUUGUGACAUGUCGACCUAUAAUUGUAAUUUUAAUCGCGGUUAGGUGUGCAAAUAAAAUUUCACAUUGAUAACUGGAGAAAAAGAAGAUAAGGAUGCAUGUGAUGUGAGGCAUUUUGUGAGAAACAUACGAGUUUAGUCCGAAGUGAACUAUAUCAUUGUUAUUAAAUUAAGAAACAUCUUUAGAUUGAUUUACCCCAACAAAUUUUCUUAUAGCUAGUUUAAAAAAUUAUACAUUAUUAGUCAUAUAAGCUUAAGUCUUUUGUAGAAAUACAAAGUGAGAUUAUGUACAAUAAAUCCUUGUGAUCAGACCUUUUCCCCAACCCUUCACACAAUGGAAGCUUUAGUGCAUCGGCUUAUCUUUUUUUUUUUUUUCCUUUUCUAUAUAUAGUGCCUUGUUUAAUUUUCUUUCUACAGAAGUUAAUAACUAAAGUAUUGUAAUAUCUUUCAACAACUCAUGAAAGGUCAAUUUGAUCAACUUAUGAGUUAAUCGAUACACAAGUUUCAAUAUCUUUUUGAAAUAUUUGAGUGUCAACUACAAAACAAAUGCAUUAAAAUGUUUUUGAGGGAGAUGUUAGGGUUUUUGCCAUAAUUUUCUUACUAUAUUUAAGUUUUAUUUUUUUUAGAAAGAAAAUAAAAGAUACCAUAAUUAUUUUUACUUUUUCUGAAAGAAAAAAAUAUAAUUUUUUUUCAUAUUUGGCUAAUCUCUUUCUUGGAGGAAAGGUUUUGGACAUCUAUAAAUAGAACACCCCCUUUCUCAUACCAUAACAUAGUAGCAUCCACAAUGUAGUCGUUUAAAAAGUCUCGUUUAGGGAGAUAUUUUCUCCCAAUAAUUUUUAAUGUUUUUUUAUAUUAGUUUUCAAUAUGUAGGUCAUUUGACCAAAUUACAUCAAUAAUAUGUUUUUUAGUAUGUUUUUCUUUUCGUCUGAUUUAUCGUCUCAAUAGUUUGCAACUAAUAGCUUCCGCAUGAUGCCCUCUCGAUUUUGAACCCGACAAGUGGUAUCAGAGCCUAUGGUUCAAUGAUCCGAUGGUUCAGAUUGAGGACAUGUUGAGAACAAAGUUGCAACAAAUUUGAUGAUAAUGAAGAUAUAUGUCCAAAAACUACAUGUGGAGACGAUUGUCAAUUAUAUUUUUAAUAAUCUUGCUGUUACAUAUCUUUUAACCCUAUAAAGGGCUCUAAUAUUUUUAACUUGAAAGGAGCUUAUAUAUUUUUAACCCAAAAAGCUUCAAUUUUUAAAGCAUGCCAGUGAAUAUGAAAAAUAUAUAUGAAGAACGAAGAUCAUGCACAAGAAGAAGGAGGAUCAAGAAUAUUUUGAAGAAAAUCAAGCCAAAAAGGGGAGAUUUGUUAGGGUUUUUGCCCUGAUUUUCUUACUAUAUUUAAGUUUUAUUUUUUCUUAGAAGGAAAAUAAAAGUUACCAUAAUUACUUUUACUUUUUCUGAAAGAAAAAAAUAUAAUUCUUUUCCAUAUUUGGCUAACCUCUUUCUUGGAGGAAAGGUUUUGGACAUUAUAAAUAGAAAACCCCUUCUCAUACCAUAACAUAGUAACAUCCACAAUAUAGUCGUUUAAAGAGUCUCGUUUGGGGCAGAUUUUCUCCCAAUAAUUUUUAAUGUUUUUAUAUAUUAGUUUUCAAUAUGUAGGUCACUUUACCAAAUUACAUCAAUAAUAUGUUUUUUAUUAUGUUUUUCUUUUCGUCUGAUUUAUCGUCUCAAUAAUUUGCAACUAAUAGCUUUUGCAUGAUGCCCUCUCGAUUUCGAACCCAACAGAUCACUUAAUUUUAAGUGUUCAAGAAGUGAAAAGUACUCCGUUUUCUUAAGGAAUAUGCAAUUUAAUUUCGAUUAGUAAUUGAAAUGUGAACCAUUAAUAUAGGUCAUGUAAUUUCACGAAGGAUGUGACACUUACUUUGGGAACGGAGGGACCACUAUUUUGCAACCUAACGGUUUGACUAUUCUCUGGAAUAGAGAUGCAGAUUCAGAAUUUAAAGUUUAUGAAUUCUCCAUAUUAAAUAAAAAUAAAAAUAAAUAGUAACUAAAGGAAUUCAACCCACUCAGACUUCUAGAUCCGCCCCUGCUCGAAUGAUGAACUUUUCCCUCAAAGUUGUAUUGACCAACUUAAGAAAACUAGCCAUGGUAAUAAUAAAUGGACCACCCCCUAGUACUAGGAGAGAAAUAUUAUUCUUGGCGUGCCUUGGGAAUAAACUUCACAUUGGAGUUCACUUAGGGACUAGGGGAAUAUAAUUCAAUUUGCAAACAACAAAAUUCCCCUAAAGUAUAAUGGAGGAUAAAAAUAUGAUGUACUUUAUUUCGAAUUCUCUCUACUUAUUUUUACUAAUUUGUUCGGACUUCUAUUAACAAACGAUUGUCUAAAAUUUUCGAUCAUAUUAGCUUGGGAAUUUUACUAUUCAGUUGAAGUGACAGUGGAGUUUCAUGUUUAUAACGAAGUGAGGAGGAUGGAAAGUGAUAAGAUGCAACGAUAUUUCAUUGUCUUGUUUUAUUUUCAGAGGAAGCAAAGGUAGUUUCGUACUAGGUAACCACCCAUAAUGCAAUAUCUCAAACAAUGCUAACAUACUGACCAAUUAAGGUCAAGUCUAAACAGGCACCACAUACACAUGAAAAAAAGUGAAUGACAAUGGAACUCGAAUCUGUGCCCACAUAUACCCCUAUUAUUAUUAUUAUAAAACUCUAUUCUGUAAUAACCACUUCUUUCAUUACAAGAUAAUUAUUGUUCCAUUUUAAGCAUGCAGUACCCGUCCCAUUCAAAGCAGUUCAUAUGGAACCAAAUUUCUUCGGAUACAACUUUUCCAUGUAUGUUUUAGAUGCUUAAAAACAUUUACUUAGUAGAUAAUGUCUAAUUACCCAGUUUUAUAAGGUUUUAAUCCCUCGAACUGCUAACCCCUUAAUUAUUUUUGAAACGGAGAAGAUGUACUCAGCACAAUAAUCCUACAACCACACAGUUUUUCUUGGAGACAGAAGCCAUACGUGUACGAGGCCCAAUCAGAUAAAUUGCGUGUGCAUAUGAUUAGCCUUGCCUAUCAUCAUUGUUUAAAGUGCUUUGGUAAUAACUCUUAAAAGUGUGGUCCUACUUAGAUUAGAGUGGUGGGACUAUUUCUUUUCUUUUUUUCUUCACUUUGAACAAAAAAAAUUAGCUGUGCAACACUCUCUGCAAAGACUUAGCACAUGGCAACUGAUUCAUGACCAACGCAUACGAGGAGAACUUCUGCUUAACGAUUUUUAGCGGCUCUAAUCAGCAGUUCACUGGAACUGAUGCAAAGAAAGUGACUCUACCAAAUUCACUUGUUAGGAUGAGGACCAAAGGGGUGCAACUUUUUCCAAUUUUUCGAUACCAUCGAAUAACAAACCAAAGACAAAAGUAAAAAUCAUUUGGACAGGAGACAAUACAGUAGAGAAUAACAGGUUCUCGCAAGUCUAGUAAUUCUGAUGUACAUCUAUGCUCAUCUGAUUGUAUCAGUCAAUAUGCUUAGUGUUUCUUCUCUCAAAAGUCAAAAGGUUGCAUUUUCAGUAGUCUCACUGUACUGAUAGACGAACCAGGACGUUGGCGCCAUUAGGUCUGGUUCAUGUUCUCUUUAUCUUAGAACUGAUUAAAUAGUCCUGCUCUCUGUGAGGUGCCUCAGAUACAGAUUGGUGUUCUUUAUAUACUCUUGGUAAGGAUUACAGAGAGAGUAGGAGAUUUAGAGAAUUCGUCAGAGUCCACCAGCCAAAGCACUUGCGUGGAAGAAAUUGUUUCCUUGCUGGGCUGCUCCGACAAGGAGGUGCAGAGAAUUGGCGAGUCCGGUUGAAAUUUGAAAACUUUAUUCUAACCCGUAGGACUGGACUGUCUGCCGACUCAUGGGUAACCUCAUUAUGAACCUGCUCUUCUAACAGGCCAAAGCGGACAUACCCCGUUUGACCCAUCUGCUUAUUAUUAACUCAACCCAUUCAACCUUGAGUGGGUUGGGAGGAUUACAGAUUAUGGGCCUAAAUUCCCGACUCUAGGUAGCUUCAUAACAAGAAUAUUACUCUUAGAAAUAACUUCAUCAGUAUUAUUUCUAGACAUUACAUCCUCCUAAACCACCAAGUACUCAAACUACUAAUUACGUGGAGUUGGCACCUUUUGAUAAAUGUACUAUCUUCUUUUCCUGAUGAGAAAACAGUAUUAUUAUUGACAAUACAGGAAGGUGCUCCUGCAGACAAGACCUAACAAAAGGUACUCCCAAGGUAGUACAGAAAUUUUAUCCUUCCUUGGAGGAUAGAAUAAAGAGCAAUAAAUGUCAGCUUCAUGGUCUGCCUCUUGCUUGAUAAAAAUGAAGAUGACCCUCAUAUAUAUUACCAUGAACUUGCCAGUUUUUUUGAUAAAUUGAAAGGUUUCAUUUAAUAGAAACUACCAACAUUGAAGACUGAAGAGGCAGGAAUCGUGGGAAGACUGGUAAUUAAGCUGGAAAGGGAUAGCGUUUGAAUAAUUCAUACAGCAAGUGCAUAAAUCGCCUAAAACAUGACAUGAAACAUAAAACUCAACCUUCUCACUCCACAUGCAGUACCCUUAGAGAAUUUCGUGUAUGCUAGUUGCUUGAGAAGAAUGAAACACCAAAGUAACUAAUUAAAGAGCGCUUACGUGCACAGGAGUGAAGGCCAAACUUGAAGUCAAGCUUGAUGUAGCCCCACUGCUUCCAUAACUCUUCUCCUUGAAUCUGGAAAAUUGUCGAGCAAUUAGAAACAAAGAGGCAUAAGAAAGACGGAGCGAGUAAAAAACAAUUGUUGAAAGCCCAAUAUACUGCAAAAUUCACUGGUCAUCAAUGUUCAACAAGUGUGAGCUUUUCUGGGAUAAAAGAAAGAGAAGAGAAAACAUACUUCUUUGCUACUUUGGCAGCAAGCUUGCUCUGACCAACCGAUACACGCAACUUGCCACUUCCAGCCUUACCAAGCAUGCCAUAGCCCUCCACUAGUCCAUCCCCUAAUUUCCAGGAAGAUCAAAUAUGAAGUGGUCUGCCUCUUGCUUGAUAAAAAUGAAGAUGACCCUCAUAUAUAUUACCAUGAACUUGCCAGUUUUUUUGAUAAAUUGAAAGGUUUCAUUUAAUAGAAACUACCAACAUUGAAGACUGAAGAGGCAGGAAUCGUGGGAAGACUGGUAAUUAAGCUGGAAAGGGAUAGCGUUUGAAUAAUUCAUACAGCAAGUGCAUAAAUCGCCUAAAACAUGACAUGAAACAUAAAACUCAACCUUCUCACUCCACAUGCAGUACCCUUAGAGAAUUUCGUGUAUGCUAGUUGCUUGAGAAGAAUGAAACACCAAAGUAACUAAUUAAAGAGCGCUUACGUGCACAGGAGUGAAGGCCAAACUUGAAGUCAAGCUUGAUGUAGCCCCACUGCUUCCAUAACUCUUCUCCUUGAAUCUGGAAAAUUGUCAAGCAAUAAGAAAAAAGAGGCAUAAGACAGACGGAGCGAGUAAAAAACAAGUGUUGAAAGCCCAAUAUACUGCAAAAUUCACUGGUCGUCAAUGUUCAACAAGUGUGAGCUUCUCUGGAUAACAGAAAGAUAAGAGAAAACAUACUUCUUUGCCAGCAAGCUUGCUCUGACCAACCGAUACACACAACUUGCCACUUCCAGCCUGACCAAGCAUGCCAUAGCCCUCCCCUAGUCCGUCCCCUAAUUUCCAGGAAGAUCAAAUAUGACGUGAAGAACACCAUUAGUCCUGAUCUACAUUAACAAAAAUAGCUUGAAAUUCUGAAAAGCAAAAUCCUAAAAAGCACCAAGAGUCAACCAUCUCAGAUUAGGUUCAAGUCCUCAUCUCACAAAAUUACUUGCAACAAAUUGUAACUUGUACUAACAAAGACUAUAUACCUAAUCAUUUCGCUUGCAGGAGUUAUGCACUCCAAUAAGCAUCAAAGAUUUCAUAAAAUAUGCAGUUAGCAAACAGCAUGGCCAUCAAGCACCACCAACAAUACUUGGGAAAUGAAAGCAUUUAAUUUAAGUACAGUUUUAACAAAACUUUUUCCAUUUUCACUUUUCCCUCCUCCUUUUGACAGGUCUAUUUAAUUUAGAAGGUGAGGGGUUGCAUUGAGCUAGUUGGUAUUACCUAAGGAACUUUCUUCAGGUAUUCCAAACUGCAUCCUGUUUGCUAGGUUCCGCAUGGCCGUGAUAGCAUAUCUAGUAAACUACCACGAACACGUUUAUGUCAAUCAAUAAACAUGUGCUUCACCAUAUAUAACUCUGGAAACUGUAGUUCGCAUGAGAUAAAGUGGAAACGUUCACUUGGAGACUGAUUCUGUCAUCCAAGAAUUACAUUCUCAAAAAAAAAAAAAAAAUUCCUCCAUUUUCAAUAUCUUCGCCACACCGCAACAUCUGUAGACACAACUACAGAAGUCCAACUAAGGUUUUGCACAACCUUAGUUUACCAACAUCAACACAUUUUGUCAACAUGUUUGCUGGAUUCUUUUCACCCUCUAUCUUCUCCAAACACAUACCACCGUCUUCCACUGCCCUGCGAGUGAAAUGGUACCGUUUUCUAAUGUGUUUCGUCUUCGAAUGAUAGACCGGGUUCUUCACCAACUGUAUGGCACUCUGGCUAUCUGUGUAAAGAAUCUUCUCAUGCUGCUUCUUGUCCAGUUCUUCCAGAUAAUCUGUCAACCAUAUCAUCUCCUUUCCAGCUUCAGCUAUUGCCACAUACUCAGCCUCAGUAGAUGAAAAAGCAACUCAUUUCUGAAGCCUGGACAUCCAACUCACUGCUGUACCACCUACGGUGUAAAUGUAUCCGGAAGUGCUCUUGAUCGAGUCCACAUCCCCUCCAAGAUCAUCAUCAACAAAACCUUGCAGAAUCACUUUGCCAUUGCCAAAACAAAGUGAAGUACUGGAUGUACCUCUCAGAUAUCUUAGAAGCGACUUCACAGCUUCUCAAUGCUCUUUCCCGGGAUUUGUCAUGUACCUGCUAAAACUCCCACUGUAUGUGCUAUGUCAGGUCUAGUGCAGACCAUAGCAUACAUCAGACUCCCAACUACAGAAGCAUAUGGAACAAGUACCAUGUGCUCUCGCUCCUGAGCUGUCUUCGGUGACUACUCCUUUGACAAUUUUAUGUGAUUUGCCAAUGAAGUAGUCCUGGGUUUAACAUCAUUAACUCGGAAUUUGUCCAUCACCUUCUCAACGUACUGCUCUUGGGAUAGAUUCAAAGUGCCAACAAAUCUAUCCCGAGAAAUCCUCAUCCCAAGAAUCUGCUUCGCUGCACCUAAAUCUUUCAUCUCAAACUCAAAAGACAGACUUGCCUUCAGAGAGUUUAUAUCCUUCAUACUGGAUCCUGCAAUCAACAUAUCAUCCACAUACAAGAGUAAAAAUAGAUAAGAAUCAGUGUAUUUCUUGAAGUAGCAACAUUGAUCAUUUUCACUUCUGCGGAAGCCACUCUUUCUCAUAAAGGAGUCAAACUUCUUGUACCACUGCCUAGGUGCUUGCUUCAGCCCAUACAUGCUCAUGUUGAACUUGCACGCCAUGUGUUCCUUGCCUGGAACUACAAACCCCUCUAGUUGGUGCAUAUAGAUUUCCUUAUCCAAUUCUCCAUGUAAAAACACAAUUUUUACAUCCAUUUUCUUAAGAUGCAAAUUCUCCGAUGCAACAAUACUCAAUAAAAUUUGGAUAGUAGUUAAUUUCACAACAGGAGAAAAUAUUUCAGCAUAAUCAAUUUUUGGAUAUCCUUUAACUACUAACCGAGCCUUGGUUCUGCCUUGAUUCUGAACACCCACUUGUUUGUUAGGUUGUGGAGCCUGAUUAACAUGUGACGUACUGUUAUAUAUUAAUGUUCACGCCCAAAUUUUAGGUUGUACCUUUUAUUCUCAUUCUCUGUGUAAUUGUACAUACUCCAAGUCAUUAAAAUAAAUAGCCUGUCCGCCGUGGAGGUUACCCACGAGUGUUACCAUGAAAUUACCUCUCUCUCUCUCCUUAAGAACUCUCUUAAGUUUUCUUCAUCCUCUCCAUAGAUUUAGUGUGUGUGAACUGCUAAUCGAUCCUAACAUUGUUCAACAAGGCUUUCCUACCUCUAGGUAACCCAGUCAAUAUCCACGUGUUAUUCUUCUCAAGUGAGCUCAUCUCAUCAUCCAUGGCUUGCUCCCACUUGAUUGAAUCCUCCACCUGCAGGGCCUCAACAACAGACUCUGGUUCCUCUUCAUCAGUUAACAAUAGAUAAUGUAAUGAUGGUGAAUACCUAUUGUUUUGCGGAAAUUUUUGACUUUGAAAGAGUCGUCACUUAAUUUUGAAAAGGAAUUAAGAAACCUUUAGAGAGUUACUGCAAACGAUUCAAAACAGAAAAAUUAUUUUAAGUUAGAGAUUCUAGAUAAGCGGUUCCUAUUAACGGUUUAGGAAAGUAUUAGGCACCUAAAACGUCCGCUAACUUGCGGUUAUCCGGACUGUUUGAAAAUCUUCUUUUGAUUAACUUUGAAAGAGUUUAUUUUUUGAAAAGAAAAGCGAUUUUAGGAAUAUUUUGGUGUUUAUGCAAAACCAGUUUUUUAGCGACUUGACUAAGGAUUUUACUAGGUUCGCAAAACACACGUAAAACAAGUAAGCAAAUAGAAAAAAAGGAAGGGUAGAAGUAGUGAUUUAGGCUUUUAAGUCCAAACCGUCGACCCUGUCCUAAUCUAGUUGGGUUUUUGACCCAUCUUUCACCUGUCCUAAUUUUAUGUUUUCCAGCCCUUUUCGGCUCGAGUCUCGCUCCACCUGUAUUAAAUUUACAACUUUGGCUUCGAGGCCCAAAUGAAUAAAUAAAUAAGUCACUAAAUAAACAAAAAUAUAAAUAAGUAAAUAAAUAAAUAAUGAAAACAAUGGAUAAAUAAAUCAAUAAAGAAGAAAUAACGAGAUUUUCAAGUCCCCUUUGCCGCUUCAAAGAUAGAACUUUAACCCAUUGCGUAAUGCAAGGAAAAGAGCCCAAUUGGACUCCCGAGCGAGUUCAUGCAAAGAAAAGAAUAAAGGGAUUAAUGCCCAUUCGAAACAAACAUACCUCAAAAUAAAAGAGACAUCAAGGACCAAAUUUUGCAUGAUAAUGAUGCACAUACACAUUUACAUAUGAUAAAAACGAGAACCGACAAAUGAAAAAAAAAAGGACAUGCAUUUCCAUGCAUUAUGCCUUAUGUUUGGGCCAAGGAUGAAUAAGGAUAAAAGGAAAAGACUAUAUUCACAGAAUUCGUGCAAGAACAAAUGACAUAAAUUUGAAUGUAAAGAGGCGAUGCAAAUAUGAUAACAAGAAAAUAAGUCUUUUGGCACAACAUAAGCAUUAACCCACGUAACCAAGAAGAAAGUAGAGGCUAACUCUAAAGAAAGAGAAUUAUCAAAGAGAGCUACAGAUCAAGCCUUUGUGCAUAUAUAAUAGUCCAAGUAGAAUAAGAGAAUUGGAAAGAAAAUUUACCUUUUCAAGGCGGAACAUAGUUCAAGAAAUCAUGUUAUGCAGGGUUCACACACACCUGAAUGACUUUGUUUACAAAUAAAGGGAUAAACUUGAAUGUGACACGUAAAGAAAUAAAAUAAAUCAAAUUGAAGUAUGCAAAAUCCUAAAAUUAAAGAACAAAGGUAAAAAUACACAACCGACUAAUGAGACUUGCUUAGUCCGUCCUUUUUUCUUUGGCGGUUUCACAAGAAAACUUUCACUCACCAAAAGGGUCAUGGAGGGACCUCAGGAUGUAACAACCUUCAAAACAUUCUCAUAGGUUCUAAAAAAAGCACUUUGAGACAACCAACAUAGUUACAACGUAUAAUUUCUAAGGGGAAAGUCAUCAAAUUUCAGUAAGUCAUACUACAUCAAAAAGCAGAUUUAACAUUUUUGAGCAAAUGAUCAAAAUCUUUACUGAAGCACGGACAAAACUGAAUGGAAAGAUAAAACCAUAAGAAGACAAUAUAUAUAAACCAAAGCAAUCAGUCGAUCCCGAAUUUAACAUAAUUUAUCUAAUGAUUUCCAAUCAAAAUCAAAUUAUCAACAACAAAUAGAACUAGCCACUUUAAACAGGUAAUCAAAAUCAUAUGCUGUACAAAAUUUCAUCGAGAGGCAAUUUUUUAACCCGAGUAGUUAAACAAAUCACGGCAUAGGGCUCGACUCAAUCGAUUUUUGACUGGCGCGUUAUUUACAUUUGUAGAGCAAGACGAAGGAAGAGGAUAUGUUUAAAAGCUCACACUUUAGCAAAAUACACAGUAGAGAAAAACAAAGCUUAAACGCGUAGAAAAAAUAACAUUCUUCAGCGUCUUAUAGAUAGCAGCUUACAGAUAACAUAAAAUGUGAUUGAAAUGAGAAUCAUCAUUGCAACAAAACCUACGAUCUUCAAUGUCUCAACAACAAACAAUUCCAAACAUACGAAAGGAAAAAAUAAAAUAAUUUUGGACGAAGGUAAACUCAGGCAAAGUAACAUUUAAACAUAACUUUUUUUUUCUUAGAAAUAAAUACAGAAUCAGAACUUUGAGGCAAAAGGGCAAACAAUUAAAGCAACGAUAUCACAAACAAAUUCCAGGGCAAUCAUGGCCAUCUAUAGAGAACAAUCCUACCUUAUUCAUGAUUACGACCAACAACUAUGGCUACGAAGAAAGAGAUGAAAGCAGAAAAUAAUAAACUAAAAGGGACAAGAGUAUAUUCACCUCUUUCGGGGUAGCAAAACGGGAUAACGAGCUAACUUCGAUAUGCUCCACCACUGAAAAUUCACGUUAUCAACUCAAAGACCUCCAAUUAAUCUACCAAACUCAGAAAAAAAUGAAAGAUAAAAUCUUUACUAAAAAAUAAACCGUUUAGCCUUCAAAAUUUUCUUCCUCCUCUCUUUUCUCUCUGAUUUUUCCUCAAAUGGUUUGAACCCAAGAAUUUUUUUUUUCCUUUUUGUAAACCCAAAAUUUUUUCCUAAACAGUGACCCAGAAGAAAAUCCUCCCCUUUUCUUCCUCUAGAGAGAGCUACUCAUAGAAGAGGGGUUGAGGGUUCACUUUUUGAAUUCAAAAGAUGAGAAUGCUAACAAAUUGUACCCUUUUUUUUUGGAUUUUUCAGCCAAAUUGCAAUGGGUGGACCAAUUAAAAAAGGGCAAAAUGAUUUUCCUCCAAAACCAAUGAAAAUUGCCCAACCGCGUAUGAAAUUGUAUGCAUUAUCCCGAGAUUCGCGGAGGUAGACGAUGGGGGUGACACCUAGCUUGUUUCUAGAAGGUUUUCGGCUCCUUUUCUCGUCCUAUUGAUUCGUGAGGUGCAUGAGGAAUCGGGUCGACUGGUACACUAAAGAUUAAGUCAGGUCAGGUUGCUGGUUGGUAUAUUGUGGGUCGUUGGCGGGUCAGGUUCGUAUUUUUGAAGUUGAUUCAGGUUGUUGAGGUUGUUGUUUUUGUUGGUUGUAUGCAGCUUAGCUGCUGAGAUUGGGUAAUGUUUUAGUGUCUUGUGGGAAAAGAGGGAAAUAUAGUAGUGGGCCGGAUCAAGUUUUGGGGCAGCUAUGGGUAUUGGACUGAGAAUGGAGUAGAAACAAAAAUGGGCCGCUGGACUGCUUUGUUUCUUAGGUGGGCUAGUUGAUUUAAUUAGAAGAAAAGAGGCCGGUGGGUUGGAUUUUAUGAAGCUGUUGGGCCAAAAUUGGGGUUGAUUUGGGGGUUAUUUGAUAACCUUAAUUAAAUCUAAUUGGGGUUAUUAAAUAACCCUAAUUAAAUUUAAUUGGAUUAAAAUAAUCUCAAUUAGGAAACGGUAAUUUGGGGGAUUAAGAUUGAAUUAUAAUUUAAGCGAAUUAUUUAAACUCUAACCAAAUUGAAUAUCCAUCGGUCAAUUGCAUUACAAUUGGGCCAAUUUGAUUUCAAUUGAGGUCAUAUUUAAUUAGUUCGCUAAAUUGAAUUGCAAUCCGACACAAAUUAAGUAGCAAAUUAACCUCGAGUUUAUUGAUCUGAUAAAAAUCACACAAAUAUUCCUCCAAAUAAAAUAUUUUGAGAACAAAUCAUAUUUAAAAUCACGACUUUAUCCAUUUAGAUUAAUUUUCAAGUGUAAUCAAUAAAAGUCUAAUUUUAAUAAAGAAUGUUCAUUUAAAUAACAAAAUUUAUACAUUCUCGUAUAAAAAUACAAAAACAUAUAAUCGUUAAUUAAAUGAUAAAAUUAACUCAAAUAAAUAUUUUAAAUUGCAUUUAUUGGCAUAAAAUAAUUGUUGUGACUUUAUUUUAAAAUUGAAGAAACUCGAAAUUAAAUUGGGUUGUGGAAGGCAAAAAUUAGGUGUCAACACCUAUCUGGUGCUCUAAUGAUCCUGGAUGAUCUCCUCUAAAGCUACUCAGGUGUCACUUGCUCCACCUCUGGUUCUUCAACAACAAUCUCUGGAGUUUGUUGAGUUUCUGCUGUAACAUCUUUGGGUGUACUCUUCAACAACUCAAGCUCAACUCCCACUUGCUUUGUAGUCUCUUUAACCAUUUGCUCUCUGUCCUUGUACAAGACAUUUUCAUCAAAUGUCACAUCACUAUGUCUUAGGAUCUUUUUAUUCCUAUCAUCCCAAAACCUGUACCCAAAUAUAUCAGAACCAUAACCUAUAAAGUAGCACUUUAUAGCUUUAGCAUCAAGCUUAUCUCUCUUCUAUGGAUCAACAUGAAGAUAAGCAGUGCAACCAAAAGUUCUCAAGUAAGAAUACUUGAGUUUUUUUAUUGUCCAUAUUUCUUCUGGAAUCUUGAACCCCAGAGGAACUGAUGGUCCUCUGUUGAUCAAGUAUGCAGUUGUGCUUGCAGUAUCGGCCCAAAACAUCUUUGGCAGCCCACAGUGUAUCCUCAUGCUCCUUGCACGCUCAUUUAAUGUUCUGUUCAUCCUUUCAGCAACUCCAUUCUACCUUGCCUUACUGGGAACUGUUCUCAUCGAUCUGAUUCCCUCAGCUGCACGCAAUUGUUUGAAUUCGACUUGUCAUAUUCUUCUUCAUUGUUAGACCUCAGGCACUUGAUUUUUAAACCAAUCUAAUUUUCAACUUCAGCUUCCCACCUCUUGAAAGUAGCAAACACAUCUGACUUAUGUUUUAAGAAGAAAACCCAUACCUUCCUACAGAAAUCAUCAAUGAAGGUGACAUAGAAUUUAGAUCCAACAAGUGAUAGAAUAGAAGAUAGUCCCCAAAUAUCUGGAUGGACCAUUUCCAAUCGUACUUUCUUCGGCUCUUUUGCAGACUUCGUAAAGCUUACUCGUUUCUAUUUGCCCAUAACACAGCUCUCACAAAGAUCCAUAUCAACAGAUUUCAACCCCUCUAAAGAUCCUUUUGCAACCAACAUCUUCAUUCUUUUGGCAUUCAUGUGUCCAAGUCUGUUGUGGCACAGACAUGAACCGGAAGCACCCUUAGCAACAACAGUCAUGUUUAUACACCCUGCAGUGGUGAACAAAGUUCCAAAUUUUGUGCCAUGUGCUACAAUUAUAGCACCCUUCAUAAUCUUCCACAAACCUUUCCCAAACUCUGUUGUGUAGCCUGUGCUAUCCAACUGACUAACAGAGAUCAUAUUCUUCUUGAGACCAGGAACAUAUCUGACAUUCUCCAAUGUCCACUAAUUUUCAGCUGGAGUUUUGAUGUAGACAUCCCCCUUUUCUUCAAUCGACAACGGCUUAUUGUCAGCAAGAUACACCUUUCCAAGAUUUCCAGACUUGAAAUUUUGGAAUAAUUCCUUGCUUGAAGAUAAAUGAAAAGAUGUACCAGAAUCCAAUAUCUAGGAUUCAACCAGGCUGUACACACUAAGGAUUAGAGCAUCCCCCUAGAUUUCUGAUUCUUCUUAUUCUUGGGUUUCUUGCAAUCUGUUCGAAAGUUUCUUUUCUCUCCAUAAUUCCAACAUGUCACAUUGGGUUUUUGUGGAGAUUCUCCAUAAUUCUUUAAUUUUGAUAUGUCAUGUAUAUUCUGACCCUUCGAUUGGUCUCUUCCCCUUCGGUCAACACUGAGAGCACUACCAGAUGACUCCCUAAUUUCUCAUUUGCGAAUUCUUUCUCUAAGAACAACGUCUCAGAUUUCAUCAAACUUCAGUUUCUUAGAUCCACAGGAAUUGCUAAUUGCAGCAACAAUAGUAUCCCAAGACUCGGGCAGAGAUGACAUCAAAAUCAAUGCUUUAAUUUUAUCUUUGAAAUAAAUAUCCACAGAACAUAGUUGACUAACAAUCAUAUUGAACUUGUUUAUAUGAUCAACAACAGAUCCAUUCUCAAACAUCUAUAAAUUGAACAAUCUAUGCAUCAAAUAUACCUUGUUCAUCGCAGAUGUUUUUUCGUACAUAUUUGAUAGCGCCUUCAACAGAUCGAAUGUUAUCUUCUCCUUGAUCAUAUUGAAUGCCACAUUUCUCAACAAAGUCAAUCGGAUUUCCCUAGAGCCUGCCGAUCCUUGAGCUUCCAGUCCUCCUCCUUCAUAGACUCCGGCUUCACCCUGGUUAAAGGUUCGUGAAAAUCUUUCUGGUACAGAUGGUCUUUGAUCUGCAUCUUCCAGAAACCAAAAUCCAAGCCAUCAAACUUCUCGAUUCCAAGCUUCGAUCCUUCCAUCUUCAGUGAUCGUGAUGAAUCUCCUAAGCUUUUAUACCAGUUGUUAAGAUUGAUUUGCGUACACUCACUAGAUCUACGGAGAGGAUAAAGAAAACCUAAAGAGAAUUUGUGAGGAGAAAGAGAGAAAUGAAUUUUGUGGUAACACCCAUGGGUAAACUCCAUGGAGGAAAUGCUAUUUAUAUUAAUGAUUUAGAGUAUGUACAGUUAUUCGGAUAAAUGAGAAUAAAAGGUACAGUACAGCCUACGCUUCUCCCCAGCCUGCCUAGCACAAGUCGAUCGAUUUUCGGCCAAAAUCACGCCCGAAACCUAAGCCCACCCCAAAAUCCCUGGGCUAUAGCAUAUCGAUUUGGCCAAAAAAUGGCCCAUUUGUGCUGUUUUGCCCGUUUGACCAACCAAACCACCUAGAAAACUAAAAUGGUCUACACUAGGUCGCUCUUCAGCCUGCCAGGGGAAGCCCGAUCAAUCUUUGACUAAAAUCACUCCCGGACCCCGGAUCCACCCCAAAAUUGUGGGCUAUAGCACACCGAUUUAGAUAGAAAAUAGCCCAUUCAUGUCGUUUUGAAUGUUUGACCAACCAAACCGCCCAUAAAACCAAAAUAGCCCAAACUAGUCUCCACAUAUUUUCGGCCCGGAGUAGGCCCAGGGUUCGGGCGUGAUUUUUUCCCAAAAUGAGCAUUAAUAUAUAACUGUACAUCACAUAUUAAUCAGGCUCCACAACCCAACACUUUGCAUGUAUAUCGACUAUUCCAUUCGUAUCUACAACCUCCACCAGCAUAGUACUAAGUAACUUUACCCAUAAAAGCUUGGGCGGACGAAAAUCAGCUAUUAUUUUGUCUCCACUAGAAUUUGAAACCUGACUUCCCAUGGAUACCCGUUUGAUUGACUGCUAACCUACACGCUUGGCUGCAUACUCAUUCUUCCACCAUGCUUACUAAAUAGUGGGUAACAAGAUGUGAAAUUUAACUAAAAAGGAGAAAAGACACAAAAAGGUAAAUUAGCUUUUGGAGGGAAACCUCGCAUGGUGACCUAACCCCUUGUAAAAGUAUUCUGCAAGUAUUAUUGAAUAGUGAAGUGAGCCCUCAUCGUUUUCCAAAGCAUCGAGUAAAAACUAGUCAUAGACUAAUUACCUUCUUUAGUUAAUCGAAAAAGAACCAUAGAUAUUGAGCAAAGGAUUAACCUUACCUUAUAAAAGAAAUUGUUCUUGUAAGGUUGUAAGAUAAUAAUCAAUACACAAGGGUAUAAAUAAAAGAACUCCCAAAAAAUAAUAACAAUAGUGUCUCAAAACAAAACUCGCCCUACAAAGGGAAAAAUCAUCAAACCCUAUUCCAAAUGGUAUGAGAAUUGAAUCCUACUCUCACAGAAAUAAUUAGUAAAAACUAACUAGAAAACUUUAAACUAGAAAACUUUCAAACUUAAGAAAGCAGGGUAAAAUUUACGUCAUCUUUCUUCCCAAAUCUACUUGAUAAAAUAAGGAAAGAAGUGUCAACUUUUGAACCAAAACCCACGUCCAAAUAAACAGCCCUUUUGGGAGUGUAAAAAUGAUAGUUGGGCAUAGAAGAUUAUCUGUUGGACUCCGUGUGGGUUCCAAUCUUUCUUCUCUUGGACCUGGACCAUAAAUACCUAUGUGGUAGCAUCCAUGGUGGCAUACUUCCAUUAAAGGACUUGGAUGAAGCUUUGAAAGCUAAGGAGACCAAGACAAGGUGAUGAGCUUCUCAACGGGAAAUCAAGAAAAUGUUUAUCAUGAAAGAAGAGUCUAGAAGUAUGGCAAAAUAUUUAUCAUGAAAGAAGAGUCGAGAAGUAGGGCAAGGAGUGAGCUAAGUGCUACACACAUUUCAGGGUGCAAGUCCAAGAUGAGAAAGAUUAAGACCCACAUGAAAUCCUACAAGGACUGAUUUACAUGCCCAAUAAGGGCUGAUUUUGUAUGCACAGAAAGUACUAUUUUUACACGUACAAACGGACCCAAUAGGGAUGUUUUACACAUCCAAAUAGGUGUGGGUUUUGAUUUAAAAGUUGACAAUUGGUUUGUUAGGUAGUUUUGGGAAGAAGUGAGACAUUAAUUCUUACCUGCUUUCCUACUUCAAAAAUUUUCUAGUUAGGUUUUACUAUUUAGUAUUUUGAUAAAAAAAAAAAGUAUGACUUGAACCAUAUGAUACUUGGGAUAUGGCUAGACAAUUUCCCCCUAUAUAAAGGAGUGGAUUUUGUUCUAUUUGACACAACAUUGUUAUCAAAAUUACUAACAGUUUUUUUCUUUGCACCUUUAUGUAUACUUUGGGAUGUACUUUACAACCUUAUAAGAACAAUUUCUUUGAGAGGUAAGAUUAAAUCUUUGUUCGAUAUGUCUGGUCCUAAUUCGAUUCAUUGAGAAAGACAGUUAGCUUUGUACUAAUUAUUGUCUUAGAUUAUUAAAUUGAGAGUCUGGAUCACUUUUCAUCUAAGUUCUUGAAUUGAAUACCAUAAUUGAUUGUAGUAGGCCCCUAAUCCGAUGAUUAGGACUGCUAUAAUCAGUUAGGGUUCUUAAAAAUUACUUUUGAGAUCGGAAAUUUAUUCCGCAAAUUUCGCCUAUCUUAUUUUAUUUUUCUAUAAUGUUUUUAUCUUUUGCUUCCUCAUUAUUAUUUUUUUAUUUUUCUUUCAUGUAACCCAAUUCUUAUCCAGUAAUAGUGUUGAAUUGUGUGUUAUUAGCAUAGGAAGUCGAUAAUACCCAGUACAUGGCUUUCAAAAUUUUGCGUUUAAAGUAAAUAAAUAGCGCUAAGAGACACAUAGGAACUUCUACAAGGUACACAACAAGGAGGUUUGGGAGGUAUCCAUUCAAAAGUUUGCAAUGAAAUACUAACAACAAUUUGGUGGAUCAUAUGGAACGAAGGAAACUAAAGAAUUAUUGAAACUUUUUUGGGUGAUGCUAUGGGUAUCAAGGAUGCAUCUGUGAGCCAGCACUUGGAAAGUUGGUAACACCAUCAGAAAACUCAGGAGAAUGAUCCCUACUUGCAUUUAAAAUUUCUUAGUGUAUCUAGAAUGAAAGAAACAUAAAAUGUUUUGACGGAUUAUCAGCUCCUUGCCAGUCCAUCAGAAAUAAGUGCCUAUUAAAGUUUGCAAUUUAUCCCUGACACCUUUUAUGAACUCUGUUAACCCACUAUCCUUAGCAUAGGUAAAUAUGCUACAUGGAAUCAGGGGCAGAGUCAUGGGUAUCGCUUCGUUAAAAAAUUAUACGAUACAUAAAAGGUCAGACUUUUAUGUACGUAUGUUAUCCCCUUACUUUCUUCGUGUAUUUACCUUUUUAUAUUUUACCCCUCUGUUAGUAACAAAAAGAAUUAGUAACAAAGAAGAAGAUAUCUUACUAGCAGUCAGUGAUAAUUUUUUAUUUUAAAUUGAGUCAAUAGUUAGGUAUCGGCAAGGUUUUCCUAAUUAGGGGCGGAGCCAGCCUUUGCCUAGGGAGUUUCGAACCCUCUUCGAUUGAAAACUAUGCCAUUUAUACAUGAUUAAAAUUAUUUUUUAUGUAUCUAUAGUAGAUUGUGUUAAACCAAAUAUUGAACCCCCGUAAUUAAAAUCCUGACUUCAUCUUUGUUCGUAAUGUAGUGGUCCCUAAACCAAUCCUAAAACAUGUACUAGCAUACCACAAAAUCCCACAUUGGUAUACUUGAAUCUAAGAAACCAUGUGUUAUUCUAAAUAAUAAUAACAAAUAAUGAGCACCUAAUGAUUAUCAUAAGCAAGUGAUUAUUUUUCAUAAGCAAACAAUAUGCUUAGGCUGAACUACAUAAAACUCUUACAAUGAAAUUUUAAACAUGUCUCCUUUAUCAUAACCAGCUUGCACGCACCUCAGACUAAUUCCACCUGAUAUCUAUCACCUCUCACCAGCAAUCAAACUCCAAACAUGACUUUGUUAUUCACAUUAAAAUAAGAAUAAUUUCUUUAGUUAAGUUGAUACUGUCACGAACAUAAUCCAUUGAUAUCUACACGCUGAUUAUCUCAUAAUUCAAAUUAAUGCAACAUUAACAAAACCCUAAAACAAUAUCAAUAUGAAAAAAUAAAAUACGAAUAUAAGAAAUUGAAAAAUUACCAUCAUUCUUUUCGGGCAAAUACUCUGAUAGCACUCGAUGAUUUUACUGCAAACACUAAAAUUGUGUAAUUGAUUACUAUAUGAUAGGGCAAAAGGAAAUUGAAUAAAAAUUGUACUCAUUUUAAUUCGGACGUUAAAAGAAUCGAGUCUAAAUUAAUGGGCUGGACCCGUUCUCUGAAGUCCAGAUGGAUAUGACCAAGCCCAUUAGUCUACCUAAAAGAUAUGAGAGAUAAGUGCACAAAUAGCCUAAGAUAUAUAAGCAUAAACCUUAAAAUAUCAUAAUUAAAAAUUCCAACUAAUUAUAUGUGUUUUUAUUAGAAGUAUCAGAGCUAAUUAUAUAUCUCGAGAGACUCACAAUCAAAAGAAAUGUAUCGGGAGCUAAUUAUGUUAUUUCGACAAACCCAAAAUGGGAAAAAAUGUAGAGGGAGCUAAUUAUAUAUCUUUACAAGGAAAAAAAUGUAUCAAGUUGGAUGUAUAGGGAGAUAAGUACGUAUCUCAACGGAUUCAAAAUUGAGAUUUUUUGUAAUUAUGUAAAAUAUCAGGAUUUUUUAUAAUUGAGCUCAAAAUUGUCAAAAUUUAUGUUGUUUUUCCGUCAUAUAAACAAAAUUUAUAAUUUAUUCAGAUUGUAACUUUUUCCUCUGUUUCAUGGGACCUUUCGGAUUUUGAAUUAAAAAACAAAGAAAUGUAUAUUUGAUCAUAUGUUUUUCAUAUAUUUUUAAAAAUAUUUUGAAUUGUCAAUUAUUCUGAGUUAUAGUACUUUUUAUGUCGCUUUCAAAUAUAUAAAUUUUAUGUUAAAAAACUUAACGAUUCCAUUCAUAUUCAUGGUUAAACUUAAAUAUUUUGACUCUUGAAAUUUGAGUUGUGCCACAUAAAUUAGGACAAACGGGAUAUUUUGGAAUUAAACUUGAAAUCUUGAGGCUGAUGUUUUGAAAUUAGAGCAUGUUUGGAUGUACUUAUAUGUCAUGGCUUAUUCUUUGUCGUUUUGAAUAAAAAACAAGUACUUAAAAGUAUUUUUUUAAAACAAAAUCUUAUCCAAACACUAUAAAAAUACUUAUUAAAUAGUUAUCUUAACUUAAAAGUAUGUAAAAUAAGUCAAUCCAAAUAUGCAUUCUUAGGCUGGAUCUGUUUUUAUUAUGAUUCAGACGUCUGAAUUUGAAUGCACAUCUGAAUGAUUAAGAUAUUGUCUCCAUAUUUGAAAACUGGAUGAUCAAGAGUGUUUGCUUUCAACAUCUGAAUGUGCAAAAUUUAUUUAUUUGUAUAUAUAACAAAAAUAUAAUUCAAAUUAAAAAUUAAUUAUAUAAUAAGAAAAUAUUUGAAUUAAUUAAUUGUAAAAAAUAUUUAUGUUUGCUAGUGAUAAUGGAGAUGGUUUGUACUGGUGAUGGUGGUGGUGGUGGUAAUGAUUGAUGUUAGUGACUAUUAAUAUUGGCGGUGAUAAUUGUGAUGGCAGAGAUGGUUGGUAUUGUAGUAACUAUUAUGACAGUGGUGAUUUAUAGCGGUGGUGGUGAUUGUGAUAUGAAGCUAGUUGAUGAUAGCUUUUUGAGGUAUUGAUUACAAUCGCUAAAAAAUAAAUGUAUGAUAUUUGAUGUUGUGUUGGUGGUAGUUGGAGAUGCUAUUAGUUGUGAUAGUUUAGAUGGUUGUUAAUAGAGAUAUAUUAUAGUGAUGGUAGUGGUUGAAAUGGUGAUAAAGGUGACGGUACCGGUGACAAUGAUGACGGUGAUGGUUAAAGAAUGUGUGGAGGUUGAUGUUGUAUUAAUGAUAGUUAGCGGUGGUGCUAGUUGUGAUAGAUGAGUUGGUCGGUAGUGGUUUAUGAUGUAGGUGGUGUUGGAAUUGGUGUUAGUGUUGGGGUGAUGGUAAAGGUGGAUAUUUGGGCCAAAAUCAUGCCCGAACGCCAGUCCAUUUUUGGUAAAAAUCACGGUUGAACCCUGGGCCUACCCAAAAAUCGUGGGCUAUAGCACACUGAUUUGGACCGAAAAGGGCCCGUUUGUGCCGUUUUGCCCGUUUGACCAGCCAACCCGCCCAGAAAACCAAAAUGGCACACACUAGGUCGCUCCUUAGCCUGCCUGGGGUAGACCAAUUAAUUUUUGACAAAAAUAAUGCCCGGACCCCUAGCCCACCCUAAAAACCGUGGGCUUUAACACACCAAUUUGGCCCAAAAAUGGCCCAUUCACGUCGUUUCUCCCAUUUAACCAACCAAUCCACCCAGAAAACAAAAAUGACCCACAUUAGGCCGCUCCUCAGGCUGCAUGGAGCAGCCUAGUUAAUUUUCGGCUAAAAUCACGCUCGAACCCCAGGCCCACCCUAAAAAUCGUGGGCUAUAGCACACCGAUUUGGCUCGAAAAUGGCUCAUUCGUUCCGUUUUGCCCAUUUGACCAACCAAACCACCCAGAAAACUAAAAUGGCCCAUACAAGGAUGUUCCUCAGCUUGCCUAGUAAAGCCCGGAUAAUUUUUGGCCCAAAUCACGCUCGAACCUUGGGUCCACCCAAAAAACCAUGGCUAUAGCACACCGAUUUGGCCAAAAAAUGGUCUGUUUGUGCCAUUUUGCCUGUUUGACCAACCAAACCACCCAGAAAACCAAAAUGGCCUGCACUAGGCUGCUCCUUAGCCUGCCUUGGGCAGGCCGAUCGAUUUUCGGCAAAAAUCAUGCUCGAACCUUGCGCCCACCCUAAAAACCAUGGGCUAUGGCACACAGAUUUGGCUCGAAAAUAGUCCAUUCACGUUGUUUUGCCCGUUUGACCAACUAAACCUCCCAGAAAACCAAAAUAUCCCACACUAGACUGCUCCCCAGCCAGCUUGGGGCAGCCUGAUCGAUUUUCAGUCAAAAUUAUGCUUGGACCCCGAUCCCACCACAAAAAUCAUGGGCUAUAACAUAUCGAUUUGGCUAAAAAUUGUCCCAUUCGCGCUAUUUCGACCUUUUGACCAACCAAACUGCCCAGAAAACUAGUAUGACUAAUACUGGGCCGUUUUCCAGCCUGCCCGGGGUAGCCUGAUCAAUUUUUUGCAAAAAUCACGCCCGGAUCUUGAGCCCACCGCAAAAAUCGUGGGCUAUAGCACACUGAUUUGGCCCAAAAAAUGGCCCGUUCGCACCGUUCCUCCCGUUUGACCAGCCAAACCACCCAUAAAACAAAAAUGACCCAUACUAGGCUGCUUCCUAGCCUACCUGGGGCAACCCAGUCAAUUUUUUGCCAAAAUCAUGCUCGAAUCUCGGGCCCACCACAAAAUCCUUGGGCUAUAAUAUAGUGAUUUGGCCCAAAAAUAGCCCAUUUACGCCGUUUCGUCCGUUUGACCAACCAAACCGUCCAGAAAACCAAAAUGGCCUACACUAGUCCGCUCUCCAGCCUAUCUGAGGCAGCCCGAUUGAUUUUUGACCAAAAUCACACCUGGACCCCGGAUCCACCCUAAAAAUCGUGCGCUAAAAGCCUACAACGCACCAGUUUGGCCAGAAAAUGGCCCAUUCAUGCAAUUUCACCUGUUUGACAAACCAAAUCGCUCAAAAAACAAAAAUGACCCAGACUAGGUCGUUCCCCAGCCUGCCUGGGGCAGCUCGGUCAAUUUUUGUCCAAAAUCACGCUCAAACUUGGGCUCACCCCAAAAAUCGUGGGUUAGAGCACAUCGAUUUGGCCUAAAAAUCGACCUUUUGCGCUGUUUCGCCCGUUCGACCAACCAAACCACCCAUAAAACCAAAAUGGCAUAUACUAGUUGGCUCUCCAGCCAACCUGGGGCAGCCCGGUCAAUUUUUGACAAAAAUAAUGCCAGAACCUAGGACCCACCCCUAAAAUCGUGAGCUAUAGCAACUAAUUUAGCCAAAAAAAUGGUCAAUUCACGUUUUUUUGCCAAUUUGAUGAACCAAACCGCUCAGAAAACCAAAAUGAUACACACUAGGCUGCUCCCCAGCCUACCUGGGGUGGCUCGAUCGAUUUUUAGGCAAAAUCACGCUCGUACCCCGAGCCCACCCUAAAAACCGUGGGCAAUAGCACACCGAUUUAGCUUAAAAAUAGCCCAUUCGCGCCGUUUUACCCAUUUGACAAACCAAACCGCACAUAAAACUAAAAUGGCCCAUACUAGGGCUCUCCCUAGCAUACCUGGGGUAGCUUGAUCAAUUUCUGGCCAAAAUCACGCUCGGAUCCUGGGUCCACCCCCAAAACCGUGGGCUAUAGCACACCGAUUUGGCCAAAAAGGGCUCGUUCACGCCGAUUCAUCUGUUUGAACAACCAAACAGCCCAGCAAACCAAAAUGGCCCCACUAGGCUGCCCCCAUCCUUCCUGGCAUAGCCCGAUCGAUAUUUGGUCAAAAUCACGUCUAGAAGCUGGGCCCACCCCAAAAUCCCUGGGUUAUAGCAUACCGAUUUGACUCAAAAAUGGUCUGUUUGUGCCGUUUUGCCUGUUUGACCAACCAAACCGCCCAGAAAACUAAAAUGGCCUACACUAGGUCGCUCUCCAGCCUGCCAGGGGAAGCCCGAUCGAUUUUUGGCCAAAAUCACAUCCGAACCCCAGAUCUACUCCAAAAAUCAUAGGCUACAGCACAUCAAUUUAGCCAGAAAAUAGCCCAUUUGAGCCGUUUCGCCCGUUUUACCAACCAAACCGCCCAGAAAACCAAAAUGGCCCAAACUAGGCUCCACAUAUUUUUGGCCCAAGUAGGCCCAGGGUUCGGGCAUUAUUUUAGCCCAAAAUGAGCAUUAAUAUAUAAAAGUACAUCGCAUAUUAAUCAAGCUCCACAAUCCAUCACUUUCCAUAUACAUUGACUAUUCCAUUCGUAGCUACAACCUCUACCAGCAUAGUACAAAGUAACUUUACCCACCAAAGCUUGGGCGGACGAAAAUCAGCUAUUAUUUUGUCUCCGCUAGAAUUUGAACCCUGACCUCCUAUGGAUACCCGUUUGAUUGACUGCUAACCUACACGCUCGGAUGCAUACUAAUUCUUCCAGUAUGCUUACUAAUUAGUGGGUAACAACAUGUGAAAUUUAACUAAAAAAGAGAAGUAACACACAAAAAGGUGAAUUAGCCUUUGGAGGGAAACCUAGCAUGGUGAUCUAACCCCUUGUAAAAGUAUUCUGCAAGUAUUAUUAAAUAGUGAAGCGAGCCCUCAUUGUUUUCCAAAACACCGAGUAUAAACUAGUCAUAGACUAGUUACCUCCUUCAAUUAAUCGAAUAAGAACCGUAGAUAAUAAGCAAAGGAUUAACCUUACCUCAUACAAGAAAUUGUUCUUGUAAGGUUGUAAGAUAAUAGUCAAUACCCAAGGGUAUAAAUAAAAGAACUCCCAAAAACUAAUAACAACAUUUUCUCAAAACAAAACUCACCCUACAUAGGUAAAAAUCAUCAAACCCUAUCCCAAAUGGUAUGAGAAUUGAAUCUUACUUUCAUGAAAAUAACUAGUAAAAACUAAAUAGAAAACUUUCAAACUUAAGAAAGCAGGGUAAAAUUAAUGUCAUGUUUCUUACUAAAUCUAUUUGAUAAAAUAAUGAAAGAAGUGUCAACUUUUGAACCAAAACCCACGUUCAAAUAAAUAGCCCUUUUGGGCAUGUAAAAAUGAUAGUUGAUCAUAGAAGAUCAUUUGUUGGACUCCGUGUGGGUUUCAAUCUUCCUUUUCUUGGACCUGGGCUAUAAAUACCGGUAUGGUAGCAUCCAUGGUGGCAUACUUCCAUUAAAGGAUUUCGAUGAAGCUUUGAAAGCUAAGGAGACCAAGAUAAGGUGAUGAGUUUUUCAACGGGAAAUUAAGAAAAUAUUUAUCAUGAAAGAAGGGUCUAGAAGUAUGGCAAAAUGUUUAUCAUGAAAGAAGAGAAGUAUGGCAAGGAGUGAGCUAAGUGCUACACGCAUUUCACGGUGCUAGUUCAAGUUCAAGAGGAGCAAGAUUGAGACUCACAUGGAAUCCAACAAGGACUGAUUUAAAUGCCCAAUAAGGGCUGAUUUUGCAUGCACAAAAAGUACUAUUUUUACACGUACAAACGGACCCAAUAGGACUGCUUUAUCCAUCCAAAUGGGUGUGGGUUUUGAUUUAAAAGUUGACAAUUCGUUUGUUAGGUAGUUUUAGGAAGAAGUGAGACAUUAAUUCUUACCUGCUUUCCUAGUUUAAAAAUUUUCUAGUUAGGUUUUACUAUUUAAGUAUUUUGAUAAAAAAAAAAGUAUGAUUUGAACCACAUGAUACUUGGGAUAUGGCUAGACAAUUUUCCCCCUAUAUAAAGGAGUGGAUUUUGUUCCAUUUGACACAACAUUGUUAUCAAAAUUAUUGGCAGUUUUUUUCUUUGCACCUUUAUGCAUACUUUGGGAUGUACUUUACAACCUUACAAGAACAAUUUCUUUGAGAGGUAAGAUUAAAUCUUUGUUUGAUAUGUCUGUUCCUUAUUUGAUUCGUUGAGAAAGGCAGUUAGCUUUAUACUACUUAUUGGCUUAGAUUAUUAAAUUGGGAGUUUGGAUCACUUUUCAUCUAAGUUCUUGAAUUGAAUAUCAUAAUUGAUUGUAGAAGGCCCCUAAUCCGAUGAUUAGGACUGUUACAAUCAAUUAGGGUUCUUAAUAAUUACUUUUGAGAUCGGAAAUUUAUUCCGCGAAUUUUGCCUAUCUUGUUUUAUUUUUCUAUAAUCUUUUUAUCUUUUGCUUCCACAUUAUUUUUUUAUUUUUCUUUCAUGUAAACCAAUUCUUAUCCAGUAAUAGUGUUGAAUUGUGUGUUAUUAGCAUAGGAAGUGAAUAAUACCCAGUACAUAGAUUUCAACAUUUUGCGUUUAAAGUAAAUAAAUAGCGCUAAGAGAUACAUAGGAACUUCUACAAGGUACACAACAAGGAGGUUUGAGAGGCAUCCAUUCAAGAGUUUGCAAUGAAAUACUAACAACAAUUUGGUGGAUCAUAUGGAACGAAGGAGACUCAAAAAUUAUUUGAACUUUUUUGGGUGAUGCUAUGGGUAUCAAGGAUGCAUCUGUGAGCUGGAGCACUUGGAAAGUUGGUAACACCAUCAGAAAACUCGGGAGAAUGAUCCCUAUUUACAUUUAUAAUUUCUUAGUGUAUCUAGACUGAAAGAAACAUAAGAUGUUUUUACGGAUUAUCAGCUCCUUGCUAGUCCAUCAAAGAUAAGUGCCUAUUAAAGUUCACAAUUUACCCCUGACAACUUUUAUGGACUCUGUUAACCCACUAUCCUUAGCAUAGGUAAAUAUGCUACAUGGAAUCAGGGGCAGAGUCAUGGUAUCGCUUCGUCAAAAAAUUAUACUAUACAUACAAGGUCAGAGUCAUGGUAUCGCUUCGUCAAAAAAUUAUACUAUAUAUACAAGGUCAAACUUAUUUUUUAUGUACGCAUAGUUAUUCCCUUACUUUCUUCGCGUGUUUACCUUUUUAUAUUUUGAACCCCUCGGCCAAUAACAAAGAAGAAGAUAUCUUACUCGCAGUCGGUGGUACUUUUUUUAUUUUAAAUUGAGUCAAUAUUUAGGUAUCGGCAAGGUUUUCCUAAUCAGGGGCGGAGCCAGCCUUUGCCUAGGGAGUUUCAAUCCCCCUUCGACGGAAAACUAUGUCAUUUAUACAUGAUUAAAAUUAUUUUUUAUGUAUUUAUAGUAGAUUGUGUUGAACCCCCUAUAUUUUUUUUUCAAAUAUUAAACCCCCUUGGUUGAAAUCCUGGCUUUGCCUUUAUUCGUAAUGUAGUUGUCCAGAAACCAAUCAUAAAACAUGUACUAGCAUACCACAAAAUCCCACAUUGGUAUACCUGAAUCUAAGAAGCUAUGUGUUAGUCUAAACAAUAAUAACAAAUGAUGAGCACCUAAUGAUUAUCAUAAGCAACUGAUUAUUUUUCAGAAGUAAACAAUAUGCUUAGGUUGGACUACAUAAAAUUCUUACGAUGAAAUUCUAAACAUGUCUCCUUUAUCACACACCCCCCCCNNNNNNNNNNNNNNNNNNNNNNNNNNNNNNNNNNNNNNNNNNNNNNNNNNNNNNNNNNNNNNNNNNNNNNNNNNNNNNNNNNNNNNNNNNNNNNNNNNNNNNNNNNNNNNNNNNNNNNNNNNNNNNNNNNNNNNNNNNNNNNNNNNNNNNNNNNNNNNNNNNNNNNNNNNNNNNNNNNNNNNNNNNNNNNNNNNNNNNNNNNNNNNNNNNNNNNNNNNNNNNNNNNNNNNNNNNNNNNNNNNNNNNNNNNNNNNNNNNNNNNNNNNNNNNNNNNNNNNNNNNNNNNNNNNNNNNNNNNNNNNNNNNNNNNNNNNNNNNNNNNNNNNNNNNNNNNNNNNNNNNNNNNNNNNNNNNNNNNNNNNNNNNNNNNNNNNNNNNNNNNNNNNNNNNNNNNNNNNNNNNNNNNNNNNNNNNNNNNNNNNNNNNNNNNNNNNNNNNNNNNNNNNNNNNNNNNNNNNNNNNNNNNNNNNNNNNNNNNNNNNNNNNNNNNNNNNNNNNNNNNNNNNNNNNNNNNNNNNNNNNNNNNNNNNNNNNNNNNNNNNNNNNNNNNNNNNNNNNNNNNNNNNNNNNNNNNNNNNNNNNNNNNNNNNNNNNNNNNNNNNNNNNNNNNNNNNNNNNNNNNNNNNNNNNNNNNNNNNNNNNNNNNNNNNNNNNNNNNNNNNNNNNNNNNNNNNNNNNNNNNNNNNNNNNNNNNNNNNNNNNNNNNNNNNNNNNNNNNNNNNNNNNNNNNNNNNNNNNNNNNNNNNNNNNNNNNNNNNNNNNNNNNNNNNNNNNNNNNNNNNNNNNNNNNNNNNNNNNNNNNNNNNNNNNNNNNNNNNNNNNNNNNNNNNNNNNNNNNNNNNNNNNNNNNNNNNNNNNNNNNNNNNNNNNNNNNNNNNNNNNNNNNNNNNNNNNNNNNNNNNNNNNNNNNNNNNNNNNNNNNNNNNNNNNNNNNNNNNNNNNNNNNNNNNNNNNNNNNNNNNNNNNNNNNNNNNNNNNNNNNNNNNNNNNNNNNNNNNNNNNNNNNNNNNNNNNNNNNNNNNNNNNNNNNNNNNNNNNNNNNNNNNNNNNNNNNNNNNNNNNNNNNNNNNNNNNNNNNNNNNNNNNNNNNNNNNNNNNNNNNNNNNNNNNNNNNNNNNNNNNNNNNNNNNNNNNNNNNNNNNNNNNNNNNNNNNNNNNNNNNNNNNNNNNNNNNNNNNNNNNNNNNNNNNNNNNNNNNNNNNNNNNNNNNNNNNNNNNNNNNNNNNNNNNNNNNNNNNNNNNNNNNNNNNNNNNNNNNNNNNNNNNNNNNNNNNNNNNNNNNNNNNNNNNNNNNNNNNNNNNNNNNNNNNNNNNNNNNNNNNNNNNNNNNNNNNNNNNNNNNNNNNNNNNNNNNNNNNNNNNNNNNNNNNNNNNNNNNNNNNNNNNNNNNNNNNNNNNNNNNNNNNNNNNNNNNNNNNNNNNNNNNNNNNNNNNNNNNNNNNNNNNNNNNNNNNNNNNNNNNNNNNNNNNNNNNNNNNNNNNNNNNNNNNNNNNNNNNNNNNNNNNNNNNNNNNNNNNNNNNNNNNNNNNNNNNNNNNNNNNNNNNNNNNNNNNNNNNNNNNNNNNNNNNNNNNNNNNNNNNNNNNNNNNNNNNNNNNNNNNNNNNNNNNNNNNNNNNNNNNNNNNNNNNNNNNNNNNNNNNNNNNNNNNNNNNNNNNNNNNNNNNNNNNNNNNNNNNNNNNNNNNNNNNNNNNNNNNNNNNNNNNNNNNNNNNNNNNNNNNNNNNNNNNNNNNNNNNNNNNNNNNNNNNNNNNNNNNNNNNNNNNNNNNNNNNNNNNNNNNNNNNNNNNNNNNNNNNNNNNNNNNNNNNNNNNNNNNNNNNNNNNNNNNNNNNNNNNNNNNNNNNNNNNNNNNNNGGCAUCAUCAAACUCCAACCACAUGAACAUCAACCACCAAAAACAUAAACAUCAUGAUAUAAAAUUUAGAAGAUGGUUUUUGAGCUUCACGGACGAAAGGAGUCCAUGACUCAACUCACGCAUACCUUAGAAGGAAGAUUCUUGAUGAUUGACGGAGGAAUUUCCUUGAAAUCGGAUCUUCAAGCUUAGUUACGCAACCCUAGUUGUUUUUCUCUUUUAGUGCUCUUGGAUGAUGAGCUUUGAGAUGAUAAUAGGGUUGUAAUAUGUUUAGAAGCUAUAUAUUUCGUAGGGUUACGUUUAGGGACGUGUAAGGAGUGUUAAAAGACUUAAUUACCCUUAAAAUAACUCAAAAUGGAGUAUUUUUGGCACCUGAAACAGACUUAGGCGGCGCCCAAGUGAUUGCCUAAGCUGGGUUGGGCCGCGCCUAACCAAUUGCCUAUGCUUGGGUUGGGCGGCGCCUAACCAAUCGCCUAUCCUUACCGUCUCUCACGAAAAUGGACAUAACUUUUCGCUCGGGUAUUGGAUUAAGGCAAAAUUGGUAUCGUUGGAAAGCUAAUUCGAUUCUCUACAAUUUGGUGGGUCUAAAUCAGCCAAAAUACCACAUUAACAUUGAGUUAUACUCGUUCAAAGAUGACCCCUACAAAAUUAAACACUAAAACUUGAUGGAUUCAAAAACUCUUAGCUUGUAUUACCUUAAGUGACUCAUAUGAACAUGCUUAAUGCAUCAUAAGCUAUCCUAUCACUAGAAUAUUCAUUGUAAGUCAUGUACUCAAGUAUGAAUCACAGGAUAGGAGAUUUCAUAAGUAGGAAUACUUAUUCACUUCCUAGCUUAGAAAUAUGAGGGGUAUUACAGCGCACCUCAGACUAAUUCCACCGAUACCUACCACCUCCCACCAGCAAUCAAACUCCAAACAUGACUUUGUUAUACACAAUAAAAUAAGAAUAAUUUAUUUAAUUAAAUUGAUACUGUCACAAGUAUAAUCCGUUGAUAUCUACACACAAAUUACCCCAUAAUUCAGAUUAAUGCAACAUUAACAAAACCCUAAAAAAUAUCAAUAUGAAAAAAUAAAAUUCGAAUUUAGGAAAUUGGAUAAUUACUAUCGUUCUUUUUGGAAAAAUACUCUGAUAGCACUCGAUGAUUUUAUUGCAAAAAAUAAAAUUGCGUAAUUGAUUAUUAUAUGAUAGGGCAAAAGAAAAUUGAAUAAAAAUUGUACUCAUUUUAAUUCAGACACUAAAAGAAUCGACUCUAAAUUAAUGGGCUAGACCCGUUCUCUGAAGCUCAGAUGGAUAUGACCAAGCCAAUUAGUCUACCUAAAAGAUAUAAGAGAUAAGUGCACAAAUAGCCUAAGGUAUAUAAGCAUAAACCUUAAAAUAUCAUAUUUCAAAAAUUCCAACUAAUUAUAUGUGUUUUUUGGAAGUAUCAGAGCUAAUUAUGUAUCUCGACAGACUCACAAUCAAAAAAAAUGUAUCCAGAGCUAAUUAUGUUAUCUCGACAGUUUAAAAGUAUUUUUUAAAAAAAAUCUUAUCCAAACACUAUAAAAAUACUUAUUAAAUAGUUAUCUUAACUUAAAAGUAUGAAAAAUAAGACAAUCCAAAUAUGAAUUCUUAGGCUGGAUUUGUUUUUAUUAUGAUUCAGACAUCUGAAUCUGAAUGCACAUCUGAAUGAUUAAGAUAUUGUCUCCAGGUUUGAAAACUGGAUGAUCAAGAGUGUUUGUUUUCAACAUCUGAAUGUGUACAAUUUAUUUAUUUGUAUAUAUAAUAAAUAUAUAAUUCAAAGAAAAAAUUAACUAUAUAUUAAGAAAAUAUUUGAAUUAAUUAAUUAAAAAAAUAUUUAUGUUUGCUAGUAAUAAUGGAGAUGGUUUGUAUUGGUGGAGGUGGUGGUGGUGGUGGUGGUAUUGAUUGAUGUUAGUGACUAGUAAUAUUGGCGGUGAUAAUUGUGAUGGCAGAGAUGGUUGGUAUUGUAGUGACUAUUAUGAUGGCGGUGAUUUGUAGCGUUGGCGGUGAUUGUGAUAUGAAGUUAGUUGAUGUUCCCAGCCUGCCUGGGGUAGCUCGGUCAAUUUUUGGCUAAAAUCACGCUCAAACCCUGGGCCCACCAAAAAAUUGUGGGCUAUAGCACAUCGAUUAAGCCCGAAAAUUGAUCUUUUGCACCGUUUCACCCGUUUGACCAACCAAACCGCCCAGAAAACCAAAACAGCACACACUAGCUCGUUCUCUAGCUUUCUUGGGGAAGCCUGGUCGAUUUUUGGCCAAAAUCAUGACAGAACCUCGUGCCCACCCCAAAAAUCGUGGGCUGUGGCACACUAAUUUGGCCCAAAAAUGGCCCGUUCGUGCUGUUUCGCCUGUUUGACGAACCAAAUCGCCCAGAAAACCAAAUGGCACACACUAGGCCGCUUACUAGCUUGCCUAGGGUAGCUUGGUCAAUUUUUAGCCAAAAUCACACCCUGACCCCGAGCCCACCCCAAAAACUGUGAGCUAUAGCACACCGAUUUGGCCCAAAAAUGGCUCUUUCGUGUUGUUUCACCCUUAUGACAAACCAAACCGUCCAGAAAACUAAAAUGGUCCACACUAGGGCGCUCCCCAGCCUACCCAGGGCAGCUCGGUCGAUUUUUGGACAAAAUCACACCCGAAUCAUGGGUCCAUCCCAAAAAUCAUGAGCUAUAGCACUCCGAUUUAGCUAAAAAAGGGCCCGUUCACGCCGUUUAGCCCGUUUGACCAACCAAACAACCCAGAAAAAUAAAAUGGCCCACACUAGGCUGCUCCCCAGCCUGCCUGACCAAGCCCGAUCGAUUUUUGGCCUUAAUCAUGCUCGAAACCCAGGUCCACCCCAAAAUCCCUGGCCUAUAGCAUAUCGAUUUGGCCCAAAAUGAACUCGUUUCACCCGUUUGACCAACCAAACCACUUAGAAAAUUAAAAUAGCCUAUACUAGGCCGCUCUCCAACCUCUCAGGGGCAGCCUGAUCGAUUUUCGGCUAAAAUCAUGCCUGGACCCCGAAUCCACGCCAAAUAUCGUGGGCUACAACAUACCGAUUUCGCCAAAAAAUAGCCCAUUCACUCCGUUUUGCCCGUUUGACCAAUCAAACCGCCCAGAAAAUCAAAAUGACACAAAUUAGGCUCCACAUAUUUUCGGUCCGGGGUAGGCCUAGGGUUCGAGCGUGAUUUUAGUCCAAAAUGAGCAUUAAUAUAUAAUACUACAUCACAUAUUAAUAUGCUACAUAGAAUUAGGGGUAGAGGCAAGGUAUUGCUUCGUCAAAAAAUUAUACUAUACAUACAAGGUCAGACUUAUUUUUUAUGUACGCAUAGUUAUUCCCUUACUUUCUUCGCGUGUUUACCUUUUUAUAUUUUGAACCCCUCGGCCAAUAACAAAGAAUAAGACAUCUUACUCGCAGUCAGUGUUACUUUUUUUAUUUUAAAUUGAGUCAAUAGUUAGGUAUCGGCAAGGCUUUCCUAAUCAGGGGCGGAGCCAGCCUUUGCUUAGGGAGUUUCGAACCCCCUUCGACGGAAAACUAUGCCAUCUAUACAUGAUUAAAAUUAUUUUUUAUAUAUCUAUAGUAGAUUGUGUUGAACCCCCUAUGUUUUUUUUUCAAAUAUUAAACCCCCUUACUUGAAAUCUUGGCUUUGCCUUUAUGCGUAAUGUAGUUGUCUCGAAACCAAUCCUAAAACAUGUACUAGCAUACCACAAAAUCUCACAUUGGUAUACCAAAAUCUAAGAAGCCGUGUGUUAUUCUAAACAAUAAUAACAAAUGAUGAGCACCUAAUGAUUAUCAUAAGCAACUGAUUAUUUUUCAGAAGUAAACAAUAUGCUUAGGUUGAACUACAUAAAACUCUAACGAUGAAAUUCUAAACAUGUUUUUAACCAUGGUGUCCUAACCAGCUCGUGCGCACCUCAGACUAAUUUCACCGGAUACCUACCACCUCCCACCGGCAAUCAAACUCCAAACAUGACUUUGUUAUUCACAAUAAAAUAAGAAUAAUUUAUUUAGUUAAAUUGAUAUUGUCACGAACAUAAUCCGUUGAUAUCUACACACAGAUUACCCCAUAAUUCAGAUUAAUGCAACAUUAACAAAACCCUAAAACAAUAUCAAUAUGAAAAAAAGAAAAUACGAAUUUAGGUUGGAUAAUUACCGUCGUUAUUUUUGGGCAAAUACUCUGAUAGCACUCGAUGAUUUUACCACAAACACUAAAAUUGUAUAAUUGAUUAUUAUAUGAUAGGGCAAAAUAAAAUUGAAUAAAAAUUGUACUCAUUUUAAUUCGAAAGCUAAAAGAACCUAUUCUAAUUAAUGGGCUGGACCCGCUCCCUGAAGCCCAGAUGAAAAUGACUAAGCUCAUUAGUCUAAGAUAUAUAACCAUAAACCUUAAAAAAUCUUAUUUAAAAAUUCCAACUAAUUAUAUGUGUUUGUUGGAUGUAUCAGAGCUAAUUAUGUAUCUCGACAGAUUCAUAAUCAAAAGAAAUAUAUCGGGGGCUAAUUUUGUUAUCUCGACAGACCCAAAAUGGGAAAAAAUGUAGAGUGAGUUAAUUAUAUAUCUUUACAAAGAAAAAGUUGUAUCAUGUUGGAUGUAUAGAGAGCUAAUUACUUGUCUCGACGGAUUCAAAAUUGAGAUUUUUCGUAAUUAUGUAAAAUAUCGGGAUUUUUUAUAAUUAUGCUCAAAAUUUAUGUUGUUUUUCCGACAUAUAAUCAAAAUUUAUAAUUUAUUCAGAUUGUAACUUUUUCCUCUGUUUCAUGGGACCUUUCGAAUUUUGGAUAAAAAAACAAACAAAUCUAUAUUUGAUUAUAUGUUUUUCAUAUAUUUUUAAAAACAUUAUGAAUUGUCAAUUAUUCUAAGUUAUAGUAAUUUUUAUGUCGCUUUCAAAUAUAUAAAUUUUGUUUCGAAAAACUUAACGAUUCCAUUCAUAUUCAUGGUUAAACUUAAAUCUUUUGACUCUUGAAAUUUGAGUUGUGCAACAUAAAUCAGGGAAAACAGAAUAUUUUAAAUUAAAAUUGAAAUCUUGAGGCUGAAGUUUUGAAAUUAGAGCAUGUUUGGAUGUACUUAUAUGUCAUGGCUUAUUCUUUGUCGUUUUGAAUAAAAAACAAUUACUUAAAAGUAUUUUUUUUAAAAAAAUCUUAUCCAAACACGAUAAAAAUACUUAUUAAAUAGUUAUCUUAAUUUAAAAAUAUGUAAAAUAAGUCAAUCCAAAUAUGCAUUCAGAUAUUGUCUCCAGACUUGAAAACUGGAUGAUCAAGAGUGUUUGUUUUAAAAAUCUGAAUGUGCAAAAUUUUAAAAUUUUUGUAUUUGUAUAUAUAAUAAAAAAUAUAAUUCAAAUUAAAAAUUAAUUAUAUAUUAUGAAAAUAUUUGAAUUAAUUAAUCGAAAAAAUAUUUAUGUUUGCUAGUGAUAAUGGAGAUGGUUUGUAUUGGUCGUGGUGGUGGUGGUGGUGGUAAUGAUUGAUGUUAGUGACUAGUAAUAUUGCGGUGAUAAAUGUGAUGGCAGAGAUGGUUGGUAAUGUAGUGACUAUUAUGAUGGCGGUGAUUUGUAGCGUUGGCGGUGAUUGUGAUAUGAAGUUAGUUGAUGUUGUGUUGGUGGUAGUUAGAGAUGCUAUUAGUUGUGAUGGUGUAGAUGGUUGUUAAUAGAGAUACAUUAUAGUGAUGGUAGUGGUUGAAGUGGUGAUAGAGGUGGCGAUACCGGUGAAAAUGAUGACGAUGAUGGUCGAAGAAUGUGUGAAGGUUGAUGUUGUAUUAAUGGUAGUUAGCGAUGGUGCUAGUUGUGAUAGAUGAGUUGGUCGGUAGUGGUUGAUGAUGUUGGUGGUGUUGAAAUUGGUGUUAGUGUUGGGGUAACAGUAAAGGUGGAUAUUUGGGCCAAAAUUACGCCUGAACCCCGAUCGAUUUUCGGCUAAAAUCACGCCCAAACUCUGGGCCUACCCCAAAAACUGUGGGCUAUAGCACACUGAUUUGGCUCGAAAAUGGCCCGUUUGUGCUGUUUCGCCCGUUUGACCAACCAAACCGCCCGGAAAACCAAAAUGGCACACACUAGGCCGCUCCCCAACCUGCCUAGGGCAGCCCGAUCGAUGUUCGGCAAAAAUCAUGCCCGAACCCGGAGCCCACCCCAAAAAAAUUGUGGGCUGUAACACACCGAUUUAGCCCAAAAAUGGCCCGUUCACUUCGCUUCACCAGUUUAACUAACCAAACUUCCCAGAAAACCAAAAUGGCCCAUAUUAGGCCACUCCUCAUCCUGCCUGGAGUAGCUCAGUCAAUUUUUAUCCAAAAUCACACCCGAACACCAGGCCCAACUCAAAAAUCGUGGGCUAUAGCACACCGAUUUGGCCCAAAAAAGGCUCAUUCGCUCUGUUUCGCCCGUUUGACCAACCAAACCGCCAAGAAAACUAAAAUGACCCACACUGGACAUUCCCCAGCCUGCCUGGGGCAGCCCGGUAGAUUUACGGCCAAAAUCACGUCUAGAUCUCGGGCCCACCCAAAAAAUCGUAGGAUAUAGCACAUCAAUUUAGCCCAAAAAUGAUCCGUUCGCGCUGUUUCGCCCAUUUAACCAACCAAACUACCCAGAAAACCAAAAUGGCCUGCACUAGGCUGCUCCUCAGCCAGCCUGGGGCUGCCCGGUAGAUUUUCGACAAAAAUCACGCCUGAACCUCAGGCCCACCCCAAAAACCAUGGGCUAUAGCACACUUAUUUGGCCCAAAAAUGGCCCGUUCCCGCCGUUUCACUCGUUUGACCAACCAAACGGCCCAAAAAAAUAAAAUGUCCCACACUAGGCCGCUCCCCAGCAAGCCUGGGGCAGCCCGAUCAAUUGUCAGGCCAAAAUUAUGCUUAGACCCUGGGCGCACCACAAAAAUCGUGGGCCAUAGCACACUGAUUUUGCCAAGAAAUGGUCCGUUGCUAUUUCGCCCGUUUGGCCUACCAAACUGCCCAGAAAACCAAAAUGGCCUAUACUAGGCCGCUCCCCAGCCUGCCUGGGGCAGCUCGAUCGAUUUUUGGCCAAAAUCGCGGUCAAACCCCGGGCCCACCGCAAAAAUCAUAGGCUAUAGCACACCGAUUUGGCUUUAAAAUAGCCCGUUCGCGCCGUUUUGCCCGUUUGACCAGCCAAACCGCCCAAAAAAUAAAAAUGGCCUACACUAGGCUGCUCCCCAGCCUGCCUGGGGCAACCCAGUCAAUUUCUGGCUAGAAUCACGUCAGAUCCUGGGCCCACCCCAAAAUCCUUGGGCUAUAGCAUACCGAUUUGCCCAAAAAAUGGCCCGUUUAUGCCGUUUCGCUCGCUUGACCAACCAAACCACCCAGAAAAACCAAAAUGGCCUACACUAGGCCGCUCUCCAGCCUACCUGGGGCUGCCCGAUUAAUUUUUAAUCAAAAUCACGUCCAGACCCCAGAUCCACCCCAAAAACCAUGGGCUACAGUCCUACAGCACACCAAUUUGGCUAGAAAAUGACCCAUUCGUGUUGUUUCGCCCGCUUGACCAACCAAACCGCCUAAAAAAAACAAAAUGGCCCACACUAGGCCGUUCUCCAGCCGGCCUGGGGUAGUCCAGUCAAUUUUCGAUCGAAAGUAUGAUCGAACUCUGGGCCCACCCCAAAAAUUAUGGGCUAUAGCACACCGAUUUGGCUCGAAAAUCGACCUUUUGCGCCGUUUCACCCGUUUGACCAACCAAAUCGCCCAGAAAACCAAAAUGGCUCACACUAGGUUGCUCCCCAGCCUACCUGGGGCAGUUUGAUCAAUUUUUAGCCAAAAUCACGCCAGAACCCCAAAUCCACUCCAAAAUUUGUGGGCUAUACCACACUAAUUUGGCCCAAAAAUGAUCCGUUCGCGCUAUUUCACCCAUUUGAUAAACCAAACCACCCUGAAAACCAAAAUGGCACACACUAGGCCUCUCCCUAGCCUGCCUGGGAUAGCUCAGUCGAUUUUUAGCCAAAAUCACAUCCGGACCCCGAGCCCACCCCAAAAAUUGUGGGCUAUAGCACACCAAUUUAGCCCAAAAAUGGUCUAUUUACGCUGUUUCGCCCAUUUGACAAAUCAAACCACCCAAAAAACCAAAAUAGCCUACACUAGGGCGCUCCCCAGCCUACCUGGGGCAGCUGGAUCAAUUUUUGGCCAAAAUCACGCUCGGACCCUUGGUCCACCCCAAAAACCGCGGGGUAUAGCACACCGAUUUGGCCAAAAAAAGACCCGUUCGUGUUGUUUCCCCUGUUUGACCAACCAAAUAGCCCAGAAAACCAAAAUGACCCAUACUAGGCUGCUCCCCUGCCUGUCUGGCGCAGGCCGAUCAAUUUUGUCCAAAAACACACUCAGAACCUGGGCCCACCCCAAAAUCCCAGGACUAUAGCAUACCAAUUUGGCCUAAAAAUGUCCCGCUUAUGCCGUUUCGCCCGUUUGACCAACCAAACCGCCUAGAAAACUAAAAUGGCCUACACAAUGCCGCUCUCCAGCCUGCCAGGGGAAGCCCGAUUGAUUUUCGACCAAAAUCACGCACAGAUUUCGAAUCCACCACAAAAACCGUGGAUUAUAUCACACCGAUUUGGUCAAAAAUAGCCCAUUCACACUGUUUCACCCGUUUGACCAACCAAAUCGCCCAUAAACCAAAAUGGCCCAAACUAGGCUCCACAUAUUUUCAGCCCGGGGUAGGCCCAGGGUUUGUGAGUGAUUUUAUCCCAAAAUGAACAUUAAUAUAUAACAAUACAUCGCAUAUUAAUCAGGCUCCACAAGCCAACACUUUGCAUGUACAUCGACUAUUCCAUUCGUAGCUACAACCUCCACCAGCAUAGUACUAAGUAACUUUACCCACCGAAGCUUGGGCGGACAAAAAUCAGCUAUUAUCUUAUCUCCACUAGAAUUUGAACCCUGACCUCCUAUUGAUACUCGUUGAUUGACUGCUAACUCGUUGAUUGACUGCUAACGUACAUGCUCGGAUGCAUACUCAUUCUUCUAGUAUGCUUACUAAAUAGUGGGUAGCAAGAUGUGAAAUUUAACUCAAAAAAAGAGAAAAGUUUACACACAAAAAGGUGAAUUAGCUUUUGGAGGGAAACCUAGCAUGGUGAUCUAACCCCUUGUAAAAGCAUUUUGCAAGUAUUAUUAAAUAGUGAAGCGAUCCCUCAUCGUUUUCCAAAACACCAAGUAUAAACUAGUCAUAGACUUGUCACCUUCUUCAAUUAAUCGAAUAAGAACCAUAGACAUUGAGUAAUGGAUUAACCUUACCUCAUAAAAGAAAUUGUUCUUGUAAGGUUGUAAGAUAAUAGUCAAUACACAAGGGUAUAAAUAAAAGAACUCCCAAAAACUAAUAACAAUAUUGUCUCAAAACAAAACUCACCCUACAUAGGGAAAAAUCAUCAAACCCUAUCCCAAAUAGUACGAUAAUUGAAUCCUACUUUCAUGGAAAUGAUUAGUAAAAACUAACUAGAAAUCUUUAAACUAGAAAACUUUCAAACUUAAGAAAGCAGAGUAAAAUUAAUGUCAUGUUUCUUCCCAAAUCUACUUGAUAAAAUAAGGAAAGAAGUGUCAACUUUUGAACCAAAACCCACGUCCAAAUAAACAGCCCUUUUGGGCGGGUAAAAAUGGUAGUUGGGCAUAGAAGAUCAUUUGUUGGACUCCGUGUGGGUUCCAAUCUUCCUUCUCUUGGACCUGGACCAUACGAAACUGUACCAAAUACAAUUGUUAGGAUGAGGUCCAAAGAGGUGCAACAUUUUCGAUUUUCGAUACCGUUCGAUAACAAACAAAAUACUUAAAAUAAUUUGGACAGGCGACAAUACAGUAGAGAAUAACAGGUUUUUGCAAGUCUAGUAAUUGAGAUGUACAUCUCUGCUCAUCUGAUUGUAUCAGACAAUACGCUUAGUCUUUCUUCUCUCAAAAGUCAAAAGGUUGCAUUUUCAGUAGUCUUACUGUACUGAGCGGAGCGAACCGGGACAUUGGCACCAUUAGGUCUGGUUCAUGUUCUCUUGAUCUUAGAAAACGUUCCAGUAUCCGAGAAAUAGGUGCUCUGAGUUCCACUGCCAAGCUGAUUUGCAAGCGCCUGAGGAUUUGACAGCUCGAUUCCCUGACAUCAAAGUUACCAUCAGGAUAACCAACACAAAUGACACAAGUAAAUAGAAAUGGAAAAGGAGUCGAGAGAAUAAAAUGACUGAAUUAGACCAACAUACUGCUAAGAAAAUAACCAAAUCACAAACUGGCAUUACAGAUGUAACGAGGCAACCUUAGAACUUAAAAAGUGCACAUGCAGACAAUCUAAUCCCCAUACACCUAACAUUAGAUAUAGUUUGGCAAAAACUCCGGGAACCAUAAAUUACAUUGUGAUUCUCGUCCGUCCCAAAUCAUUUCGUUAAUGCACAAAAAGCAUAUUCCCGACGAAUUAAGAAUACACUGUUGCUUAAACUGAUUAAAUAGUCCUUCUCGCUGUGAGGUGCCUCAGAUACAGAUUGGUGUUUCUUUUUAUACUCUUGGUACAGAUUACAGAGAGAGUAGGAGAUUUAGAGACAAAAUGGGAGAAGGAUCGGCAGCGAAUUCGUCAGUGUCCACCAGCGAAAGCACUUGCGUGGAAGAAAUUCUUUCCUUGCUGGGCUUCUCCGGCAAGGAGGUGCAGAGAAUUGGCGAGUCCAGUUGAAAUUUGAAAAUUUUAUUCGAACCCGUAGGACUGGACUGUGUGCUGACUCAUGGGUAACCUUAUUACGAACCAUUCUAACCCGCUCUUCUAACAGGUCAAAGCAGACAUACUCUGUUUGACCCACCUGUGCUUAUUAACUCAACCCAUUCAACCUUGAGCGGGUUGGGAGGGAGGAUCACAGAUUAUGGGCCUAAAUUGCCGCCUCUAGGUGGUGUCAUAACAAGAAUAUUACUCUUAGAAAUAACUUCAUCAGUAUUAUUCUAGACCACCAAGUAUUCAAACAACUAAUUAAGGGGAGUUGGCACCUCUGGAUAAAUGUAUUAUUUUCUUUUUCUGAUGAGUAAACAGUAUUAUUAUUGACAAAACAGGGAGGUACUCCUGCACACGAGACCUAACAAAAGGUACUCCCAAGGAAGCACAGAAAUUUUAUCCUUACCUUGGAGGAUAGAAUAAAGAGCAACAAAUGUCAGCUUCAUGGUUUGCUCUUGCUUGAUAACAAUGAAGAUGACCCUCUUAUUACCAUGAACUUGCCAUUUUUUUAAAUAAAGUGAAAGGUUUCAUUUAAUAGAAACUAGCAACAUUGAAGAGGCAGGAAUCAUGGAAAGACUGGUAAUUAAGCUGGAAAGGGAUAGCAUUUGAAUAAGUCAUAGAGAAAGUGCACAAAUCGCCUAAAACAUGACAUGAAACAUAAAACUCAACCAUCACACUCCACAUGCAGUACCCUUAGAGAAUCUCGUGCAUGCUAGUUGCUUGACAAGAAUGAAACAUUAAAGUAACUAAAAAAAAAGAGCUUACUUGCACAGGCGUGAAGGCCAAACUUGAAGUCAAGCCUGAUGUAGCCCCGCUGCUUCCAUAACUCUUCUCCUUGAAUCUGGAAAAUUGUCAAGCAAUAAGAAACAGAGAGGCAUAAGACAGACUGAGCGAGUCAAAAACAAUUGUUGAAAGCCCAAAAUACUGCAACAUUCAUUGGUCAUCAAUGUUCAACAAGUGUGAGCUUUUCUGGGAUAACAGAAAGAGAAGAGAAAACAUACUUCUUUGCUACUUUGGCAGCAAGCUUGCUCUGACCAACCGAUACACGCAACUUGCCACUUCCGGCCUGACCAAGCAUGCCAUAGCCCUCCCCUAGUCCAUCCCCUAAUUUCCAGGAAGAUCAAACAUGAUGUCAAGAACACCAUUAGUCCUGAUCUACACUAACAAAAAAUAGCUUGAAAUUCUGAAAAACAAAAUCCUAAAAAGCACCAAGAGUCGACCAUCUCACAUUAGGUUCAAGUCCCUCUCAUCUCACAAAAUUAAUCGCAAGAAAUUGUAGCUUGUACUAACAAAGACUAUAUACCUAAUCAUUGGACUUGCAGGAAUUACGCACUCCAAUAUGCAUCAAAGAUUUCAUAAAAUAUGCAGUUAGCAAACAACAUGGCCAUCAAUCACCACCAACAAUACUUGGGAAAUGAAAGCAUUUAAUUUAAAGUACAGUUUUAACAAAACUUUUUCCAUUUUCACUUUUCACUCCUCCUUUUGACAGUUCUAUUUAAUUUAGAAGGUGAGGGGUUGCAUUGAGCUGGUUGGUAUUACCUAAGGAACUUUCUUCAGGUAUUCCAAACUGCAUCCUGUUUGCUAGCUUCCGCAUGUCCGUGAUAGCAUAUCUGGUGAAAUACCACGAAAACGUUUAUGUCAAUCAACAAACAUGUGCUUCACCAUAUAUAACUCUGGAAACUGUAGUUUACAUGAGAUGAAGUGGAAACGUCCAUACCUUUCUUUCAUCUUUCUCAGCCGACGGCCACCUCUCUUUUUCUUAGGCUCAGAAUCAGGAACUGGAAGAGGCUUUGGCUGCUUUGCAGGAGGUGGCUCUUGCCACUUCUCUAUCUUUUUACGGAUCUCUUCCCUAAGAGAUCUUCCGGUUUUCCCAGACGGGUCUCCAUUGAUCGAGUCAACGCGAGCAGCUAAAGUAGAUUUUGCUGCCACCAGUCUACAGGCUCGCAUCCUUAACGAAGGAGGUGUACUCUGAAAUAAUUCUGUUUGCUCAAUAUAACCUAUAUGAAAUUGGGAUGUAGCUGUGGAGAACCCAGCUAAAUUCUUCCUUUUAGCACCAAGAAGCUGGACAUUACAAGCAGGCAUUUUUGCCAACGAUGAGAGACCACCAGCAGUACCCAUAAGUUUUGCAGCAACUGCACUCCCAACUACAGCAGAAAGAUUGGGAGCAAUGUAUCCCAUUCGACUCUCAACAAAAUCAAGAACCUUUUUCUUUGCUGAAUCAAGAGCAAGGGCUCUAUCACAUGCUUCCACUGUCUUCUGUAGAACAUCUUCUGGCAAUGGCUUGCCACUGGUAGUUGAUGCCGUAACAGACACAACCAUGAUGAUAGCUGAGGGUAGCAGUCCUUCCAAGUCAACAAGCGUCAGAUCCAUUUCAUUUCCAAUUUUUUUAACAACCCGAGCAUAAUCAACUGGGUGAUGAACAAGUGACUCUAACUCAGGAAAUUUCAAUCGAUAUUUGUCACGUAUGAAGUUGUGGAUUAUAAUGAUUUCGUUCUCAAUGUCAACUGACAAGGCAUUACAGUCUACUAUCAACUGAUACUCUGGAUCAUCUUCGAGAACAACACCUUUAUCCGUGACAUCAGACUCCCUCUCAAGUGCAUCUUCCACUUUCUGCAGCAUUAAUAGUAUGUCACCAUUUGAAAAUUACUCCUACCACCGUAUGAAAAGCGGGAUAGUUGGACGAUAAGAGUAAGAAGAAAACAAAAAAUAAAAAGAUCUAAAUUCCAAACUAACACAAGUGAUAUUUAACCCCUAAUUUCAACCCAGAAGGGAAAAAAGGAAGCUACAAAGAUUAUUUGACUUGCCCGUCCAUGUUGACAUGAUAUAAGCAGAAACGACACAGGACGAAAGAGAGAAGGUCACAGGAAUAAAAAAAUAUGCCACUCUAGAAUAGUGACAACAAAAUAUAAUGUAAGAAUACUUGUGGUCAGUCCACAUAGUUUUAAUUGGGGAAAUUUUUUACAAGUAUAAACGGGGACAUAAUAUGAGGAUAUUUUAUUUUUUUUUGGGAAAAAAACAUAAUGUGAGGAUAUUAAAGAUAAGGUCUGCAUAAACCUGCAUUAUGUCAAUGUAGCGACGUGAUUUUUGCAGCUUGGAAACAUUAUCUAGAUCAUCAUAAUUAAGUGCCUCUAUGUCUGCCAAGUCUCCAUCCUCUUCCAUCUGUUCAGCAUCGAGAUUCUCUUCAUCCUAGUUAAAUAAACAGGAGAAAAUUCAGUCCAAGUUAAAUGGAGAUAAGAAACGAAUUUGAUAACCUAACAGAUAAUAUCUUCCACCCACAAUCUUCUGCUGCUCCAAGAUUCCGAACCCGAACCAUAAAAAAACUACAGAGGAAAAUAGAAGAUGAAGAAACAGAGAUGGCUAAUUGAGUGGAAAAAAGAGAAAAAGAUAUACUCACAAUAACAUCAGCUUCAUUAUCGGACAAUUCGUCCAGAUCUGCCAGGAAAGAAUCAGCAAGAGUUGCCUGCAACCAGGUAAAAUUUAUUAAAUAAUGACAUUAAGUGCGUAAGGAAAUACACCUAAGAAACAGAAGGCGUGCCAACGGUACAAUCAGUAUAAUUCAUACAUACAUAGAAUGCAGGGAGCAAAAUGGAGAAUGAAAUUUUCUCUAACACCAUACAUACAUUUGGGAGUGGGAACAUAGAUUUACUUAUGAGCAUCACUACUACUAACAAGUUGUUACAACAUAAUCAAGAAAAUAAAGUAUUACACUCUUAACAAUUUUAGUUUUUACUUGUUAGAUGUGGUAUUACAAACUCAGAGCAAACAAAGGUGUUGAGUUCAAGUUAUCCUCUUGAAUAAUGUCUUAACAAACUCUUUCUUGUGCCAGCCUAGUCCCUUUUCUCCAGAGCCAAACACAUAAAAAUAUUUUUAUAUUACUGGCUAUAUUACAGGAGACGAUGAGACUUGAACAAGACCUAAUAUAUAUAAAUAAUAGUAAUCUCGUCUCUAACAACUAAAACUAGAUGAUACGGUAAUAUAAUUCAACACAGUGCACUAUAUCACAUCAAAAAAUAGAUAAAGAUAACAAUGGUGUGGUUGGUCAAGGAAAAAGGAGAAACUGCAAAUUCACAUUUAGUUGGUUCGCAGAGAGGAGCUAUAAAAAGGGAAGAUACGCCUUUUCAUUUUGGUCGCGGUGGAGCCUGGGUGACUUUGCAUGUACGUCGACUAUUCCAUUCGUACCUACAACCUCCACCAGCAUAGAACUAAGCAACUUUACCCACCAAAGCUUUAGGCGGACGAAAAUCAGCUAUUAUUUUGUCUCCACUAGAAUUUGAACCCUGAUCUCCUAUGGAUACCCGUUUGAUUGACUGCUAACCUACAUGCUCUGGUGCAUACUCAUUCAUACAGUAUGCUUACUAAAUAGUGGGUAACAAGAUGUGAAAUUUAACUCAAAAAAGAGAAAAGUUAACACACAAAAUGUGAAUUAGCUUUCGGAGGGAUACCUGGCAUGGUGAUCUAGCCCUUUGUAAAAGUAUUCUGCAAGUAUUAUUAACUAGUAAAGCGAGCACUCAGCCUUUUCUAAACACUGAGUAUAAACUAGUUAUAGACUAGUUACCUUCGUCAAUUAAUUAAGUAGGAACCAUAGAUAUUGAGCAAAGGAUUAAUCUUACCUCUUAAAAGAAAGUGUUCUAGUAAAGUUGUAAGAUAAUAGUCAAUACACAAGGGUAUAAACAAAAGAACUCCCAAAAACUAAAAAUAAUAUUUUCUCAAAACAAAACUCACCCUUCCAUCGGGAAAAAUCAUAAAACCCUAUCCCAAAUGGUAUGAGAAUUGAAUCCUACUUUUAUGGAAAUAAUUAGUUAAAACUAAGUAGAAAACUUUAAACUAGGAGCAAACUAGGAAAGCAGGGUAAAAUUAACGUCAUGUUUCUUCCCAAAUCUACCUAAUAAAAUAAGGAAAGAAGUGUCAACUUUUGAACCAAAACCCACGUCCAAAUAAACAGCCCUUUAGGGCAUGUAAAAAUGAUAGUUGGGCAUAGAAGAUUAUUUGUUGGGCUCCGUGUGGGCUCCAAUCUUCCUUCUCUUGGACUUGGACUUGGACUUGGACAUGGACCAAAAAUACUUGUAUUGUAGCAUCCAUGGUGGCAUACUUCCAUUAAAGGACUUCAAUGAAGCUUUGAAAGCUAAGGAGACCAAGACAAGAUGAUGGGCUUCAACAGAAAAUCAAGAAAAUGUUUAUCAUGAAAGAAAAGUCAAAAUUAUGGCGAGGAGUGAGCUAAAUGCAACACACAUUUCAUGGUGCAAGUCCAAGUCCAAGAGAAGGAAGAUUGAGACCCACAUGGAAUCCAACAUAGACUGAUUUACAUGCCCAUAAGGGCUGAUUUUGCAUGCCCAGAAAGUACUGUUUUUACACGUACAAACGGACCCAAUAGGGUAGUUUUACACAUCUAAAUCGGUGUGGGUUUCGAUUUAAAAGUUGAUACUUGUUUCGUUAGGUAGUUUUGGGAAGAAGUGUGACAUUAAUUCUUACCUGCUUUCCUAGUUUAAAAUUUUUCUAGUCUAAAGUUUCCUAGUUAGGUUUUACUAGUUAGUAUUUUCAUAGAAGUAUGAUUUGAACCACACGAUACUUGGAAUAGGGCUAUACAAUUUCCCCCUAUAUAUAGGGGUGGAUUUUGUUCUAUUUGACACAACGUUGUUAUCAAAAUUACUGAGAGUUUUUUUUCUUUACACCUUUAUGUAUACUUUGAGAAGUACCUUACAAGAACAAUUUCUCUAAGAGGUAAGAUUAAAUCUUUGCUCGAUAUCUCUGAUUCUUAUUCGAUUAAUUGAGAAAAGGACUUAGCUUUAUACUAAUUAUUGUCUUUGAUUAUUAAAUUUGGAGUCUGGAUCACUUUUCACCUAAGUUCUUGAGAUAAGUGUCUAUUAAAGUUAGCAAUUUAUCCCUUACACCUUUGGUGGACUCUGUUACCCCACCAUCCUUAGAAAAGGUAAAUAUAAUACAUGGAAUCAGGGGCAGAGUCAUGGUAUUGCUUCGUCCGAAAUUAUACCAUAUAUACAAGGUCCGGCUUAUUUUUGUUGUGCUCGUAGUUGUCCCCUUAGCUUCUUAGUGUGUUUACCUUUUUAUAUUUUGAACCCCUCAGUCAAUAACAAAGAAGAAGACAUCUUACUAGCAGUCAGUGGUAUCUUUUAUUUUAAAUUGAGUCAAUAAUUGUCCCAAAACCAAUCCUAAAAGAAGUACCUGAAUCUAAGAAGCCAUGUGUUCUUCUAAACAAUAAUAACAAAUCAUGAGCACCUAAUGAUUACUGAUUAUUUUUCAGAAGUAAACAAUAUGCUUAGGUUGAACUAAAUGGAAAUCUUAUAAUGAAAUUCUAAACAUGUCUCCUUUACCAACCAAAAAAAAAUUAAAAAAAAACACUUCCAAACAACCUUUUUUUGACAACUCUGGUGUCCUGGUCAGCUUGCGCGCACCUCAGACUAAUUUUACGUGAUACCUGUCCACCUCCCACCAGCAACACGUACCAGGUAAAUUUAUCCACAAUCAAUUCCAAAUAUUUUUUUGGAUAAUCGUGGUGUCAUAGCCAACUUGCGUGCACCCCAAACUAAUUCCACGGGAUACCUGCCACCUUCCACUAGAAACGGGUACCAGGUAAAUUUAUCCACAAUACCUGACACCUCCCACCAGCAACAUGUAACUCUAUUCACAAUCAAUUUCAAACAUGACUGUUAUUCACAAUAACAACAACAACAACAACAAACCCAGUUUAUUCCCACAUAGUAAGGUCUGGGGAGGGUAAGAUGUACGCAGUUCAUACCACUACCUCCGGAGAAGUAGCAAGGCUGUUUCCGAUAGACCCUCGGCUCAAGACAGGAAUAGUAAUCAUUAUUCACAAUAACGUAAGAAUAAUUUUAUUUAGUUAAAUUGAUACUAUCACAAACAUAAUCCAUUAAUAUCUACACACAGAUUACCCAAUAAUUCAGGUUAAUGCAACAUUAACAAAACCCUAAAACAAUAUCAAUACGAAAAACUAAAAUAAAAUUUAGGAAAUUGAUUAAUCACCAUUGUUCUUUCACGCCAAAACUCCGAUAGCAAACGACAAUUUUGCUGCAAAUACUAAAAUACCGUAAUUGAUAAUCUGCGUAGAAGUGAAGAGCAAGGGAAUAGAAAACGGAAUUUGAUUGAUAAUAUAAUUGGGCAAGGGAAAACUGAAUAAAAAUACUGUACUCAUUAGCUAAAGGAACCGAUGCUAAAGUAAUGGGCUGAGCCCGCCACUAUAACUAAACCCAUUAGUCUACCUAUAAAAUUUGAGGGAUAAGUNNNNNNNNNNNNNNNNNNNNNNNNNNNNNNNNNNNNNNCAUUUUUAAUUACUUUAUUUUCUCUAUUAAUAUAUAUAACAUAACUGAAAUAUACAUAAUAUUCUAGGUAUAUAUUGAGAUUUUUAUAAUAUAUUUAGGAAGUUGAGAUUUUUUUGUAAUAUUAAAAAUAUAAGUUGUGUAUUUAUAUAAUUUUUAGAUAAAUAAGUGCACAAAUAGCCAACUUGUAGAAUCACUAUUUAAGAUAUAAUCAAAAAUUAUAAUUUAUUCAUGUUGUAACUAUUUUCUCUGUUUUGUGAUACGUUUGAAUUUCGAGAUUCAAAUAAUAAACAAAAUCUAUCUUUGGCCAUAUGUUUUUUAUAUGUUGUUGUAAAUAUUUGAAUUGUCAAUUAUUUAAAGUUACAGUACUUUUAUGUCGUUUUUAAAUAUAUACAUUUUAUUUUAAAAAACUUGACGAUUCCAUACUCACUCACGGUCAAACUUAAAUUUACUGUGUCAUAUAAAUUGAGACAGAGAAAAUAUUUUAAAAUUAAACAUGUAGAGCAUGUUUGGAUGUGCUUACAGGUUAUGACUUAUUCUUUGUUAUUUUAAAUUAAAAAUGAGUGCUUAAAGGAUUUUAAAAAAAAAAAAAAUUAUCCAAACACUAUAAAAAUACUUAUCUUAGUAGUACGUAAAAUAAAUCAAUCCAAACAUACACUCUUAGAUGUAAUCAAUUUUUAAUUUUAGGUUUUCAGCUGAAGUUUCUAAAAAUUGAAAAUUAGUCAAAUCUAAUUUCAAAUGCAAAAGUUGAUAGUUCAAAUUUUUGAGACUUUAUAUUUCAACAUCAACACAAACAUCUGGAUUUCAAAAUUUAUAUUUUAAAUAUUAGAUGUAGGACGAAAAACUUUUAUUUCAAGAAUCCAUUUCUUUUGAAAUAUAGUUAUAAAAAAAAUUCAUAUUAUUUUAACGUACUCUUUAUCUCUUACAACGGUAUUUAAUUAUGUCAGUUUAACGAUAAUGGUGGAGGUGGGAUGGAUAUGUUUGAAGAUAGAACUGUUUUCGUCGGGAAAAUUAUUUUUCAAGAUAGAACAUUUUUUAAAAAUUUUGCUUUCAUGUCAAAUCCAAGUGAACACAUCUAUGUAAGAAAUAAAAUAAAAAAAUUCCCAUAUGCUUAAAUUAGAAAAACACCACUUCGCUCAUCACCUUCAACUUUUGACUACUAAACAAAUAAGCUUGGAAGUAUACUAUAAGUAAUGCAAUUGUCUUCUCCUAUAUACAUAUAAAACAUACACAAACAAAAAGUUGUGAAGGCACGCAACUAACGCUUGAUGCAAUUGUUUUCUUGUUAUAAUAUUUGUUAUUUGAAGGAAACUUUAGCAUAAGUGAUAAAGUUAUUAUAAGAUUACGAGUUUGAAUUGUGAAGAUAAUAACUUAAAGAAAUAUAGAAUAAAAUUCAUCUAGAUGACUCUUUAUGGUCCAAUUCUUCUCCAAACAUAUAUGGUCCAAUUCUUUAUUACUUGGUAUUGGUUUUUAAAUUCUUAUAGUCGUUUCCCAUUGUGUCAGGAUUGGGAAGAUGGCCUAUCUGAAACUGAUGCUGAUGGUUUUUUUUGUUAUUUUACGGUGUUUUCGGGUACAAGAAUCUGUACUUUGGCACAACAACUUCAACACUAGUUCAAGUUUAAAACAAGAACACUAUGAAGUACAAAAACACCCUCAACACAAGAUCAAAGUAAUCUUUCUAAGAAGUGCAUUUUAUUUUUUCAGAAAUUAAGAUGAAACAGAAAUAUAAAGUAAGUCCCCCGACUUCACGGAAUGUCCUUAAGGAAUAAUUCCCCUCACUGUACCCGAGGUUUUGGAAUCUUCCUCCCAAGAUAAAAUGGCUUUCAAUCCAACUAUAGUGGUACCUCAAAUAAUUGGAUUCAUCAAACACACUCAACGAUUUGAUUGAUCACAAAGAAUGUUUUGAAGACAAGAAGAGUUUUUAUUUCAGAAUUUUUUUCAUUCAUUUCUAAACCUGUGGAUGAAAGCAGGUUUAUAUAGCCAUCAGAUGUCUCUUCUGAAAGUUGGCAAUGGUUCACUUAAAAGGUGUAUCCUUUGGAAGAGUCAUGUCUGUUCAUUCGAAACAUUGUGUUUUUUUCUUAACAGACACAACUAUCUGAACAGUCACACCUUUUCCAAAACAAUAUGUCUUUUGCUCAAAGGUUGUGUCCCUCCAUUUUCCAUUCACACCAAUUAAAUCCAACAAUCCCCCACAUGAAUGGGGAAUGGCUAUUAUGUAAAACUUUACGGACAAGUAUGUGAUCAUCAAGCAAAAACUGAUUGCAUCUGGAUAAGUGGGUUUCCCUUUGAACUUUCCGUAGUGAACAUGCAUCUGAUGCACUCGGUCAAUCGAUAGAUUUGAUAUCAUUGAACCGUCGAGCUUUAAUGUACACCUAGACAACACAUGCCACACAGCCAGCCUUUUACCGUUUAUGGUUCUCACGGUUUUGUUCUUUUCAGCCAUGAACAUGUUUCGGUUUCAUGAAAGCUUAGAGAAUAGGCCUUUACUAACAUUCUCCAUGAAGCGGCUUCUACUUCGCCCUCACAUUGGUGAUUUUUAUACAUUUAAUCCUAUAGAUUUAAACUAUUUGGUCAAAUCUGCCAAAUUUAGAUAAUCAUUAAAAUACUUUUCACCUUAAAUCUUAUCUUUGUUAACUACACAUUGUCUACAUCAUGAGAAUGGGUUGGAUAAUUGACAAUGUUGAAUCUGUUAGACAUAACUUUAUUUGAUCUCCUUGAACCUAGCUCUUGGGAUGUCCAGUCUGCUAGAUAGAGUUACCGUCAUGCUGACUUUUCCUAGGCCUUAAACCCAUUCCCUUGGAUGUCCUUUCCACUCCUUCUCUAGAUAGGCCUUUUGUAAGUGGAUCCGACACAUUAUCCUUUGACUUAACAUAGUCAACAGUUAUAAUUCCACUAGAGAGAAGUUCUCUAACGGUAUUAUGUCUCCAUCUUAUGUGACGAGAUUUACCUUUGUACAUCAUGCUCCAUGCCUACCUAUUGCCGCUUGGCUAUCACAGUGUAUACAUACUGGUGCCACUGGUUUGGGCCAAUAAGGAAUAUCUUCCAAGAAAUUUCGGAGUCAUUUUGCUUCUUCACUGGUUUUAUCCAAUGCGAUAAAUUCAGAUUCCAUUGUAGAGCGAGCAAUACAAAUCUGUUUGGAUGAUUUCCAAGAGACUGCUCCUCAACUAAUAGUAAAUACAUAUCCACUUGUGGAUUUUACUUCGUUCGAUCCGGUGAUCCAAUUUGCAUCACUAUAUCCUUCAAGUACCGCAGGAUAUUUAUUAUAAUGCAAGGCAUAGUCUUGAGUGUAUUUUAGAUACCCCAAAACUCUUUUCAUUGUCAUCCAAUGAGUUUUGUUAGGAUUACUUGUGUACCGACUCAACUUACUAAUAGCGCAUGCUAAGUCUGAUCGUGUACAAUUUAUUAAAUACAUUAAACAUCCCAAUUUACUUACGUACUCCAAUUGUAAGUCACUUCACCUUCAUUCUUUCAAAGUGCAAAGAUCACAUCUAAUGGAGUCUUGGCAAUACUGAAUUUUAUAUACUUGAAUUUUUCAAGUACAUUUUCGAUAUAAUGAGACUGUGACAAUGUCAACCUUGUAGAGUUUUGUGGAUUCUUAUUCCUAAGAUCACAUCCGCAACUUUUAGGUCUUUCAUAUCGAACUUACUCUUGAGCAUUCGUUUCGUUGCAUUUAUGUCAAAAAUGUCUCUACUAAUGAUCAACAUAUCAUCCACAUAUAAACAAACAAUGACUUGGUGAUUCGGAGUUUCUUUAAUGUAAACACAUUUAUCAUAUUCAUUUAUCUUGAACCUGUUUUCCAACAUGAUUUGGUCAAACUUCGCAUACCAUUGUUUAGGUGUUUUCUUUAGUCUAUACAAUUACUUAAUAAGUUUACACAUCUUAUUCUUCUUUCCUGGAACCACAAAACCCUCAGGUUGUUCCAUGUAAAUUUCUUCCUCCAAUUCUCCAUUUAGGAAUGUGGUUUACACAUCCAUUUGAUGGAUUUCAAGACCAUAUUGCCACCAAGGCAAUUAACAUUCGAAUCGAUGUUAUCCUUGUAACUGGCGAGUAUGUAUCAAAGUAAUCAAGGCCUUCUUUUUGCUUGAAGCCUUUUACUACAAGUCUUGCCUUGUAUUUGUCAAUAGUACCAUCCGUUUUCAUUUUUCUUUUGAAUAUCCAUUUAGAACCUAAAGGUUUAUUUCCUGGAGGAAGAUCAACCAAUUCUCACGUAUGGUUGGUUAAGAUUGAAUCAAUCUCACUAUUGACUGCCUCUUUCCAAAAGGAUGAGUCUAACGAUGACAUCGUUUCUUUAAAUGUCUGAGGCUCAUUUUCUAAGAGAAAUAUUACAAAAUCUGAUACAAAUGUAGUAAAAGUUAUUUGACGUGUACUACGUCUUGGAUUUUCUUCAUUAGGUACAUUCUCACUUGGUUCAUCUCGAGGUCGUUUAGACCCUCCACUAGACUGUUCAUAACUAGUUUUAUACGGGUAAAUAUUUUCAAAAAAUUCAGCAUUAUCUGAUUCACUUACCGUAUUUUCAUUUAUAUCCGAAUGUUCGAAUUUAUGAACCAAAAAUCGACAUGCUUUACUGCUUUUAGCAUAUCCUAUGAACACGCAGUCCACAGUCUUAGGUCCUAUCUUAACCCUCUUAGGCAUAGGAACUUGAACCUUUGCUAAACACCCCCACACUUUGAAAUAUUUCAAGUUGGGUUUCCUUUCUUUCCAUUUUUCAUAAGGAAUUGAUUAUGUUUUACUAUGGGGAACUCUAUUGAGUAUAUGAUUGGCUGAAAAGAUAGCCUCCCCCCAUAAGUUUUACGGUAAACCAAAACUUAUAAGCAAGACAUUUAUUAUUUCCUUCAAAGUUAGAUUUUUCCUUUCCAUAAUUCCAUUAGAUUUAGGUGAAUACGGGGUCGUAGUUUGAUGGACAAUUCCAUUCUCUAUACAUACUUCGGCGAAAGGAGAUUCAUAUUCUCUGCCCCUAUCACUUCUUAUCAUUUUUAUCUUUUUCCCUAACUAAUUUUCUACUUCAGUUUUAUAUUGCCUAAACGCAUCUAUUGCUUCAUCCUUACUAUUUAGCAAGUGGACAUAACAAUAUCUAGUGCAAUCGUCAAUAAAAGUUAUGAAAUACUUUUUCCCACCACGUGAUGGUGUUGACUUCAUAUCACAAAUGUCAGUGUGUACUAAGUCUAAAGGAUUGGAAUUCCUUUCAACGGACUUAUAAGGAUGCUUUGCAUACUUUGAUUCCACACACGUUUGACACUUUGAUUUAUUACACUCAAAGUUUGACAAAACCUCUAAGUUAAUCAGUUGUCGUAACGUUUUGUAAUUAACAUGGCCUAAACGUUCAUGCCACAAAUUAUAAGACUCAAGCAAGUAAGAAGAAUUUGAACUUUUAUUGAUUUCAACAUUCAUUACAUUCAUCUUAUAAAGGCCCUCGGUGAGAUUGCCUUUUCCUACAUACACUUCUCCUUUGCUAAUUACAAUUUUUUCAAAAACGGUUACACAUUUGAAUCCGCUCUUGUCUAGAAGUGAAGCAAAAAUCAAUUUCCUAUGUAACUCCGGAACGUACACAACAUUGUUAAGUAUCAAGAUCUUUCCUAAAGUCAUUUUCAAGCCCACUUUUCCUGUUCCUUCUACCUUAGCCGUAGCAGAGUUAGCCAUGUAGAUUAUUUCUUCUACUUAAGCCGGAGCGAAUGACGAAAACAACUCUUUGUUGGCACACACAUGGCGGGCGGCACCAGAAUUCAUUCACCAUUCGUGAGGAUUCCCCAUCAAGUUGCAUUCUGAGAACAUAGCACACAGAUCAUCACAUUCUUUUGUUGGACUCAACCAUAUUAGCUUGGUCCUUUUUCUUGCCUUUCUUAGGGGCACGACAAUCCGUGGACUUAUGGCCAAUUUUGCCACAGUUGAAGCACUUUUCCUUGAAUUUCUUCUUGGGUUGAUUGCUUCCUUGUUCAACUUUCUUCCUUUUCUUAAAAUUGUUUUGGUCAUAUUCUACAAUAUGUGCUCCAUUAAUUGUAGAAUUCUUGUUUAACCUUCUUUUGGCAACCUUAUUAUCCUCUUUAAUACGCAGUCGGACAAUAAGAUCUUUGACAGUCAUCUCUUUGCGUUUGUGCUUCAAGUAGUUUUUGAAGUCUUUCCACAUAGGUGGUGGCUUCUCAAUGAUCGCUGCUAGUUGAAAUGCAUCAUUCACAAUCAAACCUAUAAAACAUUUUAUGUGAGUACUAAGAACAUUUUCAAUUUGUUCAACUAAGGUAUUUUUUCAAAGAUAUACCUUCUGCUAAGAGAUCAUGGAUGAUUACUUGUAAUUCCUGAACUUCAGAGACAAUUGAUUUGCUAUCUAUCAUUUUAAAGUCCAGAAAUCUUGCAACGAAGAAUUUCUUAAUUCCCGCAUACUCCGUCUUAUAUUUUUGUUCUAGUGCCCCCAUAAUGUCUUCGAUGUCUUAGUUCCACUGUAAACAUUAUAGAGGUUAUCUUGGAGACCACUCAAGAUAUCAUUCCUGCAAAGGAAGUCUGAGUGCUUCCAAGCCUCUACAAUCAUGAAAUGCUCUUUGUCUGAGGUUCCCUCAGGCACCUCAGCAGCAUCCUCACUAGUGAACCUUUGAAAACAUAGGGUAGUGAGGUAAAAGAACAUCUUUUGGUACCAUCGCUUGAAGUCAAUGCCCGCAAAUUUUUUGGGCUUCUCCGCAGGUGCCAUUGGUUGCGGAGCAUUUGCUCAUCUUGUUGAGGCAAUACUAGUUGUCCCCACAGUCGUAGCCGCAUCUUGCAUUUGACUUUCAUUAGCCAUUUUUCCUGUCACCACAAGACAAUAAAAUUUAGUCUUUUCAGAAUACUACUUAUUAACAAGUUGAAAUAACUUAAACAUCUCUUGUUUCUAGUUAACAAUGAAGUUUUUAUGACUUCUAAUUGUCAACCGAGUGAUCUUUAACUUGUGAUGAAGAUUUUAUGUCUUUAAAUCACUAGUUAAGUUCAAACGGAGUAGAAAGUUUAAAGCUUUAAUCUCCAAAAACAAGCAAUACAGAUUCUACAAAGGUUAUUCCUUAAGAUUGUUAUUUUAUGGUGUUUUCGGGUACAAGAAUCUGUAUUUAGGCACAACAACUUCAACACUAGUUCAAGUUUAAAACAAGAACACUAUGAAGUACAAAAACACCCUCAACACAAGACCAAAGUAAUCUUUCUAAGAAGUGCGUUUUAUUUUUUCAGAAAUUAAGAUGAAACAGAAAUAUAAAGUCAAGUCCCCCGACUUCACAGAGUGUCUUAAGGAAUAAUUCCCCUCACUGUACCCAAGGUUUUGGAAUCUUCCUCCCAAGAUAAAAUGGCUUUCAAUCCAACUAUAGUGGUACCUCAAAUAAUUGGAUUCGUCGAACUCACUCAACGAUUUGAUUGAUCACGAAGAAUGUUUUGAAGACAAGAAGAGUUUUUAUUUCAGAAAAUUUUUCAUUCAUUUCUAAACCUGUGGAUAAAAGCAAGUUUAUAUAGCCAUCAGAUGCCUCUUCUGAAAGGUGACAAUAGUUCACUUAAAAGGUGUAUCCUUUGGAAGAGUAAUGUCUGUUCAUUCGAAAUAUUGUGUCUUUUUCUGAACAGACACAAUUAUCUGAACAGUCACUCCUUUUCCAAAACAUUAUGUUUUUUGCUCAAAGAUUGUGUCCCUACAUUUUCCAUUCACACCAAUUAAACCCAACACUUUUUGCAUGAGAACUGGAACAAAGAUUUACGACUCUUCAGUGAUGGUGAAGAUGGUGGACAGAAGUUGCUUCAGGUGAUCAAUAUCCAGCACUCUAAUAUCUGUUCUGUAUAGUUUGCACUUGCGUUUCUAUGUUGCUAACUCAUGCCAAACUGUCUUUCAGCUGUUUGUUUUGCGAGCAGAAUCUGAACUGCAAUCAAACGGUGGAGAAAAUCUUUCUCAAAACCUCCAGUGUUUGGAUAGACUGAAAUCCGAGCUAUGUCAAUUAUUUGGUGGCCCUAUUUUGAAGCCCAUGAAUUCGAGAGACUGUACAAUGUGAGCACCUGCGGGAUGAAAUCUUUAAACCCAGAAGUUUUGGCAAUAGAGCAAUGGUCGAUAUUAAAUACAAGAGUGAUUGGAUGAAGCAGC